UUCUCUCCCUUAGGUGGUUUGCCAACUGGGGUUGGUGGCUUGUGUUCUGGGAGUGGCUUCUCCCCCUUGGGAGGUUUUUCCAAUGGGGUUGGUUUGUGUUCAGGAGGUGGCUUCUCCACUGGAGGCUUGUGUUCAGGAGGUGGCUUCUCCACCGGUGGCUUGUGUUCAGGAGGUGGCUUCUCCACCGGAGGCUUAUGCUCUGGUGGUGGCUUCUCCACCGGAGGCUUAUGCUCUGGUGGUGGCUUCUUGAAUGGGGGAUGCUGAGGGUAAUCAGCAAGUGAGGGGGCGGUGAGAACCACCAGGCCAAGCAACACCACUAGCAAAUAUGUAGGAGACAUCUUUGGGUUUGGGCUCAGAUGGUGCAAAACUAGGAGAAUUGGCUAGCCUUUUAUAGCGGAUCGUACUCAAUAAUGAAAUGACACGUGUCAUUAUGACCCAUGUGUAAUGGGGUCGAUUUGGGUCCUACAGUGUUGAAAACUUCGACAUCCAGUUUUGGCCUUUUGCUUUCUCUACAGCCGCCUUGCUUUUUCCCUCUUUCCUUUUGUUUUCCUCCUGCCCCAUUCUAUCAACUAAACACAAUUAUGUAGUUGUUUAAUUCUUAAAUGAGAUAUUAUCGGUCAAUCGUAUUAUAUUUUAUCAAGAGAGAACGGAGUGCAAUGCAGCUGUAAUUUUAUCGUUUACUUUUAUCUCUUGGACCACUGCAUUUUUGUUAAGAGGUGCAAUAAUACACGUCUUUAUCUGCCAUUCAAUGUUUACAGUAAAGAGAGGGCACAAAACUCUUCACUGCUCUGCAUGUGUCCCAAAAAUGCGAUUGGACAAAUUAUGAUUUGCAUGCUAAAAAGAGGCAAAUGAGGUUAAUUCGCACCAUAAUUAUUUGGUUUUCUGGACACCAUAAAAAGAUGUUAUACAGGCAGGGAAAAACCUUCAGAGUUAGCUACCAAAGAUAAUUAUCAAGCAGAUAUCACCAAGAGAAUUCCAUAGAGUCUGAAUCAAAGACAGAUUGCUCGCUCGUGGGGGUUCUUACUUUCUUUUGGGUAUAACUCACUGAGGUCACUGUCUUUUUUAUUUGCAUUUCACAGUUAGAGUUCUGCUCUGGAAGGUUUGUUCUGGAAACAUAUAAAAGGAGCAUCAUUUUGUUCUUGGGUAACCCAUAGUCGUGAGUGGGUCCAUUUGCAUGCUACUUAGUUGAAAAGUUGGACAAUUUGCUCCGACGCCUACCUCCUGGAUUCCAUGCUCGGUAAAACAAGAAUAAAAAAAAAUAUAUAAUUUACAAAUGGGGGAAAGAAAAAAUGUCGGAAAAAAUAGUAAAAUUCAUGUCACAUGCUAGUGAGAGAAGGGGUUGUUACACUCACUCGAAGUUCUUUUCAAAAUAUCGAAUGGUAUUUUACUUUAUGUGUCAGCGCAGUUGUGAAUGGAACGUGCAAAAGUCCAAAUUGGCGUUUUUAUUUUUCCCAUGUAGGAUGGUGACCUUUAAUAAAUAUUUAAAACAAAAGACGAAAAAAAAAAGGAGGGAAAAGGGAUCACAAAAGAUAAAAUAAUGUUUACAAAAGCUCAAUUAGUUUGCAAAUUACUGUUUGGAUUUUGAUAGUAUUUUAUUUGUCGUUCUAUAUUUGAUGUAAAAGAGAAUUUAAGAUAUUUCCGAAGCAAAAGCAUUAGUUUGCUCUGUGAUGUCCCACAUCGAAUAGGGGAGAAAGUUUCUGGCGCUAUAUAUGUAGAGGCUCCUCUUAACCAAGUAGAUGCGUUUUAAAACCAUGAGGGCCCCCUUAGGUCCAAAGCGGACAAUAUCUACAUGAUUGGGUGUAAGUCAUUACAAAUGGUAUCAGAGCCGAUCCCCGACCCCGGUGUGGGGGUUUGUUUGGCCCUGUAAGGGGUGUUUGUCUGUUUGACCCCACAAUCCCAUGGGACACAACGAGGACGUUGUGUCUGCAUGGGGGGGCGUUUGUGAUGUCCCACAUCGGAUAGGGGAGAAAGUUCCUAGUGCUAUAUAUGUAGAUGUUUCUCUUAACCAAGUAGAUGCAUUUUAAAAUUGUGAGGGCCUCUUUGGGCCCAAAGCGGACAAUAUCUACAUGGUUGAGUGUAAGUCAUUACAUGCUCCAUGUCAAUUUCAGCAUUUCUCAUAUGUUUCACACAUACACAGAAGAGCAUCGUUUUUUAAAGCAUGCAUUUAUGUUGGAUUAAUUUGGAUUUUGUGGGAACUGGGGCAAGGAUCACAUGGAAGAGAGGUUGACUUUUUUCAGUACUUCAAUGGUUGAAAUAUGUGAAGGCUUGAUUGAUACUAAAGCUUGAAAUUGCGACUCUGUCAUUUGUAAAAAAAUAUGACAGCUUCCAUGCUCUCGUUUGGUUGCAUUGUCCGGUCGAGAGGUGCAAAAAGCAUUCUCUCUCUUCUAAUAGUCUUUUCGUUUAAAUCAAGGGAUUUGCCUUCCCGGUCGAGGUCCAAUAGAGGGUAACGGUCACCUACUAAACAUUAAAUGCUCCAACAACUAGUGAACUGAUCGACCCCAGCUCGACUAGUUGAGGUUACUUUUUGGUUUUCUUGUCUCCCGAGGUUAGAAACCUAUAAAUAGAGAGCUUCACUUCAUUUAUGAGUAAGAGAACACCUAAAUUUAUUUGUUUACCUACUUGUUUUUGCCAUAAAAGCUCUCAUUUCUUUUCUUGGUGUAUUAAAUCUCCAUUUGCAUAUCCUUUAGUGCACCUUUGUGAUUCAUUCUAGCCUUGAGUUGUAUUUAAGCCUUUGUUGAGCUAGGUUGAGAGUUUCAUACUUGUUUAUUGAGUGUUAAAGCCUUCAAGUGAGUUAAAACUUGAAGAGAUUGUGUAAGAGCCCAUUGGAGUCGGAAUCCAAGUGUAAAGGUGAUUAAAAGCUUGGUUGAAGCUUCAAGUUAGUGGAACUCUCACUCGGUUAUGAGCUUGAGAAGAGUGGACAUAGACAAGGCAGUGUCGAACCACUAUAAAAUCUGAGUUUGAUUUCUCUAACCUUAUCUCUUUAUAUUUGCUUCUCUUGUGCUUAAAUUUUUUGUGUUUAAAAAGAAUUUUUAAAAACUCAAUUCACCCCCUUCUUGGGAGUUUUUCUCUUUUAAGAUCAGCUUUUAUUUUCUCAAUUGGUAUCAGAACUAUGCCUCUUGUUUAAGACUUAAUCGUCUAAGAGGAAAUGGCUAAUCCAUCAAGUUCAUCUCACAUUGAAAGUUUUGCAACCAAUAGACUUCUUUUUUUUUUUUUGCGGGAACUGAUUAUCCCUAUUGGAAAACUAAAAUGACUUGGUUUUUACAAUCAAUUGAUUUAGAUGUAUGAGAUGCCAUUGAAGAUGACCUAACUUUUCCUUCAAAACUAGUUGAUGGAGUCAUGGUUCCAAAACCUAAGCAAGAAUGGGAUGAGCGUGAUUGAAGAAAUUUUCAAUUAAAUGCUAAAGUCGUUUAUACUUUGCAAUGCUCUAUGGACAGAAAUGAAUAUAAUAGAAUAUGUCAAUGCAAAUCGGUUAAAGAAAUUUGGAGAUUGCUUGAAAUAACUCAUAAAGGAACAAAUCAAGUUAAAGAGUCAAAAAUCAAUUUACUUGUUCAUAGAUAUGAAUUGUUUUUUAUGAAAGAUAAUGAAACUAUUGUUAAGAUGAUCACUAGGUUCACCAACAUUGUUAAUGGUCUUAAAGCCUUGGGAAAGACCUACAAGGAAUCCGAAAACGUGAUGAAGAUCUUGAGGUCACUUCCAUCAAAGUGGCAUACCAAGGUCACCGCAAUUUAAGAAGCAAAAGACUUGAUCAAGCUACCUUUGGAGGAGUUCAUAGGGUCAUUGAUGACAUAUGAAAUCAAUUUGGCAAAGAAGUAACAAAAAGGUGAAGACAAAAAGAAGAAGAACAUAACUCUCAAAGCUACAACUAAGGAAGAAGAAGUUGAAGAAGAAAAACAAAUUGAAGAAGAUGAAGAUUUAGCCCUCAUCACAAGAAAGUUCAACAAAUUCAUGAGGGGUGAAAGGUUUAGAAGAAGAAGGUUCACUUCUAGAAGAGACUUUUCUAAAAAGGAAUCUUCAUCUAAUGGUGACAAAAAGAGAUGGGAAGAGAAAAGAGACUUGGUGUGUUUCAAGUGCAAGAAACCGGGACACAUUAAAUAUGAUUGUCCUCUCUACAAAAGUGAAGUCAAGAGGAAAAAGAAUAAGGCAAUGAUGGCCACUUAGAGUGAAAGUGAAGAUGAAUCAUCCGAAGAAGAAAAUGAGAAAGAAGUGGCAAACAUGUGUUUCAUGGCAAUAGAUGAACUUGAUGAGGUAAAAUCUAACCUUAGUGAUUAAGAUAUACAUGAUGCAUUUGAAGAAUUGUAUGAGGAUUUUUAAAAACUUAGUUUGAAAAAUAUUUCUCUUAAAAAGAAAGUUCAACAACUUGACAAAGAACUUAGAGAAGUAAAAGAAAAAUUUUCAAAUGUUAAAGUUUCUAAAACUCAUCUUGAAAAAGAAAAUGAGAUUCUAAGAAAGAAAAAUGAAUAGUUGAACUCCUCUCUUUCAAUCUUUUCUUCUAGACAAAAAUCUUUUGAAAUGAUUCUAACUAGCUAAAAAUGUGUUUUUGACAAACAAGGGUUAAGAUUUAAAUCUUCAAAAAAUCAAAAGUAUUUUAAAAACUAUUUUGUAAAGGAAUCCACAAGUGCAAGUCCUUCCACUACUUGCAACUUUUGUGGAAGAGAAUGGCACAUUAGUAGUACGCCCUUUAAGAAAUGGUUCUCAAAAGAAUUUAAAUGCAAAAACUAAAAAAGAUUUGGAUUGAGAAAUCCAAGGUCACUAACCCUCAAGGACCCAAAAAGAUAUAGGUACCUAAAUCAACUUGAGUUUUAUGUUGUAAGGUUCAAAGAAUGAUAAGUGGUUCUUAGAUAAUGGUUGCUCAAGACACAUGACCGGAGAUGAAUCCAAGUUUGCUUUUCUUAAAAAGAAAAAUGGAGGAUAUGUUACCUUUGGAGACAAUGCAAAAGAAAGGAUGAUUGGUCAAGGCAACAUUGGUAAUGGCACAUCCUCUCUCAUUGAAAGUGUUUUAUUAGUAGAUGGUUUCAAACAUAACCUUUUAAGCAUUAGUCAAUUUUGCGACAAAGGUUUUUAAGUGAUUUUUUAAGCAUCUCAUUGCAUCAUCAAGGAUAUUCAAAAUGAUAAAACCAUUUUCAUGGGCCAUAGAUGUGAUAAUGUUUAUGCUAUAAAUAUUUCAAAAUAUGAUGGCCAUGAUAGAUGUUUUUCAAGCAUGCAUGAUCAAAGUUGGUUGUGCCAUAGGAGAUUGAGACAUGCUAACAUAGACCUCAUUUCCCAACUCAACAAAGAUGAACUUGUUAGAGGCCUUCCCAAAAUAAUUUUUUAAAAAGAUAAAGUUUGUGAAGCUUGUCAAGUGGGAAAGUAAAUCAAAAACUCUUUUAAAAACAAAAACUUCAUUUCCACAUCUAGGCCACUUGAGUUGUUGCAUAUGGAUUUAUUUGGUCCCUCUAGGACACCAAGUCUUAGAGGAAAUUCUUAUGCAUAUGCUAUUGUGGACGACUUCUCUAGAUACACAUGAGUCUUGUUUUUUAGUCAAAAGAAUAAAGUUUUUUAUGAGUUUUCAAAGUUUUGCAAUAAGAUUCAAAAUGAAAAAGGUUUUUCAAUUACUUAUAUAAGAAGUGAUCAUGGGAGAGAAUUCGAAAAUAUUGAUUUUGAAGAGUAUUGCAAUGAGCAUGGAAUUGACCACAAUUUUUUGGCUCUUAGAACUCCUCAACAAAAUGGGGUAGUUGAAAGGAAAAAUAGAACUCUUCAAAAAAUGACAAGAACCAUACUAAAUGAAAACAACUUACCAAAAUAUUUUUAGGCCAAAACGGUUAACACUUCUUGUUAUGUUUUAAAUAGAGUAUUAUUGAGGCUCAUACUUAAGAAAACUCCCUAUGAGCUUUGGAAAAACAAAAAACCCAACAUUAGUUAUUCCAAAGUCUUUGGAUGCAAUAUUUUAUAAUAAACACCAAAGACAAUCUUGGAAAAUUUGAUGCAAAAUUGGAUGUUGGAAUUUUCCUUGGUUACUCAACUUCAAGUAAAGCUUUUCGAGUUUUAACAAAAGAACCAUGGUUGUAGAGGAGUCCAUCCAUGUUAUUUUUUAUGAAUCUCCAAGAAAGAGAGAGGAUUGAUGAUGAUUUAGGUUUGAAGACCUCUAUAGGAAGAUUGCAAAUCGAAGAUAGAAGACAACAAGAAGAAAAUGGAGAGAAUCCAAAGAAAGAAGGAUCACCAUUGGCACUACCCCCUCAUCAACAAGCGCAAGGUGAAUCAAGUCAAGAGCUUCCUAAAGAAUGGAAGUUUGUCAUCAAUCACCCACAAGAUCAAAUUAUAGGCAAUCCAUCUAGUGGGGUAAGAACUAGAUCCUCUCUUAGAAAUAUUUGCAAUAAUCUAGCUUUUAUCUCUCAAAUUGAGCCUAAAAAUAUAAAUGAUGUUUUAGAUGAUGAAAAUUGGAUAAUUGCAAUGCAAGAAGAGUUAAAUCCAUUUGAAAGAAGUGGAGUAUGGGAAUUAGUACCAAGACCUUCAAAUCAAAGUGUUAUUGGAACUAGAUGGAUCUUUAGAAAUAAAAUGGAUGAAAAUAGCAUAAUUGUUAGAAAUAAAGCAAGAUUGGUAGCCCAAGGUUUUAAUCAAGAAGAAAUGAUAGAUUAUGAAGAAACCUUUGCCCCCGUAGCUAGGUUGGAAGCCAUUAGGAUGCUACUUGCCUUUGCAUGUUUUAAAGACUUUGUUUUAUAUCAAAUGGAUGUGAAAAGUGCUUUUUUAAAUGGUUUUAUAAAUGAAGAAGUAUAUGUUGAACAACCACCCGGUUUUCAAAGUUUCAACUUUCCUAACCAUGUUUUUAAACUUAAAAAGACACUUUAUGGUUUGAAACAAGCACCUAGAUCAUGGUAUGAAAAAUUGAGUAAAUUUCUUUUGAAAAAAAUGUUUUAAAAUGGGAAAAAUUGACACAACUCUUUUUAUAAAAACCAAAGAAAAUGAUAUGCUCUUAGUUCAAAUAUAUAUUGAUGAUAUCAUUUUUGGUGCUACUAAUGUCUCUCUUUAUGAAGAAUUUUCUAAGUGCAUGCAUAGUGAGUUUGAAAUGAGCAUGAUAGGAGAACUCAACUUCUUCCUUGGACUUCAAAUCAAGCAACUAAAGGAAUGAACCUUCAUCAAUCAAGCAAAGUAUAUAAGAGAUCUUCUCAAAAGGUUCAACAUGGAAGAAGCCAAAACAAUGAAGACUCUAAUGAGCUCAUCCAUUAAGCUUGAUAAGGAUGAGAAAGGUAAAUCCAUUGACUCUAUUAUGUAUAGAGGCAUGAUAGGUUCUUUGCUCUAUUUGACCACUAGUAGACCUUACAUUAUGUAUAGUGUGUGUUUGUGUACUAGAUUUCAAUCUUGUCUUAAAAAAUCUCACUUAAGUGUCGUGAAAAGAAUCCUCAAAUAUUUGAAAGGGACAAUGGACAUAGGCUUAUGGUAUCCUAAGAGUGAUAACUUUGAAUUAAUUGGUUUUUUGGAUGCUGAUUUUGUCAGUUGUAGGGUUGAAAAAUAAAACACUAGUGGCACUUUUCAUUUCUUAAGACACUUACUUGUCUCAUGGCAUAAUAAGAAGCAAAAUUUGGUAGCUUUGUCAACAGCAGAAGCUAAAUACAUAGCAACUGGUUUAUGUUGUGCACAAAUCCUUUGGAUGAAAUAAACACUUAGUGAUUUUGAUUUAUCUUUUGAGCAUAUUCCUAUUAAAUGUGAUAAUAGUAGUGCCAUAAGUAUAUCAAAAAAUCUCGUGCAACACUCUAGGACUAAGCAUAUAGAGAUUAGACAUAAUUUUCUUAGAUAUCAUACACAAAAGGAUGAUAUAACACUUGAAUUUGUAAGCAUAAAAGACCAACUUGCCGAUAUCUUUACAAAACCUCUAAGAACAUUUUGUUGAUAUUAGAGGACAAUUAGGAGUGAUUUCUUUAUGAUCUAAUGUGAUGAAUUCUUGAUGAAUAUACUUUUUGAUUGCAUGAAUUUCAUGUCAUAUAUGCAUCAUAUAGAAAUAUACUUAGAUAAUGGUCAAAUUUCGACCAAAAAUCAAAAUUCCCAUGGCAUUAGGCAUAAAAAUUUUGGAAUUUCAACUGAAAAUGGUAGGAGGAGGAUCACAAAAUGAGAAAGUAUGCAAAAAUUGAAAAAUCAAAACGUUGACCAAGCGGUCAAUCGGACUAGACCGAUCGACUAGUUUGUCGAGAUUUAGGAUUUUUAAGAGACUCCAACGCUUCAAUUUUUGCACCGUUCUCCUCUAUUUCUUCACGGUUUCUCUGAUUUUGUCUUUUAGAGACUAAUUUGAGUGCGUUUUGGAUCAAUUGAAGCAUUUUGGAUUGGAUUUUAGGAAGAUUGAAAGUUAAGGUUUCGGAUUUGGGUCGCCUUCUCUUCCUCUCGCGUGUCACAAUCAGCUUUAGCAUUGUUCUCUUUCCAUUUUCACACACCUAGGGUUUCAGUUGUGAGCAUCUCUCUCUCUUUACCAACCACUACUCCCUUGCUUCUUCCAUAUGGCUCCUAGGCGAGAGUCCGCUACUUCUAGGGCACAAGGCAAGCACCCAACUGAGUCGUCUCAGUCAAAGGCACGUCGAAAAGUGAGAUUUGACAUUGCCUUGUUCAGUUCCAUGGAGGACUACCAACUAUACAAGCAACACUUUGCUUAGAGACGAGUAGUUCCCAAGAGAAAUAUUAAUUUUCCUCAACUUCAGCAUUUCGAAUUUAAGGGUCUAUUUACUAGGAUGGUUGGUUGUCUAUUGUCACAAUUUCGGAGCCGGUUUUCCUGACCUUAGUGCGAGUUUUUUACUCGAGGGCGACUUAUGGCAUGGGUGGCAUGAUCAUUUCUACUGUUGGAGGAGUUGAGAUCUGUCUGGACCCAGAGAGCAUCUGCCAUAUUUUCGAUAUUGCUCUGGUUGGACUCAAAGUAUACAAGUCCAAAAUGUGGCCCAUUGUGCCAGGAUUUGAGCUUAGAGAGGUCAUUCAGAGGAUUUGUGAACUUCCAGACGCCCAGGAGAUGGGCAAACCAUUGCCACACAGUUUGACGGUCAUCAACAGGGUGCUACACCAUAUAUUGUGCUCUAUCUUUCUACCACGAAGUGGACAUUGAGAUGAGGUCUCUUAUUAUGAGGCAUUCCUUAUUGACUCCAUUCUAACGGAGAGACGAAUUCAUCUACUAUGUCAUCAUUCACUAAGCCUCCUCACAGUGACAUACCACCUCAUCAGGCACCUCUUGCUCCUGACCAUGCUCCAUUGAUGGAUUUAUUUACUCAUAUUAGCUCUCUAGGCACUCGCAUGAAGGAGUUUGUUGUAGUUAGUGAUACAUGGUUCUACUCCAUAGAGGAUCGCAUGGAUCAGUAUCAGACUGGCUUCACGUCACAGUUUGAGUAUCUCCAAUAGAGGAUUGAGCAUAUUGAGGAUCACUUGAGCAUGAGAAGAUGAUGGCUUUUCUAUGCUCUGUGUUUCCACCUCCACCUCGUCAACCUUGAUUUCUUAGAGACCCAUUGUUUUCAUUUUGUAAUGUUGCCAAAAGGGGGAGAUAUUUAGGAUCUAGGACUCUAUAGGAGACUUACAUGCAUAUCAUUUUCAUAUCAUUGUUUGGAUCGUACAUAUUGGAUAGUGAUACUUUUUACUUAUAUAUGAUAUGCCUAUAUGUUUCAUGUCUUACAUUGUUUCUUAUUGCAAAUUAUCUCUAACAUGUCUUGAUUAUCUUUUUUUUAACUUCAUAAAUUUUGAUUGUUAACCCAUGAUUGGUUUGAGGGGAAGAUUCUUCUUCUCCUAGAUAACCAAGGUUUGUCAUCAUAAAAAAAUUGGAGAUUGUUAGCCCAAGGGUUCUCCUAAUCAUGUUUUGAUGAUAACAAACCAUGCUUAAGUUACUAAUUGGUUUGAAUUAUAAAGAAUUUCAAGUGUUAAUUUGAAAAUUCAUCAAAGAACCUAAUGGAUGCAAGAUCAAGAUUUUUGGAAGACCUUUAAUCAUAAGAAACAUAUGUAAGAUGAAUGCAUGGGUGCACUUAAGAUUUGCAUAUCAUUUCAUGCAUAUUUGGAAAACACGGUUUAUGCUUUAAAGUUACAUUUCCAUCAAAAUUUGAGAUCCAUCAAAUGAACCUUAGGAAAAAUGUUUUAAAAUUGGCAUAUAAUUUUACCUAAAGACCUUGCCUAAGUGUUAGAAGCAAAAGGACAAAAAAAAUAUAGGUUUUCUGGUCAAAAAUGGUGAACCAGUCAAGGCAUUGUCUAAAUCAGCUCAAUCGGCCAAGGUACCGGUCGAUCGGUUUCCCUUUCCCUGUCGAGAUCUAGUCAAGAGGUACAAAAAUCACAAUCUCUGUCUCUUUCUCUCUUUGUCUAUCUUCCAGUAGUCUUUCCUUCCCGGUCGAGGGAUUUGCCUUCCCGAUUGAGGUCCGAUUGAGAGUAAUAGUCACUUGCCAAAUAUUAAAUGCUCCAACAGUUAGUGAACUGGUCGACCCCCACCUUGCCCAGUUGAGGUUACUUUUUGGUUUUCUUGGCUCCCGAUGUUAGAAACCUAUAAAUAGAGAGUUCCACUUCAUUUAUGAGCAAGAGAACACUUGCAUUUAUUUGUUUACCUACUUGUUCUUGCCUUAAAAGCUCUCAUUUCUUUUCUUGGUGCAUUAAAUCUCCAUUUUGAUAUCCUUUAGUGCACCUUUGUGAUUCAUCUUAGCCUUGAGUUGUAUUUGAGCCCUUUUUUUAGCUAGGUUGAGAGUUUCAUACUUGUUAAUUGAGUGUUAAAGCCUUCAAGUGAGUUGAAACUUGUAGAGAUUAUGUGAGAGUCGAUUGGAGCCGAAAUCCAAGUGUAAAGGUGAUUAGAAGCUUGGUUGAAGCUUCAAGUUAGUGGAAUCCUCACUCAAUUAGGAGCUUGAGGAGAGUGGACGUAGCCAAGGAAGUGUCGAACCACUAUAAAAUUUGAGUUUGAUUUCUCUAACAUUGUCUCUUUAUAUUUGUUUAUCUUGUGCUUAAAUUUAUUGUGUUUAAAAAGAAUUUUUAAAUACCCAAUUCACCCCCCUCUUGGGUGUUUUUCUCUUUUAAAAUUAGCCUUUAUUUUCUCACAAACUAUUGUAGUAUAGUGGUUUUUAGGUGUCAUCCAUUAGGAUGAAUUGUUCUCGGUAAUUAAGGCGUGAAUGAGAGGAGAAUUAAUGAUUGUGAUUAAGUAAAAUUGAUUUGAAAAUUCAUGGUGAAAAAUCAAUUUAACAAUGGUUUCUAAUUGAGAAAAACAAUGAAAUGUGAAAUAAAAUAAAAUUAAUAGGAAAUGAAAUUCUCGAAGUUAGAAUUUUCUAAAAAACAAAUUCCAUGGUGAAUGGAUGUUGAGAUCUAAUUUUCAUCAAGUUAGAUUGAAAACCGAAAUUUUCAUAUAAACUGAUUUUUUAUUUAGUUUUAGGUCUAGAUUUAAUUUCCCUUAAAAUUAGGUUAUUUAAUCCAAGAAAUCAAUUCAAAUCAUAUAUUCAAUUCAUCUUAAAUUAUCUUCCAAUUAUUCACACAAUGCAACUAUUCAAUCUCAUCAAAUCUAGCUUUUAAGAAUUUAAUGAAUCUACCUAGUUUGCAUUGUAAUAGUCAUCCAUGACAAUUUGAAGAGAAAAAUAAUUCAAUUAAUCAAUCACUUGGAUCAAAUUACCUUUGCAAUUAAAGUUCAUUUCUCUAAUUCACCACAGAUUUUGUCUCUAGAUCCUCCUUUCUCAAAGAAAAAUGAGAUUUAGCCACACAUGAUUGGAGAUUUGGUCUCAUAAGGCAUGUUUAGCUAGUGAUAAAAUGAGAGAAAAUAAAGAAAAAUAGAGAAUUCGAUUAAGAAAGAAAAUCUAAAAAAUUCUACAAUUAGAAAUGUCCAAAAAGCUUUUUCAUGAGAAAAUCAAGUUUCUAUUUAUAGGCCAAGGUCAAGUGGACACUUGACAUCAUCUAAGAGGUCUUCCGGAAGCUUCUUCAUCAAGAAAUCUGGAGUUUAAUAAUAAAAUGGUCAUUUCACAAGAGCUCAAACAAUUUCGCAUGAUUAUGUGAAAUAAAAAAUGCAACAACAGCAAUUUACAUCUUCUUGGAGCAUUUCGCAUGACUGUGUGAAAUUUUCACAUGAUCAUGUGGAAUCGACUUGACAACUCUCAUUUAGCCUACAACAUAAUUCCACCUUUUGGUCCAUUUUUCAUAGUCAUGCGAAAUGGAAAUAUUUGAUUUUUAAGUUUUCUUUUGUCAUUUCUUUCAUUUCCUUCUCUUGAUUCCACUUCAACUACCUCCGAAUCCUGGUCCAAACCAAUUGCAUUACUUCUUUCAUUAUGCAUUUGGAUCAUCAUCAACAUUAUUUGUUCUCUUCAAUUUGAUUCAUCUCUUUUGUCACCAAUUUAUCAAAAUCAUACCUUGAAAUGACUCCAAAACUUCAUAAAACUUGUUAGUAACUCUUGCAAGGGCAACAACAUAUUAAUUAAGUGUUUUAGGCAUAGUUACUACUCAAAAGAUGCGAAACUCAUGAUAAUUAUUAUAUAAAAUAUGCUCUUUUUGAGUAGUAAUCAACUUUCUUGCAUAAGCAGACCUUUUAGGGUGGAGUACUAAAGACCAAUAUGCUUGUCCUUGUUGUAAUAAAGAAACUUGCUCUUAUUGAUUGCACCAUGGGAGAAAAUUUUGCUACAUGAGUUAUCAUCAAUUUCUUCCCACCAAUCAUAGAUUUAGACGUGACAAGAGGCCUCUUAAUGGCAAGGAGGAACUGACACUCACACUUAUACAAUUAUCGGGCAUUGAUGUGUUGCAACAAUUAGAAUAACUUACACCAAUUAUGUUGGGGAAGUCACAAAAGGCAAACAUGAAAACUAAAAGGAAAAAAGAAAAAUGUUACAUAUCACCACAACUGGAAAGAAAAAAGUAUUUACUUUCAUUUGCCAUAUUGGAAAGCACUUAUUUUACAUCAUAAUAAUUUAGACAUAAUGCAUAUUGAGAAAAAUGUGUGACAAUAUAAUUGAGACAUUGUUCAGUAUUGACGAAGAAACAAGGACAACCUAAAUAGUCAUCUCGAUUUACAAGCUCUAACUAUUAGAAAUGAGAUUCACCCAAUAGAAAGCAGGACCAAAUUUAUUUUGCUUGCAACAUGCUACUCACUCACCCCAAAUGAGAUUAAGGAAUUUUGCAAGUUUUUGAAAUCAAUAAAGGUCCCCAAUGGCUAUUCUUUCAAUAUCUCUCGUUAUGUGCAACUCAAUGAAAGGAAGAUAUAUGAGCUCAAAUUGUAUGAUUGUCAUGUCCUAAUGCAACAACUUCUCUCACUUGUAGUUCGUGGAGUUCUACAUAAGAAUGUUUGUGGAGUUAUCAUAGAAUUGCGUAAUUUUUUCAAGCAAUUGUGCUCAAAGGUGUUAGAAACAAAUCACUUACACCAACUUGAGAACAAUAUUAUUGUCAUACUAUGUAAAAUGGAGCAAAUAUUUCUUCCAUCAUUCUUUGAUAUUAUGGUGCAUUUACUUGUGCAUCUAGUAAGGCAAAGGUUGCAAGACUUGUGCAAUAUUGUUGGAUGUACCUAAUUGAACGAUAUUGUUAUAAUUUCAUAUGAAUCAUUUAAUUUUAUUUUAUAUUAUGUUCAGUUCAUUAACAUGUACAUUGGUCUACAUAUGGAUGAUGAUAGGUACCUAAGCACUUUAAAGUCAUAUGUGCGUAAUAGAACUUUUCUAGAAGGUUCUAUUGUAGAAAGGUACCUUGCAAAAGAAUGUACAACAUUUUAUUCUAGGUACUUGAAUGAUGUGGAAAUAAAGUAUAAUCACAAUGAUAGAAACUUUGUUGGUUUCAACACUAGAGGAGAUGAAAGGGGUUAUCUUUAAACAUAUUGGACAUGCAUUGGGAAAGCCCAUAUUUCAUUAACUUAGUUCAAAAGAGUGGUCACAAGCACAUUUAUAUGUGUUGACAAAUUGCGAAGAUGUCAUACCAUUCAUUGAGUAAAAAAUUUAUUUGAAUUUUAAUUAAAGCUCUAGUUUAUAUCCUUAAUCAAUGUUUUUUAAAUUCACAAGGAGCACAAGCAAACCAUCAAGGCUAGACCACAUAUACGUGUUUGAGACGUAGAUUUAAUUCAUAACAAGGAAUUUAUCAAGUGGUUUGAAAGACAUGUAAGUAUAUUCCUUAUUAUAAGGGAUUUAUUUCACAUUAUGUUUAUAUUGAAUCCAAACCUAUUAUUGAAUUGUAGGUUGAACAAUUACAUAAUGAAGGUCAUAUAUCUGAACACCUUCUCACAUUAUCAUGUGUUCCAAAUUCAUUAGUUACAUGCUUCAAAUGAUAUAUUGUCAAUGGAUUUAGAUCCCACAUUAAAGAACGUGAUAAAAAAGUUUUUAAAAAAAGACUCAGAAUAAUGGAAUUGUUGUAGUUGCAAAAACGUCAAGCUUUACAAGUGCAUGUGAUAUGAGUCCAAUUAUUAGUGAUGCUCUCUACUAUGGUGUUCUAACUAAAGUUGUUGAGUUACAUUAUCUUGGUGAAAAUAAGGUUGUUUUAUUCGAGUUUGAUUGGUGGGAUGUUACAAAUAUUGGAAAAUUGAUAAAAGAUGAUGAGUACAAUUACACAUUUGUUAACUUUGCAUGAAUUCUAACCACGAACGAACGAUUUGUACUUGCAUCUCCAGCAAAGUAAGUGUUCUAUGUGAAGAAUGCGAAUGAAUCAGAUUGGCAUACUAUCAUGGAGAUGCAACCUCAAGACCUCUAUAAGAUGAACGGGAUAGGAUCCAAUGGUGAUUUUGAACCAUUUCAACAAAGUGAACUACAUGAUCACUAAUAUAUCUCAGAUUUAGUUGAUGAAGAUAUAAUCAAGUGGAACAAAAGUGAUGUUUUAGGACUAAUCAUCCUAAAAAAUAUUGUAGUUUCUUAAAAAAAAAAUGAAAAUGAAGAAGAUAAUUGAACCUUUGUCAUACUUUAAAAAGCAACUAUGCAUUGUUCAUUUUGUAUGUUUUGGUUUUCUUCAUUUAAUUUCCUGAUUUUUGUGAUUCAAUGUCAUAUUAUUGAUCUUGAAAUAUUUUUCUAAUUUUUCAUUCUACGAUGGUUUCAACAAGGAUGACAUCAAGUCAAAAAAGGAAAUGUGGUCCCACACACAAUAUUGCAUUACAGGGAUUAAGGUCAGGGAAGAAGGUAAAAGUUGCAUUUAAUGAGUACAAUCAAUUGGUUAAACAGAAAAAUGGAAAACACUUAUCGAGCUACAUAGGGACACUUGUAUCUAACCAACACAAUGUACCUCUCCAAGCUAGUGAUUGGAAAAAUGUUCCAAAUGAUGCAAAAGAGAAAGUAUGGCCUUUGUUUUGGUAUGUUGUAUUUCUCACUAUAUGAUGUCAUUUCACUGUUAUUCUAUUUUGUGACUAACGUUUGAAUCAUAUGUAAGAAAAAUUUGAAGUAGAUAAAGACUGAAAAGAUUACAUGUUGGGUAUAGCCUCAAAUAAAUAUAGAAGCUAUAAAAAUAUGAUGAAUGCAAAAUACUAUGACCCUUGGCAUAAGGAUGCAUGAGGAGAGGUUAAUACAUAAAUCACCAUUUGUCUCUGAUGUUGAUUGGAAGUGGCUUGUCUCUGAUGCAUAAACCAAAUCCCCCACUGAAUGUUUGAUAUUUGAUAGCAGGAAAAACACACCCGCAGCUAUACACCUCCAUCAUUCAGAUAAUUAUAGUGGGGGAGAUGAUUCAUGGUUGCCCUUAUACCCUUUAUUUGCACCAUCUAUUGAGAUUCUUUAUCAUGGCCAGGUUUUACUGCAGCAAUAAGAUAUGGUGGCAACAAUUUUAUCUAUAGGUGCGGUUCCAGACCGCCUCCAUAGGUGCGGUUCCUGACUGCCUCCAUAGGUGCCUCUUCUUGUAAUGUUUGUUCUGGGAAUUACACUUGAAAGCCUUAUCGUGAUAAGGGAUUACAAACACUAGUUCAGAGGACAGCCAUGUUAAACUUCCACUAUGUUUGUGUCACAUUAUCAGCAGCCUAGUGUUUAUUGGUCAUGCUAUCUGCAACUAAUAUAACCCGGUGAACUUCAAUCUAAAUUCUGAAAGUACUCAUGUGACAGAUGGUGCCUUUCAGCAGAUAUCAUCAAUUUAAAAGUAGUGUGUGUGCCUAUAGGUGGGAAGGCCUUGGCAAAUGUUCAGUAUUCCGGUAAUUCAAGAAGGAUAUAUCUAAAAUAGAUUUUCUUCUUGCCCAUUUCAAUAGUUAAAAUUUGAGAAGAUUGUGUCCACAUCACACAAAUAUUAUUGGUCCUUCUGUUGCAAUUUACCUCUGAACAUGUCUUCCAAUUCCCACGGUCCUGUUACUCCAGGAAAACUAUUUCGGUCAUAUUGAAAAAAAAAAUAUUAAAGAAGGUACACAUGCUUUUAAGUGGACUGGGGCAUUCAUAUCAGGUGGUCUGUAUCCACAUAUGCCACUUCGUGAAAGGUGGAACAGCCUAAUCACUAGGCUAUUUAGUGUGGCCCAGCCACGUUAAUCAAGCACAAGUCUUCAUACUUAAAGUCAAAUGGUGUCUUUAGUCUCAUUACACAUCGCUAUUUGAAGAUUAACUCAUCACUAGUGUAAUGCGAUUAAGACAGUCCUAACUCAAUAUUUGUUCUAGUUUUGGAUGCAAAUGCUUGCUGGUUUCAUCAUUGGAUGGGAUAAAGGUGCAAUCAGGACUAUGAAUACGUGCAGUAAUACUUCAUUCUCUUUUUUCUCAAUGAGACUUCUUGGCACAAUUUUGCUGCUCAGCAACCUACCUUUCCAUGGAAAAUCAGUUGUGACUGAUAGUAAUGGAUAUAUUCUAGAAAGCUAAACAUAGAUAGCAUUCAAUAUUAUCGAUAUAACAUUAACAGCGUAUGUCUCAAUGCUCAUCAGCUACAAGCAAUGGACAAACACUUUGAGUAACUCACAGCAGUCAAAAUUCCUAAACAGGACAGACGUGACAGAUCUAUAUAUAGAACACUGCAUAUGAGUCACAGGAAAAGAUAAUACGGGUACAUAGAAGCUCUUAUUUUACAUAUUACUCAUACUGAUCAAAGUCGCUCAGUUGGGAUGGAUGGGAGAAGGAGGUUUGAGGGGUGGCUUGUGCGGGGAAGUUGGCAGCUUCUUUCCGGGAGCUGGUUGCUUCUUUGCUGGAGUUGAAGGAGGCUUAAUCUUCCGAGGUGGCUUGUAUGAGUCUUCAGCAUUCUCAGCAGGAGGGUGACCAGGGUUGUGACCAUAAUGUGGUGGCUUCUCUCCCUUAGGUGGUUUGCCAACUGGGGUUGGUGGCUUGUUUUCUGGGAGUGGCUUCUCUCCCUUGGGUGGUUUGCCAACUGGGGUUGGUGGCUUGUGUUCUGGGAGUGGCUUCUCCCCCUUGGGAGGUUUUUCGAAUGGGGUGGGUUUGUGUCCUGGUGGUGGCUUCUCUCCCUUGGGAGGUUUACCAAUUGGGGUCGGUGGCUUGUGUUCUGGGAGGGGCUUCUCUCCCUGGGGAGGUUUAGUGGGUGGCUUGUGUUCUGGAGGUGGCUUCUCCACCGGAGGCUUAUGCUCUGGUGGUGGCUUCUCGAAGGGGGGAUGCUCAGGGUAAUCACCAAGUGAGGGGGUGGUGAGAACCACCAUGCCAAGCAACAACACUAGCAAGUAUGUAGUAGACAUCUUUGGGUUUGGACUCAGACAGUGCAAAACUACGAGAAAUCGCUAGCCCUUUAUAGCGGCUCGGACCUAAUACUGACAUAAUAUAAAAUAAAUAUUAUAUUUUAUCAAGAGAGAACAGAGUGUAAUUUUAUCAUUAAUACCGAUCGAGGCCAAAGAAAGAAGACCCAUAAUCCAUUUCCCACAAGCAUACACAAUGCAGCUGUAAUUUUAUCAUUUACUUUUAUCCCUUGGACCACUGCAUUUUUGUUGAGAGACACAAUAACACAUUUUUAUCUGUCAUUCAACAUUUACAGUAAAGAGAGGGCACAAAACGCAAUUAGAUAAAUUAUGUUUUGCCUGCUAAAAAGAGGCAAAUAACUUUAUUUGCAACAUAAUUAUUUUGGUUUCUAGUGACCCCGGGGCCUUUCGGUUGGUUUGGGAUCGGAAAAUGAACAUCAUAGGGGGGGUUGUGCCCUUAUGGGCAUAUAUAUCUGAUAGCUUCAACUGGCCUUGUUCCUAGAAAGAAAUUGCCAAAGAUAUAAACUUAUUCCAGGCUGAAAGUAGAUGAGAGUCAUAAUGAACAUCAACCUUUGUUCAGUUUGAUUCAAUGCCCCCAUAGUGUUCAUUUCACAGAUCUGAAUGAUUAUAUCCGUUGAAUACAUAAAUUAAUGAAGACAAAUAUGAAACCCAAGAUACAUCUCUGCAUAACAACCCCAACCCUGGUUGCUAUGUUUCCCUUCUUCUAUUCACAUGAGGAUACUGGUUAUAAUUGUCAAACUUGCAACAAGCCCUUUGACACCUAACGUCAAUGGACGAAUUAAAAGUCUCCUUCAAACGUCUAUUUCACAGCAUGAAGCUUAUAAAGGAUGCUGACAACCUUCAGAGUUAGCGACAAAAGAUAAUUAUCAAGGAGAGAUAGUUCCAUGAGAAUUCCAAGGAGUCUGAAUCAAAGACAAAUUGCUCACUCAAGGGUUCUUAUUUUCUUUUAGGUACAAAUCUCUUGAGUGUUGUUAAAGAAACACGUCACUGUCAUUUUGAUUUGCAUUUAACAUUUCACUUUUGUUCUGGAAGGUUUGUUCCGGAAACAUAUCAAAUGAGCAUCAUUUUCUUCUUCGGUGACACAUGGUCGCGAGUACGUGGGUCCAUUUUCAUGCCACUUAGUUGAAAAGUUGGAAAGAAAAAACAUGCCAACAAGAAGAUAGUGAGAGAAGGGGCACUUCAAGCCUUUAACAUGAACAAACAGUAAAUAAAAGAUGUUUCUCCACUCAUAAAAGUGUGUUAGAUAGCAAUAUAACGAAUCACAUCCAAAAUCUUUACUAGGCUCAAACAUAAAGAAGACUCAUUUUUAAGAAAAGAUAAAAAUGGCAUUGUCUGAUAGUAUCCAAUACACGAGAUGGCACUUAAUUUGUACAAGAUCUGUCAAUGCUGACGCACAUUUUCUGAUUAAAAAAAAACUGAUCAGUCAAAAGCAAUGAAGAGAAGUGAUGACAAUGAAUGAUGCUUCCAAUAUUUUCACCCCUUAUAGUGUUCUUCAUGAUUCAGAUAUAUAAUUGGAAAUAGAACAACCCUAUGCCAUACAUUCGUCUAAGUAUGGUGUCUAAUUUUUUGUGUCAGCGGUUGCGAAUGGAGCGUGCAAAAGUCCAAAUUGGCGUCUCUCCAUUUCCACAUAGGAAGGUGACCUUUAUUGACAAAUACCCAAUAUUUGUAGACAUUCCUUAAAUAUCAUAACUUCUUGUUGAUUUGAAAAUCAUUUUUCAACUACCAUGUUUUAAUAAAUAUUUUUUAAAAUGUAUUUUUAUCAAAGUCCACCAUGAUGGAUAAUAUUCACCAUGCAAUAAUUAAUAAAGUACAAACUAAGCGAAAUGAAAAGCAUUUUCUUUGCUUUGAGUUGAUUUUGGUUGCAUUGAGUUGAUUUUGGUUUCAUGGUUUUUUCAACUCUUAUUUUGAUUGGAAGAUGUCAAGAAAAGAAAACAUAAAGAAAAAUUAAAAGGGAAAAAAGAAGAAAAAUAAAAAAAAAUAGAUUUAAAAGUUAAUAAAUUAUUUUUUAUAUUUAUUUUAAUUCAUUUCACUUAUUUUUCUUUUACUAUAUAAAAUUUAAAUAAUUUAAAUUUUAUAAUUAAUUUAAUUACAUUUCAUUUUCUUCUAUAUUUAAAUAUUGGAAAAAUAUUUUACUUAAUAUUUUUUUCUUUAAUUUCUUUGGCAUUUUGGGAACCAAACUUAGCCUUUAAAAUAAAAAACAAAAAAAAAAUGAAAAUAAGGAGGGAAAAGUGAGAAAAGAUAAAAACAAUAUGUAAAGGAUUUGAAAAGUAUUAGUUUGUAAUUACUAUUUGGAUUUCAAUAGUAUUUUAUUUGUCUUUCUAUAUUUCAUGUAAGAGAGAAUUUAAGAUAUUCCCCAAGGCAAAGCAUUAGUUACCUGCAAUCAGUGGUGAUAAGGCUCCAAGCCAAUUUUGGGCCCCAUAUCUUAAGACAGUACAAUUUCCAUUUCAACAUUUCUGAUUUCUCAGAUGUUUCACAUACCACAGAAGAACAUUGUUUGUGAAAAUAUGCAUUUAUGUUGGAUUUUGUAUGCUGUGGGGACUGGGGCAAGGAUCAUAUGGAAGAGUGGUUGACUUUUUCUGUACUUUAACGGUUGAAAUAGGAUAAGCACGGGCAUUUGUGAGGCUUAAUUGAUUUUGAAGCCUGAAAUUGCGUUUCUGUCAUUUUGUCAAAAAAAUGGCAGAUUCCAUACUCAUAUGUUUGGCCUGUGGCCAUGUACAGAUGCCAUUUAGUGACCAGUUUGUAACUGUCAAUCGUUGCGUUUUGACUCUGCCUCAACAACAUCUGCCAUUGACGGGUUUUCAUACUUGCAAAUCAAAUAGUCUUUCGUCCCAUCAGGAAUUUCGGUUUAAAUAUUAUUAAGCAUACGUUUGGCUGACAAUCAUUAUCCAGUUCAUGAUUUGGUUUCUUACCCUUAAUCAAUGGUUUCUAAGUGAAUAUAUGUAGAAGGAAAUCCGAAGUGUAGACAGUAGUAUCGAUAACUCUCAAUAUUCUCUAUAUAAUAGAAUAAACAGCGUCAUAGUGAUCGUCGCCUACAAGCAAGGUACAAAUACCAAAACGAGUGACUCACAUAGACAUCUCCCAACAAGAUGUAGUAGUGACUGACACAUGGACACAAUUAACUCGUAGAAAAGGAUAAGACCAUUGCACAGCAGCUCUUAUUUUACAUACUACUUAUGCUAACCAAAGUCAAUUAGUUGGGAUGGGUGGGAGAUGGAGGUUUGUGCGGUGGCUUGUGGGGCGGAGUUGAUGGCUUCUUUCCAGGAGCUUCUGGCUUUUUCAUCGGAGCUGAAGGAGGCUCAAUCUUAUGAGGCGGCUUGUAUGAGUCUUCUUUACUCUCGACAGGAGGGUGGCCAGGGUUGUGAUCAUAAUGUGGUGGCUUCUCUCCCUUAGGUGGCUUGCCAACUGGGGUUGGUGGCUUGUGUUCAGGAAGUGGUUUCUCUCCCAUGGGAGGUUUAGCAAUUGGGGUUGGUGGCUUGUGUUCUGGGAGUGGCUUCUCUCCCUUGGGAGGUUUAGUAGGUGACUUGUGUUCUGGAGGUGGCUUCUCCACCGGAGGCUUGUGCUCCGGUGGUGGCUUCUUGGUUGGAGGGGGCUUGGGGUAAUCAGCAAGAGAUGGGGUGGUGAGAACCACCAGUCCAAGGAACAACACUAGCAAGUAUGUGGGAGACAUUUUUGAGUUUGGGCUGAUCAGAUGAUGCAAAACUAAAGCAUUACGUGACCUUUUAUAGCAUGUAGCUCCCAAUACCCACUAAGUAUUGUGGGGUCCAUUUGUGCCCUACGGGGUUGAAAACUUAGACAAUUGGGCAAGGACCCACCUGACUAUGGAGGACUAGUGAGGUGUGAUCAUAGCUUUAGGAUUUUUCUUCCUCUGCAGCCGUCGUGCCGUUGGCAUGAUUUUCUUAAUCUUAAAUAAAGGCAUAGUUAUAGAGUUGUUUAAUCUCUAAAUGGGAUUUUAUAUAUAUCUUCAGAUAGCCAUUAAUAUAUUUGAUGAAGAAAGAAAGACAAGUGCAUACAACAUGUAUACGACUAGCUUUCAUGGAGUUCAUUUAUGAUCAGUUUUCCUGUACAUGUAAACCAGGAUCAUAUAUAUGUUUCUGUUCCACAACUAUUUUGGAAUCUUGUUUAUCAGUUUUUAUCAUUAUAAUGUCACAUAGGCUGCCAACUUGGGCGCUAAAAGAACCAGUUGGGCUAGUUCGUUUCAGAAUUUCAAUGUGGAUUCAGGAAUUGUUUUGUAAGAUAUGCGAAAUAGUAGAGGGAUGAAUAGUGUUUCAUUAAUAAAAGUGUCCUGUAAAUUAGAAGGUGUCAUAGAAACUAUAAUCAAUAAAUAACUUUUUUUCCCCACGGGUGGUGUUUCUUGUGGGGAUCAGUGACUGGUUUAGGUUCACCCAAAAUGAGUUCAGACUAAAAUUGGUUUGAGUCAAUGCCGUGUCUCUUUUUUCCAGAAAUCAACUAUUUUAUGCAUUGAAUAAAUCAUACAAAGAAAAUAUGAACGCCCGCAAAACCUAAACCCUGGUUGCUAACUUUCUAUGUUUCAGUUCUAUUCACGCAAGAAUAUUAGUUUAAGUUUGGGAAAAAUGGCAACUUACCUAGUGAUUACUUGGUUUUGGUUUGCGACUAUUUACGCAACCAACCAUGAGUUUGACUUUAACGUCAUGGGUUGAAGCCUCCUACAGGAAGGGAGAAAGCUCCACAGCUAGCUCCAAAAGAGAAUUAUCACAUUGAUAGCUCCAGAGAUUCCCAAGGGGACUGAAUCAAAGACAAGUUCCUCACUUUUUCUUCUUUUGAGGCCAAAUAUGAACCAAGGAUCACACAACCUCAUUCAACUUCAUAAGUUUGAUUUCAUGCAGUUGAACACUGGGUGAAGGCCAUGACAAGAAUUGAUUCAAAAAUUCUAUCACUCUUUUAAGUAAUGGAAGAUUAUUAUCUCUGAUUGGCAUCACAACAGCACAUGCUCCUAGAUCUUUCUAGACACUCCAUGCAAUGAAAGCACAAUGGAUCUUGUAACGAUAGAAACUAAGCCAUGCUACAGUACUAGAUGAUGAGGUAAAACUAGUAGACACGGGUGGCAGCCUAUAUGGGAGGGACACAAGUCUAAUUGAUUUGCAUUUCAGCAUUAUAGAUAGGUAUGUUUUGGAAGAUUUGUUCUGGAAAUACCGCACCAAGUAGGAUUCUUUUUCUCUUUAGUGGGUCCACUUGCAUGCCAAUUAACGAGUUGAAAAGUAUGAGCACCUACCUCGUGCUCGUGGAACCGAAGGUCAGUGAAGUGGGGCUCCUUUUGGCCUCGUGUAAACUUGAUUCAGAAGUGAAGUUAAUAGUCUUCCAUUCAGAUGGAUACAUGGGAAUUUUUCUCUUUUAUUUAUUUAUUUAUUUUUUUUUUGUGUGUGUAUGUCAAAGGAUAAUGAAUGAAGCGCGUUAGCUUGUUUUCUGACUGGAACCGCAGAUGUCCAAAUUGGAGUUCCUUCAUUUCUUACUUAGGAUUGUUACAUGUAUAAACAAGGUAUAAGAAAUAUGCCAACGUGUCUUGAGGAGUUAUUGAUUAGAAAUAACAAGUCACCCGACUGUAGAGUUCCAAGAUUUGAAUCUUCAGACCCUAUAGCAGCCUCUGGGGUACGUGGCAUCCUAUAGCAUAUUAAUGAAGGCUUUUUCGAUUUAGACUUCACAAUACCAAUUAAUAUGUAUGCACAAAAUGGAGAUGACCCCAAAAAAAACAGAAUCGCCAUAGUUUAUGAGGUUAAGGUGAUUCUCCACUUAAUAUCUACAUUAGCUAAUUAUGUAAAUCAAAUGAACUUCUAUUUUUCCUUUUUUUUUUUGGUUUAUGUCAAAUAGUAGCCCAUAAUUAACCCAACCAUUAGCCUGUUUGAAUUGAUUUCACAUGCACAAUGUUGUAGUAGUUCAUAUUUUGAAUUUUAUUUUUACAAAGGUAGUUAAGGAAAAUGAAGUAUAAUAAUUAUAAAAGCAGACUAUAUACACUACAAUAAUUGUUAGAAUGGUAUCUCAAAUUCUAAUUUAAAAUAUUAUUUUUUGUAAAAGAAAUAUUAUAUAGAAUAUUUCCUAAUUUUAUAAAUGAUUAUAAUUAGAUCUUUAUAAAAUAAGGAAAGUUGGUAAGAAUAUCUUUAUAAAUAUUUUAGGUCAUGAGAGAAAGAAAUGGGAUAAAAAUGUGAUGAAGAGGUGAAAUAAGAGAGUUGAUUAGGAUAUAGAUGUGAAGAAGAAAGGGAUUCAAUAUAUAUAUAUCUUUCAAUUACCACAUUAAAACCCUGUGAACCUUUUAUAUGGUUUACUUUAUUUUUAUAUUCCUCCUUUAAUAUAUUUACAUUAAUGCUUCCAUUGGCACAACAAUAACGAAUUACAAAUACAAGCAACAAGUCCCAUGUUUUAUUACCAAAAGCAGGUAAAAUCCACCUAAUAUAUUACAAUAUAUUCAUCCAAUAUUUUAGACCAAUUCUUCACCAUAAAUAUCAUAAUGUGGCUUUUGUUCUUUCUUAAAUUUAAAUUGAAUUGUCUUAUAUCAAUUUGUUUGUGAUUUUUUCAUUAACUUCACUUUCAUUUGGUUAUCUUUGGUUUUUGAAAAGUAUUAAGGAAUUAAUUAACAAAAUAAUGUUAAGAAAAAUAAUUUUCUCUCUUUUGAUUUUGAUUUUGUAGUAGAAAAAUAUAAUUAAAAUUAUUUAAAAAGUAUGUAAUUUUAAAUUAUUUAAUAUUUAGAUAAAAAAAAUAAGUCUAAUGAGUUUAAAAUAACAUAUAAAAAUAAUUUAUUUAUUUUAAAUUUAUUUUUUAUUUUCCAUUAUGUUCUCUUUCUCUUUUACUUUUUCAUAUUUUUUCUUACGAAGAAUCAAACACAACCUCAUAUUAUAUGUCAAGUGUUUGUCUAUAUUUGAGCAAUGUUAGAUACGGCCAUGGAUUCAUCAAACUAAACUGAUUUUAAUAGAUACUUCACAAAUUGAUUUAUACACUAAAUCAUUGGAUAGCAAUGAUGCAUUGGAAUUAAACGUAGGAUGAAGCUCGAAGAACACUGUUUGUGUAACAACAUAUUUAUGAAAUUAUGCAAAGGAUGAGCUUCGGGGUAGUAGUACAAGGUCAUUAAUGGAGAGCCGUGUUAAACCUUGAUUGUGAUUGGAUUCCGUUAUCAGCAACAGCAACCUUGUUUGUAACCUUGAAAGUCAUUCUGUCCACAUCGAAACUCCAAUUUGACGUUUGUAAUUACCAUUCCUGGAGUGUUCCUUGAUUGAAAUUUAAAUAAUAAUUGCGGCCCACAAGGAAUAUUUUCGAUUCUGUGGGAAUUUGACAAGGUUUGUUAGAGAAGACUGGUGACAUGUUGACUUCAAUGGUUCAAAUAGGAGACGUAUGUGGAUUUGGGGGGUUUAAUUGAAACUGAGUCCCUAUGGCUUUUUAAUAUUUGCAUUGAGCAGUCUCCAUGUGACUUCCUAAUUCCCACCAACCCUCCUGUCCAUGCUGUGAAACUAAAUUGUAAUUUAUCAGCCUUUGUCAAUGGUUUCUAAAUUAAAGAUAUAGACCAUGCAUGUACUUUAAUAAAAGCAAAUCUAAAGUGUAGAUAGCAGCAAUGGUGACACCCAAUAUUCUCCAUAAAAUAGAAUUAGAAUAAGCAGUGUUACAUUGUUCAUGAUCACCUACAAGCAUACAAGAACUUCCAUGAAUAACUCAUAGCAAUUGCCAACAGGGCGUCGUAGAGACUCAUACAUAGAACACUAUCCACCCAGAGGAAAGGACAAGACCAGUGCGCUGCAGCUCUUAUUUUUCACAUGUAUACCACCACUCGUAAUAACCAAAUUCACUCAGUUGGGAUAGGUGGGAGAUGGUGGUUUGUGGGGUGGCUUGUGGGGAGGAGUUGGAGGAGGCUUUAUUUUCUGAGGCGGCUUGUAUGAGUGUGCAGGAGGAUGCCCGGGAGUGUGACCAUAAUGUGGUGGCUUCUCUCCCGUAGGUGGUUUGCCAAAUGGGCUUGGUGGCUUCUCUCCCUUAGGAGGUUUACCAAUUGGGGUUGGUGGCUUGUGUUCUGGGAGUGGUUUCUCUCCCUUGGUAGGUUUGCCAAUUGGGGUUGGCGGCUUAUGUUCUGGGAGUGGCUUCUCUCCCUUGGGAGGUUUGCUAAUUGGGGUUGGCGGCUUAUGUUCUGGGGGCGGCUUCUCUCCCUUGGGAGGUUUGCCAAUUGGAGUUGGCGGCUUAUGUUCUGGGAGUGGCUUUUCUCCCUUGGGAGGCUUGCCAAUUGGGGUUGGCGGCUUAUGUUCUGGGGGUGGCUUCUCUCCUUUAGGAGGUUUGCCAAUUGGAGUCGGCGGCUUAUGUUCUGGAAGUGGCUUUUUUCCCUUGGGAGGUUUGCCAAUUGGGGUUGGCGGCUUAUGUUCUGGGGGUGGCUUCUCUCCCUUGGGAGGUUUGCCAAUUGGAGUCGGCGGCUUAUGUUCUGGGAGUGGCUUCUCUCCCUUGGGAGGUUUUGUUGGUGGCUUGUGUUCUGGAGAUGGCUUCUCCCCUGGAGGCUUGUGCUCCGGAGGUGGCUUCUGAAAUGGCGGGGGCUUGGGGUAAUGAGCAAGAGAUGGAGUACUGGUGAGAACCACCAUUCCAAGCAACAAUACUAGCAAGCAUGUGGGAGACAUCUUUGAGUAGUUGUAGCUAAGAUGGCGCAACACUGUAGGCAUUGGGUGGCCUUUUAUAAAGGGCUGGACCCAACAGCCAUAUGACACGUGUCAUGAUGACAAAUGAAGUUGAGGGGAUCCAGAUGGGUCCUACUGAGUCGAAAACUUGCACUAAUUGAUCUGGUGAGAUGACUAUUUCUGUCCUUUUGCCCUUCUCGGCCACCCUGUGCUGUUUUCCUUUUGCACGAUUUUCGUUGCCAAACAAGCAAAUAAUAUUUCGCCAAGAAAGAGGAGAGUGAAUGUGGAAUGCAUCAAGUCCCAUCAAGGAUGGCAGAGAAGAAAUAGAAGAUUGCCCAACUGUGAUAAACAUAGCAUACACGUAGCACCAGGAACUUCAUUUACUUCCAUCUAAUGGAACAUAACAAUCUUCUAAAGUUUUUGCAUGAUUUUGUUAUAUGUCUCUUAGCCUAAAGUUGGAAAUGCGCAACAAAUUUUGUCACUUCUCUAUUUCCCACUGAUGAUGUUAAUUAGCCUUCAUAGAUAUCAUCCUUUCUACAAAGUGCUUCAUUUGUGUGUUAUUGUAAAGUGUAAGAAAAGUAAUUGAACAUGUUCUUUUUCCUUUCAUAGAUGACUUUUGAUGUGCAUUUUAAAAGCAGCGCUGUGAGUCGGUGACCUUGAUUCACACGGAAACUAAGGCUCCUAUAGGACCCACUUUUAGCUGGUUAGGGGUGAAGAAAAUAUCAACUUUUCAGAGUGAUUUAAGUCAAGGCCAAGCCUCACUGUGUCAUUACUCGUGUGAAUUUUAUAUGCACAUACAUACAUAAAUAAAGUAUGAGACCCAAAUAACACCUUCCCUUUACAAACUUAACCCCAGCCGCUCUCUUUCAAUUCUUUUCACACAAGGGUAUUGACUCUAUAAAGGUCAAGAAAAUCAUAAUUUCCUAGGGUUUACAAGGUAAUUGGCUUAAUGCUAAUGUGAAAACAUAAAAGAUAAUAGUAUAUUGUAAGCUAACGAAUAUUCUAUAGUUAUAAUUAUUUGUGAUGUGCAUAAAUAAAUCUUCAUAUAUAUAAUGGAACAAUGAAUAAAGAACCAAUGAAAAAAUACUAUAUAUCAUUGCUUGGCAUUUAAACCGUAUAUGCUGCUCUUUCUAGCUACUCCAUCCACUGAAAGACAACAAGGUAAUCCAUGUUAUAAUGAUAGAAGAUACUGUCUCUAGGCUUUUUGUGAUGAAAAAUAUAAGAUAUGGGUAGGGUUGACCCUUGUAUGUUUGUCCUAUAAACACUUCAAAGUAACAUAUUUUUCUUCUUUAGCAACUCAUAAUGAUGGGGUUCAUUUGCAUGUCACUGAGUUGAAAAGUUGGACAAUUGCCCAUGUCGCCUUCCUCCUAGAUUCCGUAGUUCACGGGAAGGUAACUCAAGUUUGACAUAUUUUGAAUUCUUUUCACUCGGACGUCUUCAUAACCUGACAAAACAAAAAUGAAAAACAGAGGAUUGGUAUAUUAUUCAUGGUAAGCCUCAAAUUAUAGUAGUAUGAGAAAGGAGAAAAAGAUUUUGGGAACUCCAAUCUGGAUAAUUCUCGUUUCUUCUCUUGAAUAAAAAUUUCACUUACCUAACUUCGUUUGGAGAAAUGGCAUAUUUUAAUUUUGUACGUCAUUGCUAAUAAAUGGAGCAAUUUAGCAUGUUUUGUGACUGAAACUGCAAAUGUCCAAUUGGCAUUUCUUCAUUUCCCACUUAGGAUCUGAUCUUGUAGACCAUAUAACGAUAUGUAUCUGUGCAAGCAUUGAAAACUAAUGUGAACUAUGAGGAGUUACAAGCCACUGGACUGUAGAGCGAGUGCCAAGAUUUAAAUCUUCAGGCUCUAUCUGGGUAAGGGGAGGAUAGCGACCUAACCUUUUACCAAAGGCUUAGAAUUUAGACUUUUGGAAAAAAAUUUCUCAUGUUUUGGCUGGAUUUCUUGUGCUUGGCGCAAAAAGGAGAUGGCCUCAAGAAAUAGCAGACUCACUUUUGUUUUCAGCCCUUAAUAAUUCUCCACUGCUUUCCAUAACUACAUGGGUUAUACAUGCAGUCUGCUGCAAUAUUCCAGUUAUAUUUAUUAUUUCAAAGAGGGUGAAUGACUUCACAUGCAAUAUGUUGCAGUAACAACCCAAAUUUUGGCACACCAUCUUAAGAAUAGAAAAGUAUAAUAAAAGAAAUCAAUCAGAGAAUCACUUUGCAUGCAGUUCAUAGAGUUCGCCCAAAAUGGAGCCACAUGUACGGACAACCCCACAAUAGACAAUCUUCUCUAUACAGUAAUAAAAUACAGAAAUGGUUAAUGAAGCUCUGUAUUUCCUUAUCAUAUAUGACCGGUUGAAAACUCAGCAAGUCUUCCUCAAUCACAGACAGUUGGAGUUGCUUCAUCAAAAUCAUGCCUUCAUUACUGGCUUCAUUUUGGUUUCAAUGUCUGUUCUACCCUUAAAUUGGGUCUCUGCUUACUACCGGGAUAUCCUUUAGCGUCCUGCAAUUCUACUAGAUUAAAGAGAAUGACUUAAUUCUGCAUUCUGCCGUCCCUAGUCCAAGUGGUACUAGAAUUGAUGUUUCCUUUAGUGUCCUUUCUUCAUACUUUCAGGUUCUUCCCUUGUUUCAAUAAUGCUGUUUUCCUUCAUGUUUAACCUCUGUUGAACCACUUAAAACAACACAAUUUGCACACCAAUGUUUCUUUACAGAAAAGACUGUUUGCAAAAAUGCACAUGUUAUAAGGUUAAUGGAAGAAUUAAUUUGGGGAUAAGGGACUAGGAUUGGGCCAAUGAAGUUUGGUGUUAAAUUUUGAUUAUGAUUGCUUUUCAUUAUCAGGUACCUUAUAUUUGCUGAUGCUAUCUGGAACUAAAUUCAAAUCAGACAUUAUCCGAUUACUAACAGGACAUAUCAUGUCCCUCUGCAGAGUUUCUAAACUAACAUGUAUCGAAAUGUGGCCCCAAAAGGAAGGCUAGGAAGAUGGAGGAUUUUGUAGGAAUCGACCAGAAUCAGAUGGAAGAGAGAUAGUCCUGUUGACUUUAAUGGUUGUGAUAGGAACAUGCAUCAUUAUAUGAGAAGUUGCAUGAAUUUAUGUAUCCUGUUAUCGUUCCUUGACGAUUUCCCAAUGCAAUUUCACUGUCCACAAGACUAACCUCUCCAUGCAGUCAAAUGAAUUGUAAUUUCUCUAUUGGUACCAGUAGUACAUUUCAUACCAAACAUAUAGUAAAUAUAAAAUAUAAAUAGAUCAAGGAAAUCUGAAUUGUAGAUAGCACUGCAAGUAACACUCAAUAUUCUCUAUAUAUAAUAAAAUAAACAGUGUCACAAUACUCAUCACCCAGUGGCAAGGGAGAAAAACCUACAAUGAGUACUCAAAUCACCAUUCUCAAACAGAAACAUAGCAGUGACUGAUACAUAGAACCUAUAUGCUCACAGGGAAAGAAUAAGAUGACCAGUGCACAGCGGGCAGCAGCUCUUAUUUUACGUACAACUCAAAUCCCAAACUAACCAAAGUCGCUCAGUUGGGAUGGGUGGGAGAUGGUGGUUUGUGGGAUGGCUUCUGGGUAGGAGCUGGUGGCUUCUGUCCCUUUGGUGGUUUGCCUAAUGAGCUUGGUGGCUUGUGCUCCGGGAGUUGUUUCUCUCCCUCGAGUAGGUUUCGAGUCUUGUCAGAUGGCUUGUGUUCUGGUGGUGGCUUCUCUCCCUGGGGUGGUUUGCCGAAUGGGCUUGGUGGCUUGUGUUCGGGGAGUGGCUUCUCUCCCUGGAGAAGGUUACGAGUUUUGUCAUAUGGCUUUUGUUCUGGUGGUGGCUUCUCUCCCUGGGGUGGUUUGCCGAAUGGGCUUGGUGGCUUGUGUUCGGGGAGUGGCUUCUCUCCCUGGAGAAGGUUACGAGUUUUGUCAGAUGGCUUGUGUUCUGGUGGUGGCUUCUCUCCCUGGGGUGGUUUGCCGAAUGGGCUUGGUGGCUUGUGUUCGGGGAGUGGCUUCUCUCCCUGGAGAAGGUUACGAGUUUUGUCAGAUGGCUUUUGUUCUGGUGGCGGCUUCUCUCCCUGGGGUGGUUUGCCAAAUGGGCUUGGUGGCUUGUGUUCGGGAACUGGCUUCUCUCCCUUGGGAGGUUCAGUUGGUGGCUGCUGUUCCGUAGGUGGUUUCUUCACCGGCGGCUUGUGCUCCGGAAGCGGCUUCUCUACCUGGAGAAGCUUACGAGUUUUGUCCGAUGGCUUGUGUUGUGGUGGUGGCUUCUCUCCCUGGGGUGGUUUGCCAAAUGGAGUUGGUGGCUUGUGUUCGGGGAGUGGCUUCUCUCCAUUGGGAGGUUUAGUUGGUGAUUGGUGUUCCGUAGGUGGUUUCUGAAGUGGGGGAUGCUUGGGGUAGUCAGCAAGAGACGAGGUAGUGAGAACCACCAGUCCCAGCAGCAACACUAGCAAGCAUGUGGAAGACAUCUUUGAGUUCAGGCUGAGAUCUGUGCAAGGAUAACAGAAUUAGGUGGCCUUUUAUAGAGGCCUGGACCCAACACCCAUAUGACACGUGUCAUGCACUCAUGGUGACACAUAAUUCUAUGGGACCAUUUGGGUCCUACAGAAGUUGCAAAGUUGGACUACUGAGGUGUGAUCACAACUUUUGUCCUUAUUGCUUUCUCUGCGGCCAUUGCACGAUUUCCUUUAGCAUCAUUUUCUUGGCUAAAUAAGCGUAUUAUAUUUGUGGCAGACCGUCCACGUGUCAUAAACAGAUAUAUUAUAAUAAUGUAGUAUGCUUUUCUCCAAUGGAACAUGACACUCUUCUAAGUCUUGUUUUAAAUAUUGUGCAGGAUUACUUUAUACGUUGCAGUUCCAAGUCAAAAUUGGUGGGCAAACGUUGGCCUUUUUUCAUUUCACCUAAGAUUAAUGCUCACCUGGGAUAGGCACUACAUGACUUAUCUGCUCUUUUACUGUAAAGUUGCUUUGUGUAUGAGAUACACCUCCCCUGCACACCCUCAACAUUCGUUGCUCUGUUUUCCUUGUGUCCAGACGAGGAUAUUAAUUGGAGGCUGACAAAACGACUGCUAGCCCAGGAUUUACAAGGUCCUGGUUUGAGGCUUCGGUGAAAGUAUUUUUGAAAAGACACACAUAGAGAUAGUGCGUUUGGUGCAAUGCAGCACUGUGAGCCAUUCUGACGCGUUCUUAAUUUCAAAACUAAUGAAUGCUUCAAAAUUUUAAGAAGUGACAUUUCCAAAUAUUUGAGUUCGUUUAAUUGAACAUUGGAUAACUAGUGAUCAUAGAUUAUUAUCUGUGCUUGGCACUAUAAGAGGGUAUAUGCUUCUUUUUCUGGCCCCUCCUUCAAGGGAGGAGGGACAAUGUGAUCUGUAACGUUAGAAGCUAUUCCAUGUCAUCUUUGGGCUCAGUUCAAAACUAAAAGAUAAUGGGGGGGGGGGGGGGGGGCAUAUCAUUUUAUAUUUCUUCUAGAAGGUUUGUUCUGGAAAUAUUUCACAGGAGCAUAUCUUUUUCUUCUAUUACGUCAUCCGCAGCCUCCAAUAGGUCGGUUAACAAGCCACCGAGUUGAAAAGUUGGAAAAAUGGGAACACAGCCCGCCUCUUGUAUUCAGUAGUUAAAUAAAAGGUCACUAGAAGUGAGAUCCCUUUUGGCGUCUUGAUUUUCAAUCCAGCACCUCUGUGACCUGACAAACCAAAAAAACUAAAAAAUAAAAAACAGUACGUGGGUUGGUGUUAAGCAUCAAGACAUGUUAAUGAAAGAAGGUAGAGAAUAGGAUAUUGAAAUCCCAAUCCUGAUAACAUGAUUUUCUUUGCUAACAACCAUAUUAUAUUUUAUCAAGAAAGAGUAAUGCAUGUGGCGUCCAUCAAGACCCAUUAGAGUUCCGCUAAAGCUAUAGUUCUGUCAACGUUAUCAUUUACGUUUCCUCUAGAUAAUGGCAUUUUCCUCUAAAGCUCUUGCACCAUUAGGCUUCAAGUCAAAAUUUCACAUGUGAACUUUGGAAAUUUUCUCCAUUUGCCCCUAAGGAUACAGUUAGAAUUGACUUAAAAUCCUGAUUGAUAUGUACUAUUAACCAAAGAAUAUUGUAUAUAAUAAUUGAAAUAUUGUUGAUUCAUCGUGGAAAUACAUUUUGUAAGGAAAGUUGUUGAGAAUUUAGUAUGCUAUAUGGAGAAAAAAGUCAUGACUUAAGGUUGUGUAUGUAUAUUCUAUAUCAAAUAUUAGGUAGGAAUGUGGGAAAGAGCAGAGUGUAAUGAUAAGAAACAAAGAAAUAUAAGAUAUUCUUGAAAGUGGAAAAUAUAAAAUGGCUAACGAGUCAAAUUUAUGAUGCGUAAGGGGGAUCAUGUCACAUAAGAAAACCAUGGCAUACUAAAGACGUACGUGUGGUAUGGAGUAAUAAUUUUGUUAAAAUAAGUUUCUUGUUGGAGUACAUUAGGUGACUAUUCAUAACGUAUCAAAUUAAAGAGUCAAGUGCAUCAAUGAAGGCAUAUGUAGAAAAUUUGUUUGUGACAUGUACCAUAAAGAUAAGAUUGACUUGAUAGAAUUUAGUCUAAGUAGGAGUUGUUAAAGGUGUCUUAAAUUUCUAAUUGAUGUAUAUUUUUUUCUAAAAAAAUAUUAUAUAGAUAUUUUAAUAAAUGAUUAAUUCUUUGUAAAAAUACUUACAUAAUAAAAAACAUCAUUAAAAAUAUCUUUAUAAAUAUUUUAAGUUACAAGAAGGAAAAAAACCACUGUGAGAUAAUGAUGAACAUGCAACACUGUACCAAGUAAAUAAAAAUGUGAUAAAAAAAAAAGAGAAACACUCGAUAAAGGAAGGCUCGUAUAUAAAGAGUAAUAUUUUUAAUCAUAUGAUAGAAUGAUUUUCUCUCAUUCAUGAAUAUAGGCAAGAUUGGGGAACCAUUAUAAAAUUUUGUACACCUCGUGUAAAUUGAUGUUUGUCUUCAUAUUUUACACCAACAAAUGACAUUGAAGUUGUCAUUGAUAAAAGGGAAAAGGCAUGCCUCCACACCAUGUGCUUGAUUCGAAUGGUUCAAGUUUGAAGAAUUUUCUCCGGAAGAUCUAAAACAUUUUCGCCUUUAAAUUUCAUUUGAUUAUUAAUAUCCGAAAAAAUAGUUAAAUACUCUUUCUAUUUUUGAGUUGUUGAAUUUUUUGAAAGUUUUUAUAUUUGUUAUCAAGAAUUUCUAUUUUAUUAAGGGUGAAUAUUUAUAAAUAAGAUAUUAUAUAAUAUUUGGAUAAGAGAGAAUGGUGGAAUAUAAUAAAGUUUUAAUCCUUCCCAAUUUUGAACCUUUUUUUUUUUUUUUGAUAUAAUCGCCUUUCUCUUGCAAUCCUAUUAUCAGGUACCUUAUAUUUGCUGAUGCUAUCUGGAACUAAAUUCCAAUCAGGCAUUGUCCAAUUACUAAUAGGACAGAUCAUAUCUCUCUGUUUCUAAACUAACAUGUAUCGUAAUGUGACCUCAUAAGGAAGGCUAGGAAGAUGGAGGAUUUUGUGGGAAGCGACCAGAAUCAGAUGGAAGAGAGAUAGCCCUGUUGACCUAAUGGCUGUAAUAGGAGAAGCGUGUGGUUUUAUGGGACUUAACUGAUACUAAACCUGUAUGAUGCUUGGAGUGGUGUUUCUUUCAUUUUGUUAAGAAAAUAUGGCAGCAUACAUGCUUUCAACUGAGUGCAUCAGAGCAUCCAUAACAGAUGGUCUGCAACCCUAGGUGCAUGCCACUUUCUGACUGAUAAUGAAAUUGUCAGGUACCUGGCCUUGACUAAGCUCAACAGCAUCACAUAAAGAGAAGCUUUCAUACUUAGAUUACUGUUUAAAGUUUUUGCUUAUUUGAUUUCUUAAUGCCAUUAUGACAUUAUUGAUUCAAUUCUGCUUCCGAUUUUCGAAGUUCUGGGCAUCUACUGAUUGCAUCAUUAUAUGAGAAGUUGCAUGAGUUUAUGUAUCCUGUUAUUGUUCCUUUGCGAUUUCACUGCUCACGGGACUAACCUCUCCAUUCAGUCGAAAUGAAUUGUAAUUUCUUUACUGGUAGCAGUAGUACUUUUCAUAGCAAAGAUAAUAGAAAAUAUGAAAUAUAAAUAGAAGGAAAUCUGGAUUGUAGAUAGCACCAUAAGUAACACUCAAUAUUCACUACAUAAUAAAUAGACAGUGUUACAUAGGUAGAGAAACCUACAAUGAGUACUCAUCACCAUUCUCAAACAGAAACAUAGCAGCGACUUAUACAUAGAACCUAUAGGCUCGCAGGGAAAGAGUAACAUGAUAAGUUCACAGCGGGUAGCAGCUCUUAUUUUACGUAUUACUCAAAAUCUCAAACUAACCAAAGUCACUCAGUUGGGAUGGGUAGGAGAUGGUGGUUUGUGGGGUGGCUUCUGGGUAGGAGCUGGUGGCUUCUUUGUUGGAGUUGAAGGAGGCAUAUUCUUCUGAGGUGGCUUGUAUGACUCUUCGGCACUCUCUGCAGGAGGGUGCCCAGGGUUGUGACCAGAAGGAGGUGGCUUCUGUCCCUUUGGUGGUUUGCCUAAUGGGCUUGGUGGCUUGUGCUCCGGGAGUUGUUUCUCUCCCUCGAGUAGGUUUCGAGUUUUGUCAGAUGGCUUGUGUUCUGGUGGUGGCUUCUCUCCCUGGGGUGGUUUGCCGAAUGGGCUUGGUGGCUUGUGUUCGGGGAGUGGCUUCUCUCCCUGGAGAAGGUUACGAGUUUUGUCAGAUGGCUUUUGUUCUGGUGGCGGCUUCUCUCCCUGGGGUGGUUUGCCAAAUGGGCUUGGUGGCUUGUGUUCGGGAACUGGCUUCUCUCCCUUGGGAGGUUCAUUUGGUGGCUGGUGUUCCGUAGGUGGUUCCUUCACCGGCGGCUUGUGCUCCGGAAGCGGCUUCUCUACCUGGAGAAGCUUACGAGUUUUGUCAGAUGGCUUGUGUUGUGGUGGUGGCUUCUCUCCCGGGGGUGGUUUGCCAAAUGGACUUGGUGGCUUGUGUUCGGGGAGUGGCUUCUCUCCAUGGGGAGGUUUAGUUGGUGGUUGGUGUUGCGUAGGUGGUUUCUGAAGUGGGGGAUGCUUGGGGUAGUCAGCAAUAGACGAGGUAGUGAGAACCACCAGUCCCAACAGCAACACUAGCAAGGAUGUUGAAGACAUCUUUGAGUUCAGGCUGAGAUCUGUGCAAGGAUAAAAGAUUUAGGUGGCCUUUUAUAGAGGGCUGGACCCAACACCCAUAUGACACGUGUCAUGCACUCAUGGUGACACAUAAUUCUAUGGGACCAUUUGGGUCCUACAGAAGUUGCAAAGUUGGACUAUUGAGGUGUGAUCACAACUUUUGUCCUACUUGCUUUCUCUGCGGCCAUUGCACGAUUUCCUUUAGCAUCAUUUUCUUGUCUAAAUAAGCGUAUUAUAUUUGUGGCAGACCGUCCACGUGUCAUAAACAGAUAUAUUAUAAUAAUGUAGUAUGCUUUUCUUCAACGGAACUUGACACUCUUCUAAGUCUUGUUUUAAAUACUGUGCAGGAUUACGUCAUAAGUUGCUUGUUCCAAGUCAAAAUUGGUGGGCAAACGUUGGCCUUUUUUCAUUUUCCCUAAUAUUAAUGCUCACCUGGGAUAGGCACUACAUGAUUUAUCUGCUCUUUUACUGUGAAGUUGCUUUGUGCAUGAGUUACACCUCCCCUGCACACCCUCAACAUUUGUUGCUCUGUUUUUCUUGUGUCCAGACGAGGAUAUUAAUUGGAGGCUGACAAAACGACUGCUAGCCAAGGAUUUACAAGGUCCUGGUUUGAGGCUUUCACGAAAGUAUUUUUGAAAAGAUACACAUAGAGAUUGCGCGUUCGGUGCAAUGCAACAAUGUGAGCCAUUCUGAAGUCUUAAAUUUCAGAUUAAUGAAUGCUACAAAAUUCUAAGAAGGGCCGUUUCCAAAUAUUUGAGUUCAUUCAUCCGAACAUCGGGUAUAUGCUUCUUUCUCUAGCCCCUCCUUGAAGGGAGGAGGGACAAUGUGAUCUGUAUCGUUAGAAGCUAUUCCAUGUCGUCAUCUUUGGGCUCAGUUCAAUACUAAAAGAUAUGGGCGGGGCCCUUAUCAUUUUAUAUUUCUUCUAGAAGGUUUAUUCUGGAAAUCUUUCACAGAAACAUAUCUUUUUCUUCUCUACGUGAUCCGUGGUUUGAAAGUUGGAAAAAUGGGUCCGUUAACAAGCCACCGAGUUGAAAAGUUGGAAAAAUGGCAACACCGCCAACCUCUUGUAUUCGAUAGUUAAAUAAAAGGUCACUGGAAGUGAGAUCCCUUUUGGCCUCUUGAUUUUCAUUCCAGCAUCUCUAUGGCCUGAUAAAUUAAAAAACUAAAAAAAAAGACAGUACGUGGGUUGGUGUUAAGCAUCAAGAGUCAAGACAUGAUAAUGGAGAGAAAGGAUAUUCAAAUUCCAGUUCUGACAACAUGAUUUUCUUUGCUGAACUACCAUAUUAUAUUUGAUCAAGAAAGAGUAGUGCAUGUGGCCAGGAUCAAGACAUACAUUAAUUUCCACAUGAUGAAGACAGUUUCUGAGAGUUUCUUCUAAAGCUCUUGCGCGAGUAGGCUUCAAGUCAAAAUCUCCCAUGUAAACACUGGUUUUUCUUUCAUUGCCACUAAGGAUGCAGUUAAUAUUGACUUAAGAUCCUACGUGAUAUAUUUUUUUAAAAGAGCUAUAUUGUAGAUAAUAUUUGAAAUAAUGUUGAUUCGUUGUGGAAAUAUAUUUGUAAGGAAAGUUGUUGACAAUUUAAUAUAGUAUAAGAAGAAAAAAGUUAUCAACUAGCUAGAGAUGAGUAUGUAAAGUGAGGCUCACGAUUCAACGCGUAAAUAUAAGAUAUUUUAAGGCUCAAUAGUUAUGAUAUCUAUUUUAUUUUUUGUAUCUCAUAUAUUCAAAGAUAUAGUAAAAUGAUUUUACAUAUAUAUAUAUAUAUAUAUAUGAACAUAACUAUUUGUGCCAAUUGAUUUUUAUCUUUAUUUUGUAUAUUAGUAAUUAUAUUAAAGUUUUUACUAAUAUAAUAACUAAUAUAAAAGCUUUUUCUAAAAGAGUCAACAGAGCAAAACACUUAUUAUAAAAAAUAAUUUUGAUUGAAGGUGGAGUCAAUUAUUCUUUAUUUAACAUGUAAUGCAUACGGCGUGUACUUCAUAACUAAAGUAUAUAAGUGUAACAUCUCUUAUAUAUUCUCAUUCAAUCUCGAAAGUGGAAAUUUUAAAAAGAUUAAACGGUUCAAAUUUGUCGUGCAUAAAGGGGAUCAUGUCACAUAAGCAAACCAUGGCAUACCAAAGACAUAGGUAUGGACUAAGAAUUUUUUUCAAAUAAGUUUCUUAUUAGGGUACAUUAAUAGGUGACUUUUUAUGACAUAUCAAAGGAGUCAAGUGCACCAAUAAAAACAUAUAUAGAAAAUUCAUGCAUGACAUGUAUCACUAAGAGAAGAUUGACUUGAUAGAGUUUAAUCCAAAUAGGAGAUUGUUAAAAGGUGUCUCAAAUUCUUGAUUGAUAUAUAUUUUUUUUAUUAAAAAGGUUAUUAUAUAGAUAUUUCAAUAGACUAUUAAUUCUUUGUAAAAAUAGUUAUAUAAUGAGGAUGGUGAUUAAAAAUAUCUCUAUCAAUAUUUUGGAUUAUAAAAAGAAAAAAAAUGAGAUAAUGAUAAACAUAUAAAACUUGUACAAGUAGAUAAAGAUGUGAUGAAAGACACUUGAUGAAUGAAGGCUUUGUAUUUCAAGAUAUAAAUAUAUGGAGCAAAACUCUUAAUUAUAUGAUCAAAUGAUUCUCUCAUAUUCAUGAAUAUAAGCAGGAUUGGGGAACCAUGAUAGAAUCUUAUAUGCCUCUCCAUGUAGAGUGAUCGAUGUUUAUCUUCAUAUUUUACACCAGUGAAUGACAUUGAAACUCUUAUUGAUAAAAGGGAAAAGGCAUGGCCUCCACCCCAAGAAAAACAAGUAACCUCGGUUUAAAUCACUAGUCUACACCCCGAAGAGAGAACUAGCCAAACCUACUAAAAGAGAAACUUAACAAUUUAGAAAGAAACCGUCCAUGAUAAAGGGCCCCUAAAGGUCCAAUUCAGUGAGGUCGUGAACAAAAACACUUUCAUGUCAAAACAGAGAUAGGUACCACCAAAAUGUAAAGGGAAAGAUGUAAACCACGUCGAACUUUGGUAAUCAAUGGUAAAGAUAGCAUGAUAGCUAAAAGCACUAAAGCUGUGCUUGGUAUGCAAAAAUGAAAAGUGGAAAUCAGCGUCUUAUUCUUUUUCACCUUUAUUCACAUAUUAGGAUAACUAAUAUCUAAUGUUUUUUAUGUCUCAAAUUCUAUUCCAUGUUAUGGUAAACUUUCAUCUUGUUUAGAUCACUUUUGUCUGGUUUGGGCUCAAGACGAUAAGCCUAUAGAGACUUCAUAUUGGGUUGAAUCGAUGCCCUUGAUCUGAUCUGUUCGUUAGAAAAAUCUGAAUUAUUAUAAGCAUUUAGAUAAAAAAUAAAUAAAUGUGAAACACAAACUACUCCCUGCACAACCUUGACCCUAGUUACUCAGUUUCACUGCUCACAGGACUAACCUCUCCAUUCAGUCGAAAUGAAUUGUAACAAGAAGAUUUUUGACAGGAGGACGGUAGUUUAAAAUAAUAAUUUCUAAAGUACUUUUGUGAAAAAAAAUAAUUCCAAACGUGGAUUUUAUCAAGUAAAAAGAAAAAAAAAAGUUAUUUUCUUUUAAAAUCUGUUCUUCUAAAGAUGAUAUAUAUACCAAAAAAAAAAAUUGUUUUCUGAAGGUAAAAUUUUUAAAAUUCAUUUUUAAAAAAAUUUACACACUAAAAUUAUCUUUUCAAGAGAAGAUUUUUUUAAUUUUAAAUAAUUAUUAAUUUAUAAUUAAUUUGUUAUUAAUUAUUUAUUAAUUUUUUUAUUUGAAAAAUGCAUUUAUAAAAAACAAAUUUGUUAUUAAUUUAUUAAAUAAUUUUUACAAAAUAAAUAAUUUUUUUUUAUUUUAAUUUUAAAAUUAAUUUUAUUAUAUAAAUUUUAAAAUUAAAAAUAUUAAUAUUUAAUUUAAAAUUUAACUAUAAAAGGAAUAAAAUAUAGAAAAAUAAAUUAAUUUAUUAUUCAAUAAAUUAAUUUUCAAUAAAAUUUUCAGCAUUAAGAGAUAAAUUUUUAAGUAUUAAUCAAUUUAAAAAGAAAUAAUGAUCAUUUGUAUAUUAAGAUAUUUUAUUUAGUAAUUAUGAAUGAUAAACAACUAAAGUAAUUUGAAAAAAUAAUAAAAUAUUUAAAAAAUAAUAAUUUAAUACACGUAAAAUUAGAAAUGAUUAACUAUUUUUUAUUAAGAAAAAAUUGAGGAAAUAUUUUGUUAUUUAAAAUUUUUUAUUUGUUUUCAAUUUUUAAUGUUAUAGGUUUCAAGAAAAUUGAUCAAAUAAAAAUUAAGAAGUCAUUUUUUCAAAAACUAUAUAUCUAAAUAAAAGCCUUGAAAUUCAAAUACACAAUAUCAUAAAUAUAAACACCAAGUCAAUCCUUAAUUAUCAAAUGUUUUUAAUAUUAAAGAAUCAAAAUCACCUACUAUCAUGAUAAUAAGAAAACCAAUAAUAUUGUUCAUAUAAAUACUAAAAAGCUAACAAAUAUCCCAAACAAUUAAUAAAGUAUCAAACAUGAUAAAAAGUCAAUUAUUAUCAUGAAUGCAAAAAAUCAAUAAUUUUGUUUAUAUGAACCAUCAACAAAGAAAAAAAAAAUCAAUAUCUAAAUAUUAAACAUAAUUUAUAUUUUUAUAAAUAUUAUUGUUGAUAAAUAUCUUAACAAUUAUAAUUUUAGUAAAUAAAAUUAAUUAAUUUUAGUUUAAGAAUUAUUUUUUUAUACUUUCGUAUUCUUAUCAAAAAUCCCCAUUUUGCAUGUCUCCUUUGGCAUGACUUUCUUACCUAAACAAGCAUAUAUAUAUAUAUAUAUAUAUAAAAUAUUUGGUUAAGAAAGAGUACUAAAGUUUAUAUGGCACACAUCAAGAUAGAAACAGAAGUGGAAGAUAAUCCAAAUGUAUGAACAGAUAUAUUAUAUCCAUGUAGUGGUAGUGACUUCAUUAUUUACUUUUAUCUAAUGGAGCAUGACACACUUCUUCUGAAUAUUUUGCACGAUUAUGUUAUGUGUCAGCUUGUUCUAAGUCAAAACUAGUGAUAAAAAUCGGUUUUUUUUGCAUUUCCUUCAUGAAGAUGGCACCUGGAUGGGGCACUACAUGAGUGGCAUAGCACGAAGUGAUUUAUCUGCUCCCUUUACUAUAAAGUGCUUUGUGUAUAAGUUACACCUCCCCUGCACUGCCUCAACAUUUGUUGUUCUGUCUUCCGUCUGUCCAAACGAGGACAAACGUAUGUUGUAGGUUGACAAAACCACAGCUAGCCUAGGAUUUGCAAGGAUCUAGUUUGAUUCGUAUGCAAAAGGAUUGGUGAAAAGAUUCACAAAGAUAAUGCUUUUUGCAAUGCAAUCUUGUUCUAAUUCAACAGUGUGGACCAUUUUCAUGUAAUGCUUCAACUAGAUGUCAGUUUCAUGAAUUUUUGUUCAUCUAAUUGAUCACUGGAUAGGCCAUAACCCGAAGAAAUUCAAAAUUCCCUUCAGUACUGUAGCUAAGGAAAGAUCCCUAUCUACCACUGGGAUUUUAAGAGGGUAAAAAUGUAGGUGGGUGCCUAUAUCAUUUGCACUUCACUAUAGGCCUCUUUGGGAAGAUUUCUUCUGAAGACAUUUCAAAGAAACAUAUUUUUCUCUUCUCUCCGUAAACGGCAGCUGCAAGUCAGUCCAUUCACAGGCCACCGAGUUGAAAAGGCUGGAAAAUUGGCCAAAGCACCCGCCUCCUGGAUUCCAUGGGUAAGGAAAAGGUCACUGGAGGUGUGAUCCCUGUUGGCCUCUUGAUUUCCAUUCCGCCAUCUAUAUGACCUGAUAACCCAAAAACACAGAAGGAAAACGUCACCUGGGUUCAUAGUAAGCAUCAAGUCAUGAUAGAGACCAGACAACAUGACCAACAAAGAGUAGCGAAUGGGGCCAACAUCAAGCCCCAUUACGGUUAGAAGAUGGAAGAAGUAGAAGACAAUCCAAUUCUGAUAGAUUCGGGCAAAUGUAGUGCUGUUCAAACUUAAUCAUUUACUAUUUCUUCAUGAAUCACGGCAUUUUUCUUCUGAAAAUUUUCCAAGAUUAGGCCUCUGAAGAAAAAUUUCAUAUGUAAAUUGGUAUAUUAAGGAAAAGGCGUUACAAAGGUGAAAAAAAACCAAUCAAAUCUUAUAUAUGACAUCUCAAAAAUAUGAACUUGCUAUAAAUAUUUAAAAUCAAAAUCUUGCACAUCACCUCGUAGUACGAACUUGCUAUAAAACUUGAAAAUCAAGAAGAAAGGGGCAGUAUUGGACGAGACUACUUAGCACAUAUUAUUAUGAUGUUUUUUCAUUUUCUUAAUGUUGUUUUUAUGUCUUAAAUUCUAUUAUUCUAUGUUACGGUAAACAUUCAUCUUGUUUGUGUGGAAUAGGAUCACUUUUCUCUGGGUUGAGUCGAUGCCCUUAGUUAAUUUGUUCAUUUGAAUAAACUAAAUUAUUAUAAGUAUUUAGAUAAGAAAAACGUGAUACAUAAAUUACGCCUCUCGGCACAACUUCAACACUGGUUACUCUGUUUCAGUUUCCUCACACAAGAUUAUUGGUUCUAGGGUUUAUUUGGUUUUGGUUUGAUUCUAAUUGCUAAACUUUCUCAAGGAAGAUGUUAUAUAGGGAGUGAGAAACCUUCACUCUUGGCUACCUCCAAGAGAAGAGCAAGUGGUCUGAAUCAAAGAUAUACUGCUCACUUUUUCUUCUUCUAAGGACAGCUAUGACCUUGCUUUAAGGUUCGAAUAGCCUAAUGCAACCUCCCAUUUCUCAAGUCAGCUGAUGAUGUAAGUCACCUUGGCUUUCCACAUUCAUACGGUGAGGACGUUUGUGGGUGUAAUUCUCUUAACAGUUUUCAUUUUAUAUGGAAAAAUUCAUAAUUAAGGGUAAUUACUGAUUCCAUUUGACAGUGACCAAGUUUAAAAUAUUAAUUCAUAUAUUAAAUGCACAUUAAAAAAUCAUGGAAUAAAUAUAUUUACUAAUAUAUAGUUCUUUUGCCAUGUUCUGUCACAGAAGCAUCGAACUUUCCCUAGAAAUUUUUGCAUGGUAUUCUACUUAUGAUUUUGAAAACUCUAGGCACCUGAGGCCACUAAUUGCAUGGUUGGAUGAGGAGCUGCAUGAGAUUAUGUAUCGUGUUGUUCCUUAACUACAAAUAUCAGUUUUAAGUAGCAUCUCCAUGUGACAUUUUCCUGAUGCAAUUUCGCUGUCCACCAACAAAUUUCACCAUGCAGCAAGAUGAAUUGUAAUUUCUUUAUUGUUAUCAACAGCUUUAAUUAAUCUUGAUAUAUAUAUAUAACUUAGUAGAAGUAUAUUAAUCUAGAUUGUAGUUGCACUAAGAUAAUAGGCAAUAUUAUAACAGUGCCACAAUGCUCAUCGCCAAAUAGAAAGGUAGAAAAACUACAAUGAGUAACUCACAACAUUCUCAAACAGGACAUAGCGGCGACUGAUACAUAGAACACUAUUGGCACUCAGGAAAUGAUAAGAUCAGUGCCCAGCAGGCAGCACGUCUUAUUUUACAUACUACUUAAAACUAACCAAAGUCAUUCAGUUGGGAUGGGUGGGAGAUGGUGGUUUGUGCGGUGGCUUUUGGGUAGUUGGUGGCUUCUUUCCUGGAACUGAUGGUUUUUUUGUUGGAGUUGAAGGAGGCUUAAUCGUCUGAGGUGGCUUGUAUGAGUCUUCAGCACUCUCUGCGGGAGGGUGCCCAGGGUUGUGACCAUAAUGGGGUGGCUUCUCUCCCUUAGUUGGUUUGCCAAGUGGGCUGGCUGGCUUGUGCUCCGGGAGCGGCUUCUCUCCCUUAGGUGGUUUGCCAAAUGGGCUUGCUGGCUUGUGCUCUGGGAGCGGCUUCUCUCCCUCAAGAAGUUUACGGGUUUUGUCAGAUGGCUUGUGUUCUGGUGGUGGCUUCUCUCCUUGGGGUGGUUUGCCAAAUGGACUUGGUGGCUUGUGUUCGGGGAGUGGCUCCUCUCCCUUGGGAGGUUUAGUUGGUGGCUGGUGUUCCAUAGGUGGUUUCUCAACCGGGGGCUUGUUCUCCGUUGGUGGUUUAUGAACUGGGGGAUGCUUGGGGUAGUCAGCAAGAGACGGGGUGGUGAGAACCACCAGUCCCAGCAGCAACACUAGCAAGUAUGUGGAAGAGUACAUCUUUGAGUUCAGGCUGAGAUUUGUGCGAGACUUGAAGAAUUAGGUGGCCUUUUAUAGCUGGCUGCACCCAACACUCACAUGACACGUAUCAUGGUGACACAUGUGCUAUGGGUCCAUUUGGGUCCUACAGAAGCUGAAAACUUUUGACUAUUGAGGUGUGGUCACAACUUUUGUCCCUAUUGCUUUCUCCGCAACCGUUUUACAUGUUUCCUUUGGCAUAAUUUUCUAAGCUAAACAAGCAUAUAUCAUAUUUGGUUAAGAAAGAGUAAAGUGUAUAUGGCACACAUCAAGGAAGAGAAACAGAAAAAGUGGGAGACAAUCAAUUGUGAUAAACAGAUAUAUUAUAUUCAUGUAGUACUAGUGACUUUAUCAUUUACUUUUAUCCAAUAGAUCAUCACUCUUUCUUCUAAAUAUUUUGGAGGAUAAUGGUACAUGUUGCUUGUUUCCAAGUCAAAAUUGGUGGCAAAAAUCGGCAUGAUACGAAAGGAUUGGUGAAAAGAUUCACAUAGAUGGUGCUUUGUGCAAUGCAGUCUUGCUCUAAUUCAACAGAGUGGACCAUGGUGAUGUAUUUUAAAUUUUAAAUUUUAAAUUAAUGCAUGCUUCAAAGUUUUAACUAGAUGUCACUUCCAUGGAUUUUUGUUCAUUUAAUUGAGCACAGGAUAGGCUAUCAAACUUGAAGUAAUAUAAAAAUCCCUUCAUUACUGUAACUAAUGAAAGAUCAUUAUCUGCGCUUGGUAUUUUGCCAAGGUAUUUGCUGCUCUUUCUAGCCCUGUCUUACAGUUAAGGACAAUGUGAUCUAGUUAACCUUAGAAGCUAUUCCAUGUCAGAUACAAGAGAUCAAGCACAUUAUCUUUGGGCUCAGUUCAAAACUAUAAUAUAUGGGUGGGGUGGAGGCCCAUAUCAUUUGCAUAUCACCACUAUUGGUUUAGUUUGGAAGGUUUCUUCUGGAAGAUUGCUGCUUUCUGGAAUCAUUUCAAAGAAAUAUAUCUUUUUGUUCUCUUGGUGACGAGCAGCGGCAAUCAAGUCUGUUGACAAACAACCGAGUUGAAAAGUUUGAAAAUUGGUCACAGCCCACGUCCAUGGUUAAGGAAAAGGUCACUGGAAGUGAUCCCUUCUGGGCCUCUUGAUUUCCAUUCUGACAUCUAUAUGACCUGAUAAAUAGAAAGAAAAAAAAACAGAAGAAAAGCGGCACCCGGGUUCAUAGUAAGCAUCAAGACAGGAUACUGAAAGAAGGGAGAAAGGAGAUUGCAAGUCCAAUCCUGAUAAAAUGAUCAACAAAGAGUAUCAAAAUGGGGCCAACAUAAAGACCCAUUGAGGUUAGCAGAUGGCAUGGCAUUUUUCUCCUUAAGUUUUCCAUGAUUAGACUUGAAGUCAAAAUUUCACAUGUAAAUUUGUAUUUCUACAUUUCCCACUGACGACACCCAACUUCAACUUGAGUUAGAAUAACAUUGUGUGAACUUAUCUGGCCCUCAAAAUUUACUGUGAAGUGCUUUCUGCGUGUGAAGAUUCAGAAAAGCACCAAGGGAACAUGUAUGGUCUGCCUUUUUCUGAUGUUAUGUUUGUCUCUAAUUCUGUUCCAUGUCAUGGUAAAUGUUCACAUUGCUUGUAUGGAACACACCAGGAUCACUUUUUCGGGUUUAUUUUGAGGCUUCAUAUUGGGUUCAUAUUGGGUUCAAUGCUUUUAAUGUGUUCAUUAGACAAAUCUGAAUUAUCAUAUGCAUUUAGAUAAGAACAAUAAUGUGAAACCCUAGUUACACCUCCCCUGCAUAACCCCAACCCUGCUUACUCUAUUUCAGUUUACUCACACAAGUUUUACCGGUUCUUAUAAGUCAAGAAAAGGCAACUGAUGUUGGAUUGACUCUCUUCCAUGUAUAAAAAGCAACUUUUAUAUAUACAUAAAAUAACUUCUUCCCCUCACCAAUGUGGGAUAUCAUGGAUUUAUUCUGGAAACACAUCAAAGGAACAUCUUUUCUCUUGGGUGACCCUAAGUGGUGAGUCAGACCAUUUGCAUGCCAUUGAGUUGCACAGUUGGAUAAAUGCACCUACCUCCUGGGCUCCAGAGUUAAAAGGGUGGAUCCCUGGAUCGCAACCCUCUUGGCAUCUUGGUUUCCAUUCCAACAUCCACAUGACUUGACAAAACAAAAAACAGAAUAAAAUCAUCACUAUUUUCAUGCUAAGCACCAAUACAUGAUGGAAAUCAUUGCUUAAAGAUUUGGGGUCAUUUAGGUUUUGACUGCCUCCUAACACCUCACCUAAUCACAAGUUUUUAUGCUUACAAAUCAAAUAUCGUUCUUCAUUAUAUUAAAAUCAUUUUAAGAUUUCAGAUCCAUCUGCUAAUUAUGAUUAUGAUAACAUUAAUUCACCUGUGCUUCUCAUUUUCGACACACAAGGCAUCUAGGUUUGCAGGAUUUCCUUAUUAGAUGAGAUAAAUGAGUACGCAUGGUUAUGUAUGCAGCAUUCAUUAACCAUGGUAUGUGACAUUUAGAAUUAAGAUAGCAAGCAAACUUUCCCUGCAGCUUGAGUAAAUUGUGAUUUCUUAGCCUCUAUGAGUGGUUCCCAAAUCAAAUUAACAUAGUGAAAUAUACGUAGUCCAGUGAAAGGAAAUGUAAAUUAUAAACUAACAGCACUACACUACUGGUAACACUCGAUACUCUCUAUAUAAUGCAAUGAAAUAUACGUUAUACGUUGCUUGUUCCAAGUCAAAAUUUGUGGCCAAACGUUGGCCUUUUUUCAUUUUCCCUAAGAUUAAUGCUCACCUGGGAUAGGCACUACAUGAUUUAUCUGCUCUUUUACUGUAAAGUUGCUUUGUGUAUGAGUUACACCUCCCCUGCACACCCUCAACAUUUGUUGCUCUGUUUUCCUUGUGUCCAGACGAGGAUAUUAAGUGGGGGCUGACAAAACGACUGCUAGCCAAGGAUUUACAAGGUCCUGGUUUGACGCUUCCGCGAAAGUAUUUUUGAAAAUAUACACAUAGAGAUUGCGCGUUCGGUGCAAUGCAACAAUGUGAGCCAUUCUGAAGUUUUUAAUUUCAGAUUAAUGAAUGCUACAAAAUUCUAAGAAGGGCCGUUUCCAAAUAUUUGAGUUCAUUUAUCCGAACAUCGGAUAAGUAAUGAUCAUAGAUUAUUAUUAUUAUCUGACGUUCUUAUAAUGGUUGGCAUUAUAAGAGGGUAUAUGCUUCUUUCUCUAGCCCCUCCUUCAAGGGAGGGACAAUGUGAUCUGUAUCGUUAGAAGCUAUUCCAUGUCGUCAUCUUUUGGCUUAAGUCAAUACUAAAAUAUAUGGGCGGGGCCCCUGUCAUUUUAUAUUUCUUCUAGAAGGUUUGUUCUGGAAAUCUUUCACCGAAACAUAUCUUUUUCUUCUCUACGUGAUCCGUGGUUGGAAAGUUAGAAAAAUGGGUCCGUUCACAAGCCACCGAGUUGAAAAGUUGGAAAAAUGGCAACACCGCCAACCUCUUGUAUUCGAUAGUUAAAUAAAAGGUCACUGGAAGUGAGAUCCCUUUUGGCCUCUUGAUUUUCAUCCCAGCAUCUCUAUGUCCUGAUAAACUAAAAAACUAAAAAAAAAACAGUACGUGGGUUGGUGUUAAGCAUCAAGAGUCAAGACAUGAUAAUGGAGAGAAAGGAUAUUCAAAUUCCAGUUCUGACAACAUGAUUUUCUUUCCUGAACAACCAUGUUAUAUUUGAUCAAGAAAGAGUAGUGCAUGUGGCCAGGAUCAAGACAUACAUUAAUUUCCACAUGAUGAAGACAGUUUCUGAGAGUUUCUUCUAAAGCUCUUGCGCUAGUAGGCUUCAAGUCAAAAUUUCCCAUGUAAACACUGGAUUUUCUUUAAUUGCCACUAAGGAUACAGUUAAAAUUGACUUAAAAUCCUACGUGAUAUAUAUCUUUAACAAAAGUAUAUUGUAUAUAAUAUUUGAAAUAAUGUUGAUUCGUUGUGGAAAUAUGUUUGUAAGGAAAGUUGUUGACAAUUUAAUAUAGUAUAAGAAGAAAAAAGUUAUCAACUAGAGAUGAGUAUGUAAAGUGAGGCUCACGAUUCAACGCGUAAAUAUAAGAUAUUUUAAGGCUCAAUAGUUAUGAUAUCUAUUUUAUUUUUUGUAUCCCAUAUAUUCAAAGAUACAGUAAAAUGAUUUUAUAUAUAUGAACAUAGCCGAUAGUAUCAUGUUAAAACCUUAUAUGACUCUUUGUGCCAAUUGAUUUUUAUCUUUAUUUUGUGUAUUAGUAAUUAGUAUUAAAGUUUUUACUAACAUAAUAAUUGAUAUAAAAGCUUUUUCCAAAAGAGUCAAACAGAGCAAAACACUUAUUAUAAAAAGAAUUUUGAUUGAAGGUGGAGUCAAUUAUUCUUUAUUCAACAUGUGAUGCAUACAGCGGGUACUUCAUAACUAAAGUAUAUAAGUGCAACAUCUCUUAUACAUUCUCAUUCAAUCUCGAAAGUGGAAAAUUUUAAAAGAUUAAAUGGUUCAAAUUUUCCGUGCAUAAAGGGGAUCAUGUCACAUAACCAAACCAUGGCAUACCAAAGCCAUGAUAUGGACUAAGAAUUUUGUUAAAAUAAGUUUCUUAUUAGGGCACAUUAUGUGACUAUUUAUGACAUAUCAAAGGAGUCAAGUGCAUCAAUAAAGACAUAGAAAAUUCAUGCAUCACAUGUACCACUAAGAGAAAAUUGACUUGAUAGAGUUUAGUCCAAAUAGGAGAUUGUUAAAAGGUGCAUCAAAUUCUUGAUUGAUAUAUAUUUUUUUUAUUAGAAAGGUUAUUAUAUAGAUAUUUCAAUAGACUAUUAAUCCUUUGUAAAAAUAGUUAUAUAAUGAGGAUGGUGAUUAAAAAUAUCUCUAUCAAUAUUUUGGAUUAUAAAAAGAAAAAAAAUAUGAGAAAAUGAUAAACAUAUAAAACUUGUACAAGUAGAUAGAGAUGUGAUGAAAGACACUUGAUGAAUGGAGGCCUUGUAUUUCAAGAUGUAAAUAUAUGGAGCAAAACUCUUAAUUAUAUGAUCAAAUGAUUCUCUCAUAUUCAUGAACAUAAGCAGGAUUGGGGAACCAUGAUAGAAUCUUAUAUGCCUCUCCAUGUAGAUUGAUCGAUGUUUAUCUUCAUAUUUUACACCAAUGAAUGACAUUGAAACUCUGAUUGAUAAAAGGGAAAAAGCAUGGCCUCCACCACAAGAAAAACAAGUAACCUCGGUCUAAAUCACUAGUCUACACCCCGAAGAGAGAACUAGCCAAACCUACUAAAAGAGAAACUUACCAAUUUAGAAAGAAAUCUUCCAUGAUAAAGGGCCCCUAAAAGUCCAAUUCAGUCAGGUUGUGAACAAAAACACCUUCAUGUCAAAACAGGAAUAGGUACCACCAAAAUGUAAAGGGAAAGAUGUAAACCAAGUCGAACUUUGGUAAACAAUGGUAAAGAUAGCAUGAUAGCUAAAAGCACUAAAGCUGUGCUUGGUAUGCAAAAAUGAAAAGUGGAAAUCAGCGUCUUAUUCUUUUUCUCCUUUAUUCACAUAUUAGGAUAACUAAUAUCUAAUGUUUUUUUUAUGUCUCAAAUUCUAUUCCAUGUUAUGGUAAACUUUCAUCUUGUUUAAGUGGAAGAGUAGGAUCACUUUUGUCUGGUUUGGGCUCAAGACGAUAAGCCUAUAGAGACUUCAUAUUGGGUUGAAUUGAUGCCCUUGAUCCGAUCAGUUCGUUAGAAAAAUCUGAAUUAUUAUAAGCAUUUAGAUAAAAUAAAUAAAUAAAUGUGAAACAGAGACUAUUCUCUGCACAACCUUGACCCUAGUUACUCAGUUUCACUGCUCACGGGACUAACCUCUCCAUUCAGUCGAAAUGAAUUGUAAUUUCUUUACUGGUAGCAGUAGUACUUUUCAUAGCAAAGAUAAUAGUAAAUAUGAAAUAUAAAUAUAUAGAAGGAAAUCUGGAUUGUAGAUAGCACCAUAAGUAACACUCAAUAUUUACUACAUAAUAAAAGAGAUAGUGUUACAAAGGUAGAGAAACCUACAAUGAGUACUCAUCACCAUUCUCAAACAGAAACAUAGCAGUGACUUAUACAUAGAACCUAUAGGCUCGCAGGGAAAGAGUAACAUGAUAAGUGCACAGCGGGUAGCAGCUCUUAUUUUACGUAUUACUCAAAAUCUCAAACUAACCAAAGUCACUCAGUUGGGAUGGGUAGGAGAUGGUGGUUUGUGGGGUGGCUUCUGGGUAGGAGCUGGUGGCUUCUUUGUUGGAGUUGAAGGAGGCGUAAUCUUCUGAGGUGGCUUGUAUGAGUCUUUGGCACUCUCUGCAGGAGGGUGCCCAGGGUUGUGACCGGAAGGAGGUGGCUUCUGUCCCUUUGGUGGUUUGCCUAAUGGGCUUGGUGGCUUGUGCUCCGGGAGUUGUUUCUCUCCCUCGAGUAGGUUUCGAGUUUUGUCAGAUGGCUUGUGUUCUGGUGGUGGCUUCUCUCCCUGGGGUGGUUUGCCGAAUGGGCUUGGUGGCUUGUGUUCGGGGAGUGGCUUCUCUCCCUUGGCAGGUUCAGUUGGUGGCUGGUGCUCCGUAGGUGGUUUCUUCACCGCCGGCUUCUCUCCCUGGAGAAGGUUACGAGUUUUGUCAGAUGGCUUCUGUUCUGGUGGCGGCUUCUCUCCCUGGGGUGGUUUGCCAAAUGGGCUUGGUGGCUUGUGUUCGGGAACUGGCUUCUCUCCCUUGGCAGGUUCAGUUAGUGGCUGGUGUUCCGUAGGUGGUUUCUUCACCGGCGGCUUGUGCUCCGGAAGCGGCUUCUCUACCUGGAGAAGCUUACGAGUUUUGUCAGAUGGCUUGUGUUGUGGUGGUGGCUUCUCUCCCUGGGGUGGUUUGCCAAAUGGACUUGGUGGCUUGUGUUCGGGGAGUGGCUUCUCUCCAUUGGGAGGUUUAGUUGGUGGUUGGUGUUCCGUAGGUGGUUUCUGAAGUGGGGGAUGCUUGGGGUAGUCAGCAAGAGACGAGGUAGUGAGAACCACCAGUCCCAGCAGCAAUACUAGCAAGGAUGUGGAAGACAUCUUUGAGUUCAGGCUGAGAUUUGUGCAAGGCUAGAAGAAUUAGGUGGCCUUUUAUAGCGGGCUGGACCCAACAACCAAAUGACACGUAUCAUGAUACACAUAUGUGUUAUAAGAUCCUUGUGGGUCCUACAGAAGUUGAAAACUUUGACAAUUGAGGUGUGAUUACAACUUUUGUCCCUAUUGCUUUCUCGUCAGCCGUUUUGCAAGAUUUUUGACAGGAGGACGGUAGUUUAAAAUAAUAAUUUCUAAAGUACUUUUGUGAAAAAAAAUAAUUCCAAACGUGGAUUUUAUCAAGUAAAAAAAACAAAAAAAAGUUAUUUUCUUUUAAAAUCUUUUCUUCAUGAUUCAUAUACCAAAAAAAGAAUUGUUUUCUGUAGGUAAAAUUUUUAAAAUUCAUUUUUAAAAAAAAAAAAUUACACACUAAAAUUAUCUCUUCAAGAAAAUAUUUUUUAAAUUUUAAAUAAUUAUUAAUUUAUAAUUAAUUUUUUAUUAAUUAUUUAUUAAAUUUAUAUGUGAAAAAUGCAUUUAUAAAAAACAAAUUUUUUAUUAAUUUAUUAAAUAAUUAUUUACAAAAUAAAUAAUUUUGCUUUAUUUUAAUUUUAAAAUUAAUUUUAUUAUAUAAAUUUUAAAAUUAAAAAUAUUAAUAUUUAAUUUAAAAUUUAACUAUAAAAGGAAUAAAAUAUAGAAAAAUAAAUUAAUUUAUUAUUCAAUAAAUUAAUUUUCAAUAAAAUUUUCAGCAUUAAGAGAUAAAUUUUUAAGUAUUAAUCAAUUUAAAAAAUAAUAAUAAUCAUUUGUAUACUAAGAUAUUUUAUUUAGUAAUUAUGAAUGAUAAACAACUAAAGUAAUUUGAAAAAAUAAUAAAAUAUUUAAAAAUAAUAAUUUAAUACACUUAAAAUUAGAAAUGAUUAACUAUUUUUUAUUAAGAAAAAAUUGAAGAAAUAUUUUGUUAUUUAAAAUUUUUUAUUUGUUUUCAAUUUUAAAUGUUAUAGGUUUCAAGAAAAUUGAUCAAAUAAAAAUUAAGAAGUCAUUUUUUCAAAAACUAUAUAUCUAAAUAAAAGCCUUGAAAUUCAAAUACACAAUAUCAUAAAUAUAAACACCAAGUCAAUCCUUAAUUAUCAAAUGUUUUUAAUAUUAAAGAAUCAAAAUCACCUACUAUCAUGAUAAUAAGAAAACCAAUAAUAUUGUUCAUAUAAAUACUAAAAAGCUAACAAAUAUCCCAAACAAUUAAUAAAGUAUCAAACAUGAUAAAAAGUCAAUUAUUAUCAUGAAUGCAAAAAAUCAAUAAUUUUGUUUAUAUGAACCAUCAACAAAGAAAAAAAAAAUCAAUAUCUAAAUAUUAAACAUAAUUUAUAUUUUUAUAAAUAUUAUUGUUGAUAAAUAUCUUAAUAAUUAUAAUUUUUUAUAUAUUAAAUUUAGUAAAUAAAAUUAAUUAAUUUUAUAAUAUAAGAUAUAUAUAAUAAUUAAGAGACUAUUUGUCCCAAACAAUUUAUUUAUUUUUUUUUUAGGAAAUUGUCUCUUCAAGAGACGACUUCUCCCAACAUUUUUAAAAAAAAAAAAAAAAACAUCUAUUCAAAAGACGAUUUCUCCUCAUUUUUUAAAAAUGAAUUUUAGAAAUCAUAUUUUCAAAAAUGAAUUUUAGAAAUCAUAUUUUCAAAAGACGAUUUUUUUUUAUAUAAAUUAUUUUUUAAAAUGACGAUUUUAAAAGGAAAUAACGAUCUCUCUCCUACUUGGCAAAAACUAUGGUAAAUUUGGAAUUAUUUCUUCCACAACCAUAGUUUAAGAAUUAUUUUUUUAUACUUUCGUAGACUUAUCAAAAAUCCCUAUUUUGCAUGUCUCAUUUGGCAUGACUUUCUUACCUAAACAAGCAUAUAUAUAUAUAUAUAUAUAUAUAUCACUUUUGUCUGGGUUGAGUCAAUGCCCUUAACUAAUUUGUUCAUUUGAAUAGUCUAAAUUAUUAUAAGCUUUUAGUUAAGAAAAAUGUGAAACAUAAAUUACACCUCUCGGCACAACUUCGACACUGGUUACUCUGUUUCAGUUUAUUCACACAAGAUUAUUGGUUCUAGGGUUUAUUUGGUUUUGGUUUGAUUCUAAUUGCUAAACUUUCUCAAGGAAGAUGUUAUAUAGGGAGUGAGAAACCUUCACUCCUGGCUACCUCCAAGAGAAGAGCAAGUGGUCUGAAUCAAAGAUAUACUGCUCACUUUUUCUUCUUCUAAGGACAGCUAUGACCUUGCUUUAAAAUGUUCGAAUAGCCUAAUGCAACCUCCCAUUUCUCAAGUCAGCUGAUGAUGUAAGUCACCUUGGCUUUCCACAUUCAUACGGUGAGGACGUUUGUGGGUGUAAUUCUCUUAACAGUUUUCAUUUUAUAUGGAAAAAUUCAUAAUUAAGGGUAAUUACUGAUUCCAUUUGACAGUGACCAAGUUUAAAAUAUUAACUCAUGUAUUAAAUGCACAUUAAAAAAUCAUGGAAUAAAUAUAUUUACUAAUAUAUAGUUCUUUUGUCAUGUUCUGUCACAGAAGCAUCGAACUUUCCCUAGAAAUUUUUGCAUGGUAUUCUGCUUAUGAUUUUGAAAACUCUAGGCACCUAAGGCCACUGAUUGCAUGGUUGGAUGAGGAGCUGCAUGAGAUUAUGUAUCCUGUUGCUCCUUAACUACAAAUAUCAGUUUUAAGUAGCAUCUCCAUGUGACAUUUUCCUGAUGCAAUUUCGCUGUCCACCAACAAAUGUCUCCAUGCAGCUAGAUGAAUUGUAAUUUCUUUGUUGUUAUCAACAGCUUUAAUUAAUCUUGAUAUAUAUAUAACUUAGUAGAAGUAAUUAAUCUAGAUUGUAGUUGCACUAAGAUAAUAGGCAAUAUUAUAACAGUGCCACAAUGCUCAUCGCCAAAUAGAAAGGUAGAAAAACUACAAUGAGUAACUCACACAACAUUCUCAAACAGGACAUAGCGGCGACUGAUACAUAGAACACUAUUGGCACUCAGGAAAUGAUAAGAUCAGUGCCCAGCAGGCAGCACGUCUUAUUUUACAUACUACUUAAAACUAACCAAAGUCAUUCAGUUGGGAUGGGUGGGAGAUGGUGGUUUGUGCGGUGGCUUCUUUCCUGGAACUGGUGGUUUUUUUGUUGGAGUUGAAGGAGGCUUAAUCGUCUGAGGUGGCUUGUAUGAGUCUUCAGCACUCUCUGCAAGAGGGUGCCCAGGGUUGUGACCAUAAUGAGGUGGCUUCUCUCCCUUAGGUGGUUUGCCAAGUGGGCUGGCUGGCUUGUGCUCCGGGAGCGGCUUCUCUCCCUUAGGUGGUUUGCCAAAUGGGCUUGCUGGCUUGUGCUCUGGGAGCGGCUUCUCUCCCCCAAGAAGUUUGCGGGUUUUGUCAGAUGGCUUGUGUUCUGGUGGUGGCUUCUCUCCUUGGGGUGGUUUGCCAAAUGGACUUGGUGGCUUGUGUUCGGGGAGUGGCUCCUCUCCCUUGGGAGGUUUAGUUGGUGGCUGGUGUUCCGUAGGUGGUUUCUCAACCGGGGGCUGGUGCUCCGUAGGUGGUUUAUGAACUGGGGGAUGCUUGGGGUAGUCAGCAAGAGACGGGGUGGUGAGAACCACCAGUCCCAGCAGCAACACUAGCAAGUAUGUGGAUGACAUCUUUGAGUUCAGGCUGAGAUUUGUGCAAGACUAGAAGAAUUAGGUGGCCUUUUAUAGCUGGCUGCACCCAACACUCACAUGACACGUAUCACGGUGACACAUGUGCUAUGGGAUCCAUUUGGGUCCUACAGAAGUUGAAAACUUUUGACUAUUGAGGUGUGAUCACAACUUUUGUCCCUAUUGCUUUCUCCGCAACCGUUUUACAUGUUUCCUUUGUGGUGUUUAAUAGUGUUUUUUUCCUUAAUUCUAAAUAAACCUUAAUACUUAAUAAUGUUAAAUAUUAGGUUAUUUAUUUUUAUAAUAUUUUAUUUAUAUUAAGUAUUAAAAAGUAAAGAAAAAUCAAUAUAUUUAUUUUUCUAUUUAGAAAAAACUAUAUAUUUUUAAUUUUUUUAUUUAAUAAAAAAUUUAUAAUAAAUCAUGAAAAAAUAGAAAAACAAACAACCUAAAUUUUAAAAAUAAAUUGUUUUUAGUAAAAACCCAAAAAAACAAACACCACCUUAACUAAACAAAUAUAUAUUAUAUUUAGUUAAGAAAGAGUAAAGUGUAUAUGGCUCAAAUCAAGGAAGAGAAACAGAAUAAGUGGAAGACAAUCAAUUGUGAUAAACAGAUAUAUUACAUGCAUGUAGUACUAGUGACUUUAUCAUUUACUUUUAUACAAUAGAUCAUCACACUCUUUCUUCUAAAUAUUUUGGAGGAUAAUGGUACAUGUUGCUUGUUGCCAAGUCAAAAUUGGUGGCAAAAAUCGGCAUGAUACGAAAGGAUUGGUGAAAAGAUUCACAUAGAUGGUGCUUUGUGCAAUGCAGUCUUGCUCUAAUUCAACAGAGUGGACCAUGGUGAUGUAUUUUAAAUUUUAAAUUUUAAAUUAAUGCAUGCUUCAAAGUUUUAACUAGAUGUCACUUCCAUGGAUUUUUGUUCAUUUAAUUGAGAACAGGAUAGGCUAUCAAACUUGAAGUAAUAUAAAAAUCCCUUCAUUACUGUAACUAAUGAAAGAUCAUUAUCUGCGCUUGGUAUUUUGCCAAGGUAUUUGCUGCUCUUUCUAGCCCUAUCUUACAGUUAAGGACAAUGUGAUCUAGUUAACCUUAGAAGCUAUUCCAUGUCAUAUACAAGAGAUCAAGCACAUUAUCUUUGGGCUCAGUUCAAAACUAUAAUAUAUGGGUGGGGUGGGGGCCUAUACCAUUUGCAUAUCACCACUAUUGGUUUAGUUUGGAAGGUUUCUUCUGGAAGAUUGCUUUCUGGAAACAUUUCAAAGAAAUAUAUCUUUUUGUUCUCUUGGUGACGAGCAGCGGCAAUCAAGUCUGUUGACAAACAACCGAGUUGAAAAGUUUGAAAAUUGGUCACAGCCCACGUCCAUGGUUAAGGAAAAGGUCACUGGAAGUGAUCCCUUCUGGGCCUGUUGGAAGCAGGGGAGGUUAACACACCAAGCAACAAAGAACAGAGAUAUGCUGCUACUGAUCUAUAUUUUUUAUUUGAUCAUAAGGCUAAAUUUAUACAGAUUGUGUAACAGAUAUGACCUCAAAAAAAAGCAUCAAAUCAAGCUACUUGUUGAACAAACAACUACCUUCUACAAAAUAACAUCAAAAUUUAACUUAAAAGCAAAAACAUAAAAAUAGCAACAGCAAAAAUAGAAACAUAAAAAUAGCUUCAGCAUUCUAGUAAUCUCGUUGACUUCAAUUGCAUGUGGUUGACGAUUUCAGCCUUUUCCUCAGCAGCUACUAAGGCAUAACUCUCAACACUCCUCCUUGACUUAGGAGGUGCAAACUCCAAGUCUUUCUCAUAGAAACUCAAAUCUUAUUUUAGGAAGAGCUUUAGUCAGAAUAUCUACAUUUUGACUGUCUGUAUUGCAGUAGACUAGUUGUAUAUCUCCUUCUUUCUGUACUUCCCUCAAAAAUUACAAUUUAAUCUUGAAGUGCUUUGUUUUACCAUGAAAAACUGGAUCAUUUGCAAUAGAUAUAGUGGCCUGGUUGUCUACAAACACCUUUGUACUCACUUCUUGCUUCAUAUCCAAAUCUGUCAGCAACUUUCCAAGCCAUAAGGCUUGAUUUACAGCUGUAACAGCAGCAAUAUACUCUGCCUCAGCUGUGGAUUGAGCCACGACUUCUUGCUUCCUUGAACUCCAUGAAAAAACACCAGAACCAAAACUAAAACAAUAGCCUGAAGUACUUCUCAUAUCGUCAACACAACCAGCCCAAUCACUAUCAGAAAAUCCAUGAAAAUUGAAACUUUGAACUUGACUGAACUUAAUGCCAUAAUCCACAGUGCCUUUAACAUUUCUUAUCACACGCUUUGCUGCCUGGAAAUGAAUUUCACUAGCACAAUGCAUGUAUCUCGAAAGUAGACUUACAGCAUGCAUUAUAUCGAGUCUUGUUGCAGUCAAGUACAUUAAGCAUCCAAUCAUGCUUCGAUAAAGUCCUUCAUCUACCUUUUUAGCACCGUCCUCCUUACAGAACUUCUCUUUCUGGUUCAUAGGGGUAGAUGUAGGUUUGCAUUCCUCCAUUUUGAAUUUCUUCAUAAUUUCUUUGGCAUAUUUUUGUUGGCAGAUGAAAAUCUCAUUCUGCUUCUGGUGUACUUCCAUUCCCAAGAAGUAAGACAUCUCAUCUAGGUCUGUCAUCUCAAAAACCUGCUCCAUUUCAGCCUUGAAUUUGUUCACAAACCCUGCAUUACUUCCUGUUACAAGCAAAUCAUCAACAUAUAGAGAAACAAUUAAUAUAUCUUCUUCAAUCUUCUUAAUGUAGAGUGUAAAUUCACUCAAGCUCUUGUGAAAGCCUAAAGUUAGCAGGUGAGUGUCAAUCCUGCUGUACCAAGCUCUAGGGGCUUGUCUUAACCCAUACAAGGCCUUCUUAAGAAGGUAUACUUUUUCUUCUUUUCCUUUGAUAGCAAAACCUUCUGGUUGUUCGACAAAAAUCUCUUCCUCUAAGUAGCCAUUCAAAAAUGCUGACUUCACAUCUAGUUGAUAAAUCUUCCAUUUUCUUUGAGCUACAAGAGCCAACAACAUCCUGAUUGUAUCCAAACGAGCUACUGGUGCAAAGGUUUCCGAAAAGUCAACACCAAACAUUUGUGCAUACCCUUUGACAACCAGCCUUGCUUUAUGUUUGUUUAUAGAACCAUCAGAGUUGAGUUUGGUUCUGUAAACCCACUUAACCCCAAUAGGUUUUUUGUGUGAAGGUCUAUCUACUAGCUCCCAAGUGUUGUUCUUGUCAAUCAUAUCUAGCUCCUCCUGCAUUGCAACCCUCCAUCUUUUAUUUUCAGCAGCUUCAACAAACCCUGCAAGUUCAAGAACAGCUAUAUUACACCUUUGAUAAAUAUCAAAAAGUGUCAUGAAACCUCUAACUGGAAGUUCAUCAACAUCUUCAUCAAUAUAUUGCUGAUUCUGCUCAUCCCAACUCCAUUUCUCCGUUUCCAAAAACUUAACAUCUCUACUUACCACAAUUUUACUAUUUUGUGGCAAGUAGAUUCUGUAAGCUUUUGAGGUGCUGUUGUAUCCAAUGAAAAUUCCUGGUUCUGACUUUUUAUCUAGCUUGUCUCUUUUCACCUGAGGAACAUAAGAGAAACACAAGCAACCAAAGGUCUUUAAAUUCAUUAGCAUAGGCUUAUAAGCAAACCAGGCCUCAAAAGGUGUCUGUUUCUGCAAUGCUUUUGUUGGUAGUCUAUUUAGCAAAAAUACUACUGUAUUUGCAGCUUCAACCCAAAAACUUUUUGGCAGCUCUUUCUCAUGCAAAAGACAUCUUGUCAUUGAUUACUACUCAAAAAGUGCUAUUUGAUAGCCUUUAAUUAAUCCUUUUUAACACUUUUGAGUAGUAGUUUAGGCCUUUUAACUCAAUUGGCAUGUUAAGGAUCCUUUAAAGCAAUUUUGAUCACUUUGUGCAAGUUUUGGUGUUUUUGUUAGUAUUUCGAUCACCAAAGCAAGUCAAGAAUGAGGAGAGCUAUGAGGAAUCUUGGGCAAAGCUUAGAAUUCAAUUGCCAAGAGUGAAUCCGGAUUGCAAGGAGAAAAAGCAAAGAGGAUCAGUCAUGGAGCAUAUUCUUGAUGACAGUCGUAGCAGCCACUUUUGGAUCACUUUCUGAAGUCCAAAUGAUGCAAGCUAUAUACCAUUUCAAAGCUCAGGAAGUCAACAAUCCAAUGCUUCAAACGGUGUGCGAUUCGGAAUUGAAACGAAGAAGUUGCAGCCAUUACAAGCCAGACACUCUAAAGUGUUGCGGAAUCAGCCAUGUGUUGCGAGAAUUUCGCAGCACUUUUGUACAGUAAGGUGUUUCUCCUUCUAACGAUGCACGAACCAUGCCGCGAGAAGGGAGCUGGAAACUUCAAGAUGGAAGCCAACUUUGCAGCCUAGUGAAGAUAGCUCGGUCUUGCAAGAUAAUUUCGCAGCCCUCUUGGGUGUCUGCGAAAUUUCGCAGGCCUCAUUUUUCACCUGCGAAAUGGCUCUUGAAGCCUCCCGAAGCUUGCUACCGACAUUGGGAGAUAUUUUCCAUUAGAUUUUUGUUGUCUAAAUCCCAAAAUACUCCUUGUAAACCACCAAUUACAUGAUUCCUUAGUUUUUAAGUUAGUAAAAAGACCAAAUAUCUUUGUAACAAUUAGUUUUAUAUUUUGUUGUUAUAAAUACCUCUCGGGAGCCUGUUCUCAGGGAGGAGUUCCUUCUGUAAACGUUUGGUAAGCAAGUAAAGUCUAUUUUCUUUCUACUGCCUUACCUUCUCACUUUGUAUUUUCAUUUUAUUUCUAAGUUAUGAAUUCUCUGAGGAGUUUUCCCCAAAGAAUGAGUAACUAAACCUCCAAUUCCUUGGAGCUAAGGUUGCCGGGGAAGGUUCCAAGUGCAAGAAUGCAAAGCUCUGUGGUUUUAGCUAGUAAUGAAGAGGAAGUGAAAUCCUUUAGUGAUUUCAAUGUUUUUAGUUAACUUAAAACACUUUGGAGUCACCUGGGCCAACACUUGGUAAGGCAAGUGAUUUCCAACCAUGGAAAUGCACUAGUUUACCCCUUGCGAGCCUCUGGUAGGUGACUUCAAGGUAGGAUUUUCUGGAAUUACCAACACUUGGUAAGCUUUUGGACUCCUAGGAGACAUCCAUUAGUUAUCUCUUGCGAGUUUGUGAAGGGAAUCCAAGGUUAAAGAUCACCUUGAAUGGUAAGUGCUCGUGAGAGGCAUGAACCAUUGCAAGUUGUAUCAGUGAGAGAAUUAAAGUGAAAUCUAAUUGAAGGAGUCUUUGUACAUCACCGGUUAGAGAAUUGACUAUAAGUUGAAUCUCUAAUGCGAGGAAAUGAACCAACUGACCAGAGCCGUGUCUUUUGCAUGAGGAACCACCCCAGUGAACCUAAAUCUCCAAGGAAUGUUUUUUUCUUCCUAAAUUAUUCCAAACUUCUGUUAAGUUAGUUAGUUUAAAUCUCAACCUUUACAAAUCAAAGUUUGUGUUUUAUUCCUUAAGCUAACCGUGAAAUGAAACAAGACCAAUUCACUUGGAAUUGGUAUCAUUGAUUGCCUGCAAAUCAUUCCCAGUGAACGAUCCUAGAGCCACUAUACUAUAGUAGCUUUGUAUUUGCUACCCUAGUGUAUGGUGUUAUAGGUAUAAAUUUUGUUGAUCACUUCCUCAAUCAAGGAGCACCAGCUGAACACAAAUCAGCUGAGACACCAAUUAGGCAUGAGUCAAAUGGCGCCGUUGCCGGGGAAUGAAUGUCAAGUUCAUUGUGAUACCAUUGUUGAGCACUUGUGAUUUUCAUCACAAGUUGGUAAAGUUUCUUUCACUUUACUAAUUUUCAUUCUUUCUUUGUUUAUUUACAAUCUAAGUUUAUCUUUUUAAAUUUUAGUCUAGUUUAAUUUUGUUGUUGUAGCCCUGUUUUUCUUGUUGUCCUCUGUUUUCAUUUUUUUUUUCAGGUAGAUACUAGUUGUGUAUGCCCAAGUGGAUACGAGACAUAGGAGGUAGGCUUGUUAAGUGUGAUACACCUCAGAAAGGAGAAUUUGAAGUAAUCUUGAAUAUCAUGGAGGCUGCACCUGAAGAUCAGCAUAGUCACCAAGGUCGUCAAGACAAUCUCAAUGAAUUCAGAUCAAUGAGGGACCGUAUGCAUCCACCUCGUAUGAGUACACCAUCAUGUAUAGUGCCCCCUACAGAGCAGCUAGUGAUCAGACCAUAUCUUGUUCCACUUCUACCAACUUUCCAUGGGAUGGAAAGUGAGAAUCCGUAUGCACACAUCAAGGAAUUUGAAGAUGUUUGUAAUACAUUCCAAGAAGGAGGAGCUUCAAUUGACUUGAUGAGGCUUAAGUUAUUUCCUUUUACUUUAAAGGAUAAGGCCAAAAUUUGGCUUAAUUCUUUAAGGCCAAGGAGUAUCCGCUCUUGGACUGAUUUACAAGCUGAGUUCCUUAAGAAAUUUUUUCCUACUCAUAGAACAAAUGGCUUGAAAAGGCAAAUUUCAAACUUCUCAGCUAAAGAGAAUGAGAAAUUCUAUGAGUGUUGGGAAAGAUACAUGGAAGCUAUAAAUGCUUGUCCUCACCAUGGCUUUGAUACUUGGCUAUUGGUGAGCUAUUUUUAUGAUGGUAUGUCCUCCUCAAUGAAGCAACUCCUCGAGACAAUGUGUGGAGGAGAUUUCAUGAGCAAAAAUCCAGAGGAAGCUAUGGAUUUCUUGAGCUAUGUAGCUGAUGUUUCAAGGGGAUGGGAUGAACCAACUAAAGGAGAAGUGGGAAAGAUGAAGUCUCAGUUGAAUGCUUACAAUGCAAAGGCUGGGAUGUAUAAUUUGAAAGAAGAUGAUGACAUGAAAGCAAAGUUGGCAGCUAUGACAAGAAGAUUGGAGGAGCUGGAGCUGAAAAGAAUGCAUGAAGUGCAAGCUGUUGCUGAAGCACCAGUGCAAGUGAAGCUGUGUCCCAAUUGUCAAUCAUUUGAACAUUUGGUGGAGGAGUGCCCUGCAAUUUCAGUUGAAAGGGAAAUGUAUAGAGAUCAAGCAAAUGUUGUUGGACAAUUUAGGCCCAAUAACAAUGCUCCUUAUGGAAAUACCUACAAUUCAAGUUGGAGGAAUCAUCCAAAUUUCUCAUAGAAGGCCAGAGCAACUCAAUACCAACAGCCGGAUCCACCAUCUCAGCAAUCUUCAAGUAUUGAACAAAUAAUAGCCAAUCUCAGCAAGGUAGUGGGAGAUUUUGUGGGAAAGCAAGAAGCCACCAAUGCUCGAGUUGAUCAAAGAAUGGAUAGAAUGGAGAGUGUGUUGAACAAAAGAAUGGAUGGAAUGCAAAAUGAUAUGAACCAAAAGUUUGAUAACAUCCAAUAUUCAAUUUCAAGGCUUACAAAUUUGAAUACACUGCAAGAAAAAGGAAGAUUUCCUUCUCAACCUAACCAAAAUCCCAAAGGUGUCCAUGAAGUGGAAAGCCAUGAGGGAGAAUCAUCACAGGUGAAAGAUGUGAAAGCUUUGAUCACUCUAAGGAGUGGUAAGAAAAUUGAGCAGCCAACACCCAUGCCACAUGUUGAGAAAGAAGAAGGGAUAAAGAAAGGAAAGGAAAUAGAAGAUAAAGACAGUGAGAUCAGUGAAGAAAAGAAGGACUCUGAUUCAACAAUCAAAGCAAUUCCAGAGAAAGAGCUUCUGAAGGAAGAAAUGCUGAAGAAAUCAACUUUUCCACCUUUUCCUCAAGCAUUACAGGGGAAAAAGGGGGUUAGAAAUGCAGCUGAAAUCCUUGAAGUCUUAAGACAAGUAAAAGUUAAUAUUCCACUGCUGGAUAUGAUCAAACAAGUUCCAACGUAUGCAAAAUUCCUAAAGGACUUGUGUACUAUCAAAAGAGGGGUUGACUGUAAACAAGAAAGCCUUCUUGACUGAGCAAGUAAGUGCAAUCUUACAAUGCAAGUCUCCUUUGAAGUACAAAGACCCUGGAAGUCCUACCAUUUCAGUCAUGAUUGGAGGAAAGGUAGUGGAGAAAGCCUUGCUAGACUUGGGAGCAAGUGUGAAUUUGCUUCCAUACUCUGUCUACAAGCAACUGGGACUUGGAGAGUUGAAGCCAACAGCAAUCACUUUAUCUUUGGCAGAUAGAUCAGUGAAAAUUCCAAGAGGAGUAAUUGAGGAUGUAUUGGUUCAAGUGGAUAAUUUCUACUAUCCAGUAGAUUUUGUUGUUCUUGAUACUGAUCCAACUGUAAAGGAAGCUAAUUUAGUUCCUAUCAUCCUUGGAAGGCCAUUUCUUGCAACUUCAAAUGCAAUCAUCAACUGUAGAAAUGGGCUUAUGCAACUCACUUUUGGUAACAUGACACUGGAUCUCAAUAUUUUCUAUAUGUCUAAAAAGCAAAUCACUCCUGAGGAAGAAGAAGGUCCAGAAGAGCUAUGUAUUAUUGAUACUUUGGUGGAGGAGCACUGCAAUCAGCAUAUGCAAGAUAAGUUGAAUGAAAGUCUUGUGGAUAUUGAGGAAGGUUUUUCUGAAUCUCCUAUUGGGCUUGCUACUCUACAAAGUUGGAGAAAGAUAGAAGGAAUUCUACCUUUGUUCAAUGAAAAAGAGGAGGCAACUGUUGAAGAAGAAAUUCCAAAACUCAAUUUGAAGCCUUUACCUGUGGAGCUGAAAUAUACAUAUCUUGAAGCAAAUAAUCAAUGUCCUGUUGUGAUAUCCUCAUCUCUGACCAGUCAUCAAGAGAAUUGUUUAAUGGAAGUUCUCAUGAGGUGUAAGAAGGCAAUAGGAUGGCAAAUAUCUGACUUGAAAGGCAUUAGUCCUUUAGUUUGUACUCAUCAUAUAUAUAUGGAGGAGGAAGCAAAGCCAAUUCGUCAAUUUCAAAGAAGGUUGAAUCCUCAUCUACAAGAGGUGGUGCGAGCUGAGGUGCUGAAGCUACUUCAAGCAGGAAUCAUUUACCCUAUUUCUGAUAGCCCUUGGGUGAGUCCUACUCAAGUGGUACCAAAGAAGUCAGGGAUCACAGUGAUUCAAAAUGAAAAAGGGGAAGAAAUUACUACACGCCUCACUUCAGGUUGGAGGGUGUGUAUUGAUUAUAGAAAGCUGAAUGCUGUCACCAGGAAGGAUCAUUUUCCAUUGCCAUUUAUUGAUCAAGUGCUGGAGAGAGUCUCUGGACAUCCAUUUUAUUGUUUCUUGGAUGGGUAUUCAGGCUAUUUUCAAAUUGAAAUUGAUUUGGCAGAUCAGGAAAAGACCACUUUUACAUGUCCAUUUGGAACAUUUGCUUAUAGAAGAAUGCCUUUUGGUUUAUGCAAUGCACCUGCUACAUUUCAAAGAUGUAUGUUGAGUAUUUUCAGUGAUAUGGUGGAGAGAAUUAUGGAGGUUUUCAUGGAUGACAUCACCGUAUAUGGAGGUACAUUUGAGGAGUGCUUGGUUAAUUUGGAAGCAGUUCUUCAUAGAUGCAUUGAAAAAGAUUUGGUGCUGAACUGGGAGAAAUGCCAUUUUAUGGUACGUCAAGGAAUUGUCCUUGGCCAUAUCAUCUCUGAAAGAGGCAUUGAAGUUGAUAAAGCAAAGGUGGAGCUUAUUGCCAAAUUACCAUCUCCAACAACUGUGAAAGGAGUAAGACAGUUCCUUGGCCAUGCAGGGUUCUAUAGGAGGUUUAUAAAAGGUUUUUCAAGUCUUUCAAAACCUCUUUGUGAGCUGUUAGCUAAGGAUGCUAAGUUUAUAUGGGAUGAAAGGUGUCAGCAUAGCUUUGAUCAACUGAAGAAGUUUUUAACAACAACUCCAAUAGUGAGAGCCCCUAACUGGCAAUUACCUUUUGAACUGAUGUGUGAUGCCAGUGACUUUGCUAUAGGAGCUGUGCUUGGCCAAAGAGAAGAUGGGAAGCCCUAUGUGAUUUACUAUGCAAGUAAAACACUAAAUGAAGCUCAGAGGAACUACACAACUACAGAGAAAGAAUUGUUAGCUGUGGUAUUUGCUUUGGACAAAUUUCGAGCUUAUUUAGUGGGGUCUUUCAUCAUUGUCUUCACUGACCAUUCAGCCUUGAAGUAUUUAUUGACAAAGCAAGAUGCAAAAGCAAGGUUGAUUAGAUGGAUUCUAUUGUUACAAGAGUUCGAUCUUCAAAUCAAAGAUAAGAAAGGAGUGGAGAAUGUAGUAGCUGACCACUUGUCAAGGUUAGUUAUAGCACAUAAUUCCCAUCCCUUGCCUAUCAAUGAUGAUUUUCCUGAAGAAUCACUCAUGUUCCUAGUGAAAACUCCUUGGUAUGCUCAUAUUGCUAAUUAUUUAGUAACUGGGGAAAUUCCAAGUGAGUGGAAUGCACAGGACAGGAAGCACUUCUUUGCCAAAAUUCAUGCUUAUUAUUGGGAAGAGCCCUUUCUCUUUAAGUAUUGUGCAGAUCAGAUUAUUAGGAAGUGUGUCCCUGAAGAUGAGCAGCAAGGGAUUCUAUCUCAGUGUCAUGAGAAUGCAUGUGGAGGCCACUUUGCCUCUCAGAAAACAGCCAUGAAGGUAUUACAAUCAGGGUUUACUUGGCCAUCUCUUUUCAAAGAUGCCCACAUCAUGUGUAGAAAUUGUGAUAGAUGCCAAAGGCUUGGAAAGCUAACAAAAAGAAAUCAAAUGCCUAUGAACCCCAUUCUGAUAGUUGAGAUAUUUGAUGUUUAGGGCAUUGACUUCAUGGGACCUUUCCCAAUGUCUUUUGGUAAUUCUUACAUUUUGGUGGGGGUAAAUUAUGUUUCUAAAUGGGUUGAGGCAAUCCCCUGUAAGCAAAAUGAUCACAGGGUGGUUCUCAAGUUUCUUAAAGAGAACAUUUUCUCAAGAUUUGGGGUGCCCAAGGCCAUAAUCAGUGAUGGAGGAGCUCAUUUUUGCAACAAACCUUUUGAAGCUCUGUUAUCCAAGUAUGGAGUGAAGCAUAAGGUAGCCACACCUUAUCAUCCUCAGACAUCCGGGCAAGUUGAGCUAGCUAACAGGGAAAUAAAGAACAUUUUGAUGAAAGUGGUGAAUUCCAACAGAAAAGAUUGGUCUAUUAGGCUUCAUGAUUCAUUGUGGGCAUAUAGAACAGCUUAUAAAACUAUUCUUGGGAUGUCUCCCUAUCGUCUUGUCUAUGGCAAAGCAUGCCAUCUCCCUGUGGAAGUUGAAUACAAAGCUUGGUGGGCAAUAAAGAAGCUGAAUAUGGACUUGAUCAAGGCCGGAGAAAAGAGAUUUCUAGACCUUAAUGAGAUGGAGGAAUUAAGAAAUAAUGCUUAUAUCAAUUCCAAAGUUGCAAAACAGAGGAUGAAGAAGUGGCAUGAUCAACUCAUCUCCAACAAGGAAUUUCAGGAAGGGCAAAAAGUUUUGAUGUAUGACACAAGACUCCAUAUCUUUCCUGGGAAGCUCAAAUCAAGGUGGAUUGGUCCAUUUGUUAUUCACCGAGUAUAUUCCAAUGGAGUGGUGGACUUAUUGAAUUCCAAUGGCAAGGAUAGCUUUAAAGUCAAUGGAUAUCGUCUCAAGCCGUUCAUGGAGUCAUUCAAAUCAGAAAAGGAGGCAAUCAACCUCCUUGAACCUCAAAAAGCCUAAGUGAAAAGGGUUUGCUGGACGUGGCUUUACCACAGUCCAAAAUUUUUGUAAAUUUUGUAAAUUUUCAAGUUGUUUCUAUACUUUUGAUUUUAGUUUUUGAUCUUAAAUCAUGUUUUUAGGUGUGUUUUAAUCGUUUUAAAUGAUCCCAGGUGGAAGAAAUUUCAAGGGGAUUGAAAGAAAAAAAAUCGGGUCGAAAUUGGAGCCGAAACAGAGCAAAAACAGGGGAAAAACAGAGCUCUGCGAAAUUUCGCAGGGUGAAGGAAACCUCUGCGAAAUGAGCAUUUUGUUGCGAAACCAUUCCGCAGCACUGUAGAAGCCUCUGCGAGUGUAUUUCGCAGCUGCGAAAGUGAAUUUGGCACACGAGUGCCACUUCGCAGUACAGUAGCAUCCAUUUGGCAGCUGCGAAACUCAUUGCGAAAUGGAAAAGCGUGAUUUCGCACCAAAAGUCCCAUUCCGCAGGGUAUUUCGCAAUUGCGAAAGUGGUUUUGGCACACGAGUGCCACUCCGCAGCACAGUAACAUCAAUUUCGCAGCUGCGAAACUCACUGCGAAGUUGCUGCGAAAAUGGCAAGUUGCUGCGAAAUUGGCGUUUAGUUGCGAAACUUAAACUGACCCCUGAGCUUCCGUUUUUCCUAUUUAUACCGGUCAAAAGUGCUGCGAAAAGGGUUUCAAAAAUCAGAGCACCAUUCUCGCAGCCCCUUCAUCUUCUUCGCCAAGCCACGCCGUCCGAACCUCCGGUCGUCUUCUCCGUUUAGCAGCGCCGGCCAAAGAUCGAUAUUCCAAAAUGGCACGAACGCGAGGGGCAAAAUCUUCAUCCCCUUCGAAUCGCAAAAGGAGUCUGCGAAAGGAGCCAAGUCCAGGUUCUGCUCCAGAACCUGCUCCAAAGCCUUCGCCGUCGAGACCACAACCUUCUCCAGUGAAGCCGGCGCCACUAAAGCCGCCGGCAAGACGAUAUUUGACAAGGUCAGGCGGUUGGCCAUUGAAGAAGAAGCCCAGGGUUGAGAGCUCUGAACCAAUUGAUUUGACUGAGCAAUCCCCUGAGCAGUCCCCAAAUCCUUCACCAGUUCAAACUCCAGUGCCGUCACCGGUUCCCUCGCCAAUUCCCUCACCUGAAGCAACUCCAAUUCCAUCGUCGGUACCAUCUCCGGCACCCCAAGAAAAAGCUCAGGAGCCUCAAGCGCCAAUUCCAGAGCCCCAAAUUGCAGCUGAAGCACCUCUGGAAGAAGUGAUCCGAAGGCCAAUGCUGCCCCAGCCCCCAAUCGAAGGAAACUUGGAUUGUCGAACACGGGCAUUCCAUUCUGAGCUUUGCUUCGAUUUAACAGCAUUCAGAGUGAGGCCAGAGCUUGCCCAAUCCUUCCAGCUGCUGAGGAGAUAUCAUAUGGAGCAUCUGCUAGCUCCAAGGGAUUUUUUCUAUCCCCGGGUAGUCACGGACUUCUACCAGACCAUGACAACCAAAGAAGUAAGAAAUCCAACUCUGAUCCAUUUCAUAAUUGAUGGAAGGCAUGGUAUUUUGGGAGCAAGACACAUUGCUGAAGCUCUGCAAAUUCCUUUUGAGCCAACCCAAUUCGACAAUUUUAAAGCUUGGGUAAAUCCUACUGAGUUAGAGAUGGUUCGCACACUAACCAGAGGAGCUGCAAAUCGAUCACACCUGUUGAGGGGGGAGCUACCUCCAGUGAUGUUUUUGAUUGAUGCCUUUUUGAGGCAUAAUAUCUAUCCCCUGCAGCAUUGGACCCAAAGAAGGGGAAUUCUCCUGGAAGCUUUGUACAAGAUGUCAGAAGGAUUCUUCUUUGGGCCCCAUCAUCUUAUCAUGGCAGCCCUUCUAUACUUUGAGGAAAAGGUUCACAAGAAGAAACUUCAAAGAGCAGAUUGCAUUCCACUCCUCUUCCCAAGGCUGCUAUGCCAAGUUUUGGAGCAUCUCGGAUACCCCUCUGAGCCUCAGCAGGAAAGAAAGAGAAUAUGCCGUGAGCCAUUUACUCUUGAUAAAUGGAAUAAUAUGACGGCCUACAAAAUUGAUCAGCCUGGGCAGCCUCAGCCAGCAGCAAGGAGAGCCUCCCCAAGACAUGCACCUGAAGGUAUAACACUUGCUACUCCUGCCAUCCCUCGAGCUUCACCAGCUGCACCUGCUGCAUCACAGCCAUCCACAUCAGCUGAGCCGAGGAUGGCCAUCCCUAUAUCCGAAUAUCGAGAGCUGUGCCGAGCAUUGGAGACUCUUACAGCUUCCCAGAGCAAUCUUGCUCAAGAGUUGGCAGCCAUCAAAGCAUGCCAGGAGCAGAUGUUAGCCUCUCAGGCUCAACAAGCUGCCAUCCUAAGGCAGCUUCAAGUCCAUUUCGAUCUGCCACAAGCUGUAGAGCCCUCCACUGAGACUCCACCAGAGCCACACUCUCAGCCUUCAGAGUCUCUUCCUCCAGAGCCAGAAGCCCCAACUGAUCCACCUACAGAGGAGGCGGAUCCUUCUGCUUAGCACCAUCACCCCACUCAUCAGACAUUAUAUAUAUUUGCUGUUUAUGUUUUUAUGCAUGUUUGUUUUGUUUUAGUUGAAAUGAAAUCCCAGUAUUUUGGUACUAUAUAUGGGAUUCCUUGUGAUUACUUGUCCUUAGCAUUGUACUCGAAUGAAUUGAAAGUAAUACAAGUUGAAUUUUUCUUGUUAAAAGUUAGCAUUAAAAUUCUCCUUAUUUCCUUUUCUCACAUAUUCUAUUCUUUUUGAAACAUGUGGUUUUCCCCAAUCAAUAUUCGAAUUUGAUAUCAGCAUGGAGGUACCACUUCCUCCCUUUUAUUACAGUCACUCAAAUCACAUUGAGGACAAUGCUCAGUUCGGUUGGGGGGUAUGAGGAAGGAAGUAUUCUAAAUCUUUUUGGUAUUGCAAUUAUAUUGGUUAAUUAGUUGUAGAUUUUACGUUUUACUCUUGUUACUCUAUUCUCCAUGAAUUUUGAGGAAAAAUUUUCAAAUUAAACCAAGAGAAAUUGAACUGUUGUUUUUCACUUGACUUAGAGUAUGGAUUAUGCUUACUAAAGUGGUUCAAUUGUUGAAACUUCUACUGAAAUUGAAUUGAGUUCUUCCAUUUUAAGCUAUCCACACACUGUGCACAUUAGUUUCUGAUUAUAAGAUGAAAAGCUAUUUCCCUCUUGACUUAGGAUAAUUUUGGGACUUGGUAUAUUUGACCUCAUUUGAUAAAAAUUGAAACACCCUGCAAAAGGCCAAUGAGCCUUUGAAAUAAAGAAAGAUGUUUGCUUGCCUUGAAACCCGAGCAAGGUCUGAGGGGCAUAUGGUGAAAGCCUUUAAAGCCUGGUGCCCUAAGCCUUAAUUGGUUGGGAGUCACCGACCUCAAUGCUCGUUACAAGGGUGAAUAGGUAGAGCUAGCAUAUGGUAGAUGCUUGGGUAUUAGAAAUUCAUUCUUAAAAGUCCAGGGAAAAAUCCGAGGAGUUAGUGGUUGAAAGAUCCUUAAAACUUGGUGCCCUAAACCUUAAUUGGUUGGGAGUCAUCGAUGGACCCCCAUUACAUGGACAAGUCAGAAAGAGUACCCCAUAAAGCUACUUUAAAAAAAAAAAAAAAAAAAAAAAAAAGAUGAUGAAAGUGUGUUCUUUUCUUAUUGAUUUUGGUCAGAUUGCUAAAGUGUUGAAAAGAGAUAGGUUGGGGGGGGAGACUAGUUUAGCAUAUUAUUCUCGGAAUCUAAGGAACCAAUACACAUAGAUUUUUGUGGAAGAUUGAAGUUUAGUUCUUAGAAAGUGAAAUGAUUUUAAAACUUCAGUUUGCAUAAUGCACUCCCUUGAUUGACAGUGUUUAGCAUAGGUGUUAUGACUCUUGUUGAGAUUUGGGUUUGUAUUUCUUUAAUGAUUCAUGUGAGAAGUAAAUCAUCAUGCCACUUAAGAAUUAUUUUCCUUUCAGCAUGAUGUUGUAAAUUUUAGAUUAGUUUGCUAUUUAUUUUUAUUUUUCUCUCCUUUAUUGCUAAGGGACUAGCAAUAUGUCGGUUGGGGGGAGUGAUUACUACUCAAAAAGUGCUAUUUGAUAGCCUUUAAUUAAUCCUUUUUAACACUUUUGAGUAGUAGUUUAGGCCUUUUAACUCAAUUGGCAUGUUAAGGAUCCUUUAAAGCAAUUUUGAUCACUUUGUGCAAGUUUUGGUGUUUUUGUUAGUAUUUCGAUCACCAAAGCAAGUCAAGAAUGAGGAGAGCUAUGAGGAAUCUUGGGCAAAGCUUAGAAUUCAAUUGCCAAGAGUGAAUCCGGAUUGCAAGGAGAAAAAGCAAAGAGGAUCAGUCAUGGAGCAUAUUCUUGAUGACAGUCGUAGCAGCCACUUUUGGAGCACUUUCUGAAGUCCAAAUGAUGCAAGCUAUAUACCAUUUCAAAGCUCAGGAAGUCAACAAUCCAAUGCUUCAAACGGUGUGCGAUUCGGAAUUGAAACGAAGAAGUUGCAGCCAUUACAAGCCAGACACUCUAAAGUGUUGCGGAAUCAGCCAUGUGUUGCGAGAAUUUCGCAGCACUUUUGUACAGUAAGGUGUUUCUCCUUCUAACGAUGCACGAACCAUGCCGCGAGAAGGGAGCUGGAAACUUCAAGAUGGAAGCCAACUUGGCAGCCUAGUGAAGAUAGCUCGGUCUUGCAAGAUAAUUUCGCAGCCCUCUUGGGUGUCUGCGAAAUUUCGCAGGCCUCAUUUUUCACCUGCGAAAUGGCUCCUGAAGCCUCCCGAAGCUUGCUACCGACAUUGGGAGAUAUUUUCCAUUAGAUUUUUGUUGUCUAAAUCCCAAAAUACUCCUUGUAAACCACCAAUUACAUGAUUCCUUAGUUUUUAAGUUAGUAAAAAGACCAAAUAUCUUUGUAACAAUUAGUUUUAUAUUUUGUUGUUAUAAAUACCUCUCGGGAGCCUGUUCUCAGGGAGGAGUUCCUUCUGUAAACGUUUGGUAAGCAAGUAAAGUCUAUUUUCUUUCUACUGCCUUACCUUCUCACUUUGUAUUUUCAUUUUAUUUCUAAGUUAUGAAUUCUCUGAGGAGUUUUCCCCAAAGAAUGAGUAACUAAACCUCCAAUUCCUUGGAGCUAAGGUUGCCGGGGAAGGUUCCAAGUGCAAGAAUGCAAAGCUCUGUGGUUUUAGCUAGUAAUGAAGAGGAAGUGAAAUCCUUUAGUGAUUUCAAUGUUUUUAGUUAACUUAAAACACUUUGGAGUCACCUGGGCCAACACUUGGUAAGGCAAGUGAUUUCCAACCAUGGAAAUGCACUAGUUUACCCCUUGCGAGCCUCUGGUAGGUGACUUCAAGGUAGGAUUUUCUGGAAUUACCAACACUUGGUAAGCUUUUGGACUCCUAGGAGACAUCCAUUAGUUAUCUCUUGCGAGUUUGUGAAGGGAAUCCAAGGUUAAAGAUCACCUUGAAUGGUAAGUGCUCGUGAGAGGCAUGAACCAUUGCAAGUUGUAUCAGUGAGAGAAUUAAAGUGAAAUCUAAUUGAAGGAGUCUUUGUACAUCACCGGUUAGAGAAUUGACUAUAAGUUGAAUCUCUAAUGCGAGGAAAUGAACCAACUGACCAGAGCCGUGUCUUUUGCAUGAGGAACCACCCCAGUGAACCUAAAUCUCCAAGGAAUGUUUUUUUCUUCCUAAAUUAUUCCAAACUUCUGUUAAGUUAGUUAGUUUAAAUCUCAACCUUUACAAAUCAAAGUUUGUGUUUUAUUCCUUAAGCUAACCGUGAAAUGAAACAAGACCAAUUCACUUGGAAUUGGUAUCAUUGAUUGCCUGCAAAUCAUUCCCAAUGAACGAUCCUAGAGCCACUAUACUAUAGUAGCUUUGUAUUUACUACCCUAGUGUAUGGUGUUAUAGGUAUAAAUUUUGUUGAUCACUUCCUCAAUCAAGGAGCACCAGCUGAACACAAAUCAGCUGAGACACCAAUUAGGCAUGAGUCAGUCAUCUCCAUUAUUGUUUUAUUUUUUCUUUCCACCACCCCAUUUUGUUGUGGGGUGUAUGGUGCAAUGAGCUGGUGAUCUAUGCCUGCAUCUUCACAAAAUUUGUUGAAUUUUUCUGAAGUAUAUUCUGUACCAUUAUUCGACCUUAUAACCUUGAUUCUGUAUUCACUUUGAUUUUCAACCAUGGCCUUAUAUCUCAAAAACACAUCAGCAACCUCAGCUUUGUAAGUGAGAAAAUAAAUCCAACAAAAUCUUGUGAAGUCAUCAAUAAAUGCAAUAUAGUACUUACUCCCUUUCAAAGAUGGUGUCUUUUGAGGUCCACUCACAUCUGUGUGAACCAAUUGUAGUUUCUGUGUUGAUUUCCAUGCUGCUUUUUGAGGAAAAGGAAGUCUUGUUUGCUUCCCAUAUUGAUAGGCUGCACAUAUAGGAAGUUCUUCUUCCAAAUCAGGGAGUCCUUCUACAAUCUAAUUCUUCUUCAUGUAGAGCACGGUAUUGUGGUGGAAAUGCCCUAAUCUUUUAUGCCAAAGCAUUGUAUUGUUCUCGUGUUGUGCAGCAGUAAUUUGCUCAUCUUCUAACAUAUUUAAGGCAAAACUUUUGCCUUUCAUUUUUAUGUUGAACACCUCUUUGCCUUCAGCAUCCUUGAUUAUGCAAUUUUUGUCUUCAAAACAAACUUUAAACCCUUUCUCAACAAGCUGUCCAACACUUAGCAAAUUUUGGUCAAUGUCAGGCACAAACAAAACAUCAGAAAUGAGCUUUAAACCUGUUAGGCUUUCAAUAGCUAAUGUUCUUUUACCUUUUACUGGAAUAUACUCACCAUUUCCUAUUCUAACUUUGGAAAUAGUUGUCCUAUCAAUCUCCCUAAAGCGAUCUUGAUCAUGUCAUGUGGUUUGUGCAACCACUGUCCACGAGCCAGCUUUCAGAGGUGCUACCGUUUGCAAAACAUGUUGCUGAAAAUAGUUGUUCCUCCUGGUAUUGUUCAGCUGCUACAUUGGUUUCUCCCUGCUGCUGCUGAGUUCUACAGAUCCUUUCUAUGUGUCCAUGUCUACCACAUUUGUUGCAUUUCACAUCUGGUCUCCACCAACAUUUUUGUUGAGGAUGAUUUGUUUUCUUGCAAUGAGGACAGGGUGGAUAGGUUCCAGUUUUUUUAUUGUUGUUGUUGCUUGGCUUAUUGUUGUUCUUUUUGUUCUUCCUCCUUCUUGUGUUACCUUCAUUGGUCUGUGUCUUUGCUUGAAAAGCUCCUUCUACAGAACUUCCUUGCCUCAUGAGUCUUCUUUGUUCCAAAGCUUGUAAAGCAUUUAGUAGUUCUGCCAAGGUGAUACUUGACAAAUCUUUUGUGUUUUCCAAAGAAGAAAUUGUAGCUUCAUAUUUUUCAGGAAUUGUGACAAAAUUGUUUUGAACAACUCUUUCAUCAGAAAACUCUUUACCUAGCAACCUCACCUUGUUUGCUAUGGUAAGAAGUUGUUCUGCAUAAUCUUUUAUGGUUUGAGACUCUUUCAUCCUCACCAUUUCAAAUUCUCGAAUUAGAUUCAUUACCUGCACAUUUCUGACUCUUUCAUUGCCUUGAUAUUCUUCCCGUAGAUGCUUCCAGAUUUCUGCAACAGAUUCAAGUUGCAUGAUUCUGGUGAGAAUUAAUGGUGAGACUACAGAAAAUAAGCAAGCCUUGGCCUUAGCCUUCCUCGUCUUUUUCUCCUUAUGGUUUUUCAUCUGUGACACAGUUGGAUUGGCUCCAAGUGGAGAAAUUUCAUAAUCUUCCUCUAUUGCUUCCCAGACAUCAAGAGCCUGUAGAUGAACAGUCAUCCUGACAGCCUAAGUUUGGUAAUUUUCUCCAUUGAAGACUAGUGGUGCUGCUGUGAAGCUUGCUUCUUCCAUUUCUGCAAGGUUUUCAGAUUCAGGUUUGGUAUACGGUGUUUAGGCUCACACACCUCACUGGUCCCUCAAGACAAAAAUUGCUCUGAUACCAAACUGUUGGAAGCAGGCGAGGUUAACACACCAAGCAACAGAGAACAGAGAUAUGCUGCUACUGAUCUAUAUUUUUUAUUUGAUCAUAAGGCUGAAUUUAUACAGAUUGUGUAACAUAUAUGACCUCAAAAAAAGCAUCAAAUCAAGCUACUUGUUGAACAAAAAACUACCUCCUACAAAAUAGCAUCAGAAUUUAACUUAAAAGCAAAAACAUAAUAAUAGCAACAGCAAAAACAGAAACAUAAAAAUAGCUUCAACAUUCUAGUAAUCUCAUUGACUUCAAUUGCAUGUGGUUGACGAUUUCAGCCUUUUCCUCAGCAGCUACUAAGGCAUAACUCUCAACAGGGCCUCUUAAUUUCCAUUCUGGCAUCUAUAUGACCUGAUAAAUAGAAAGAAAAAAAAACAGAAGAAAAGCGGCACCUGGGUUCAUAGUAAGCAUCAAGACAGGAUGCUGAAAGAAGGGAGAGAGGAGAUUGCAAGUCCAAUCCUGAUAAAAUAUCAACAAAGAGUAUUAAAUGGGGCCAACAUAAAGACCCAUUAAGGUCAGCAGAUGGCAUGGCAUUUUUCUCCUUAAGUUUUCCAUGAUUAGGCUUGAAGUCAAAAUUUCACAUGUAAAUUUGUAUUUCUACAUUUCCCACUGACGACACCCAACUUCAACUUGAGUUAGAAUAACAUUGUGUGAACUUAUCUGGCCCUCAAAAUUUACUGUGAAGUGCUUUCUGCGUGUGAAGAUUCAGAAAAGCACCAAGGGAACAUGUAUGGUCUGCCUUUUUCUGAUGUUAUGUUUGUCUCUAAUUCUGUUCCAUGUCAUGGUAAAUGUUCACAUUGCUUGUAUGGAACACACCAGGAUCACUUUUUCAGGUUUAGGGGGAUACAAAAGGCUUCAUAUUGGGUUCAAUGCUUUUAAUGUGUUCAUUGGACAAAUCUGAAUUAUCAUACGCAUUUAGAUAAGAACAAUAAUGUGAAACCCUAGUUACACCUCCCCUGCAUAACCCCAACCCUGCUUGCUCUAUUUCAGUUUACUCACAAGUUUUACUGGUUCUUAUAAGUCAAGAAAAGGCAACUGAUGUUGGAUCGACUCUCUUCCAUGUAAAAAAUGCAACUUUUAUACAUAUAAAAGAACUUCUUCCCCUCACCAAUGUGGGAUUUCAUAGAUUUAUUCUGGAAACACAUCAAAGGAACAUCUUUUCUCUUGGGUGACCCUAAGUGGUGAGUCAGAUCAUUUGCAUGCCAUUGAGUUGCACAGUUGGAUAAAUGCACCUGCCUCCUGGGCUCCAGAGUUAAAAGGGUGGAUCCCUGGAUUGCAACCCUCUUGGCAUCUUGGUUUCUAUUCCAACAUCCACAUGACUUGACAAAACAAAAAACAGAAUAAAAUCAGCACUAUAUUCAUGCUAAGCACCAAUACAUGAUGGAAAUCAUUGCUUAAAGAUUUGGGGUCGUUUUAGGUUUUGACUGCCUCCUACCACCUCACCUAAUGACAAGUUUUUAUGCUUACAAAUCAAAUAUCGUUCUUCAUUAUAUUAAAAUCAUUUUAAGAUUUCAGAUCCAUCUGCUAAUUAUGAUUAUGAUAACAUUUAUUCACCUGUGCUUCUCAUUUUCGACACACAAGGCAUCUAGGUUUGCAGGAUUUCCUUAUUAGAUGAGAUAAAUGAGUACGUAUGGUUAUGUAUCCAGCAUUCAUUAACCAUGGUAUGUGACAUUUAGAAUUAAGAUAGCAAGCAAACUUUCCCUGCAGCUAGAGUAAAUUGUGAUUUCUUAGCCUCUAUGAGUGGUUCCCAAAUCAAAUUAACAUAGUGAAAUAUACGUAGUCCAGUGAAAGGAAAUGUAAAUUAUAAACUAACAGCACUACACUACUGGUAACAAUCGAUACUCUCUAUAUAAUGCAAUAAACAAUGUCACAAUUGCCUACAAGCAAGGCACAAACACUAGAACAAGUAAAGCACAAACCUUUCCCAACAGUUCCCAGUGACUGAUGCAUAUCAUACCCUCAACUCACAGAAGGGGAUGAUAUCAGUGCACUGCAGCACUUAUUUUACACAUACUACCACUACUACUACUACUACUACUACUCAUUAGCCAAAGUCACUCAGUUGGGAUGAGUGUGAGGUAGAGGUUUGUGGGGUGCUAUGUGGAAAGGAGUUUGGCUUCUUCUCAGGAGAUGGUAGCUUCUUUGCAGGAGUUGAAGGAGGCUUAAUCUUCUGUGGUGGAUUGAUUGUAUGAGUCUUUGGCACUCUCUUCUCUAGUACAGGUGAAUACCCAGGGGUGCAUCCAUAAUGCGGUGGCUUCUAUCCCUUAGGUGGUUUGCCAAAUUCAAAAUCGAAGGAUUUUUUUUUUUUAAGUAUACGUAUCUUUGAAAGCUUUUAUUUUGUAUGGCAAAUGGAAUGAGAGGAGCAGUCAUAUUCUAUUUGGCCAGAGCAACAUAUCACAAAUGAACAAGCUAUUUACUGCCACACUGGGCAAAACAUACAUAAUCCUUGUACUUCAAACAUCCAUGAAUUCUCAUCAUUUUCAGGACACGUUGCAUGGUCUAUCAUUCUAUAUGUCGGCAUAGUAAGUGCAGCUAAUAAGCCUAUUCAGAGCUGAAAUUCAAAAUCUAUUCACAGGAUAAUGACCUUAUUAUUGGAUUUUGCUCACUGUCAUACACACAUAUCAGAUAAAGCCCCACAUGCUCAUAAGCUACAAGCAACCUACAAGCACUAAAAUGAGUGUUAGACGUAUGAAACAUUCCCCAAUACUAGUAGUAUUACCUGUUCCAUAGAACACUAAAUUAGAAGAGAGAAGAUGUGAGACUCCAGCUUUUCUUUCUACAUAUUACUCAUAUCAAGUUGGAAUAGUUAGGCGGUAGAGGCUUGGGGUGGCUUGUGUAGGGGACUAGGCAGCUUCUCUCAGGAGUUGAUUUCGUCUUAUUCUGGAUGUCCAGGUUUCGUCCUUUCGAAUUUCCCAUGCAAAUCAGCAUUCUCCUUGGGAAACUUCACUCCGUUGGGAAACUUGUGUGAAUCUUUGGCAUUCUCUACCAGAGAAGGCCCAGGGCAGUGACCAUAAGGUGGUGGCCUUUUUUCAGGUGGUGGCUCCUCUCCCACUGGAGGCUUGUGGUAAUCAGCAAGAGAGGCAGUGGAGAGAAUCAUCACCCCAAGGAACAGCACUAGCAAGUAUUUGUGAGCCAUAUUUGGGAUCUGAUGAUGAAGACUAGAAGAUAGGAGUUGCCUCAUAUAAUGGGUUGGAGACUAUAUCUCAAGGGGACGUGUAUUUAUGCAUAUGAUCUAUAUAGGACCAUCCUCCUAAUAUUUUCAAAAUAAUGUUAUUGUCUCUCUUGGGUGACAGUUUGAUUUGGUCUAUUUCCAUGCCACUGAGUAGAAAAGUUUGACAAUUGGCUACACCACCUACCUGGAUUACAUGGUUGAAAGUGAAGAUCAGUACAGUGUGAUCACACUUGACCUCUUGUUCCCCAUUCCAGUAUCUAAUUAACCUGACAAAAGUAAAAGGAAAGGAAAAAGGGAAAAAAUAGAAUAAUGUUCAAAUAAAAACGAGAAAAAAUAGCAUAAUGUUGAUGAAUCAUGAUAAGCAUCAAGGCAUGAUAGUGAGAGAGAGGAAAGAAGACAGUGUAAUUUGCAAUCCUGAUAAUCAUUAUAUAGCAGUAACUUUAAUCAUUUUUCUAUCACAGGGAACAUGACACUCAUCUUCCUAUGGAGAUAUUGCAUAAGUUUUUUUCUUUGUAUGUCAACACUAACCAAUGAAGCAUGUUAGCUGGUUUGAAACUGAAACUGUAGCCCUCUGUUUGGUUCUUGAAAAACUUGAGAGAAAAUGGAAGUAAAGUUAAAAGGAAAGAAAAAGUGAAAAAAAAUAAAAAUAGAUUGAAAGUUAACAAAUUAUUUUUACAUGUUCCCUCAAAUUUCUUUCACUUAUUUUUCCUUUUCUAUAUAAAGAUUAAAUGAUUUAAAAAUCAUAAAUUUCUAACUAAUUAUAACUAUAUUUGAUUUUCUUUCAUAUUUUCCAAGAUAAAGUCAGACAUGAGAAAAUCAUUUUCCUUAAAAAAGAAAUUCUUUCCUUUACAGUUUCUUAGAACCAAACCUGGCACAAAAGUCCAAAUUGGGGUUUCUCCAUGUUCCAUUUUUUAUGGCUACCUUUAUGGACCAUAUAAUAUAGAAUGUACUUCUGCAUACCUUCAAGAUCAAGCUGAACUAUAAGAAAAAGACAAGCCAUGGCCCACGGAGCAGGGAUACCAAGCUGCCUUCUCCUAGAUUAAGUUCCAAGAUUUCAGUCUUCAAACCUGCUAAAAGCUAAAGGCAUGUUUCCAGCCUGCGGCAGAUAACAUGCACUGUCCAACAAUAAAUUGCAAACACAUUCGAUGCAGUUUAUUAGUACAAUAAGAUUAAAUCCACCAAAUCUUUUACAGUUCAACCAACACUUGAACUAGUAGCUAGCUUCACUACUGGGUAAUAAUAUAUAAACCAAACUCUUGAUAGGAACCAACCUAUCGCAGAUCGAACUUCUUACAUCCACCAUGAAUUACUGAACCAAAAGAAGAAUCGAAGAGACUGCCAAGGAGGAAAGCCUUCCUAUAACUAGAUAUUUAUAUUCCAAAUUAGGGAGAGCACCCACUGCCCAGGCCUCGCCCAGCAUAAACAGAUAGUAUACAUAUACAUGCAAAAAGCUCCAACCUUCAAGAUUUUAACUAUUAACUUAACACAAUUAAAAAUGUAUCCAAAAAGCAAAUCCCCUUGAACUCCUGAAGCAAUUACUCCAACCAAAUAAAGAUUUUAAGAGUUCCAUGUUCAUAUCCUGCAAGGAAAUCAUUCAAUGUUCAGACCUCUAAUUUCUGUCUUUCUAAAUGCCCAGCCAAAAGGCAUAAAGUAUCAUCCAAAUUGGAUGCACAGCAUAUGUUCUUAAAUCAUGGGAUUUCACCAUAAGUUACUACACUCUAACAGGGCCCAGAAAUUGACCUCCAGAUAUGCCUAUCAAAAAAUUAUCCCCACAUACAUUUUUCUGCUGAAAAGACAAUAUUGUUACAUUUGACAUUCAACCACUACUUGAACUCAACAACCAGGGAAAAGAAUAUAGUAUUUCUACCAAUGAGGAUGAGAGGGGCUGGUGAAUUAACAGGUAAAAGUUUGUUUUGGGUUCAUUGUUUGCAUAAUAAUGUAAAAAUGGAGUAGUAUAUUAUAAAUUAAUGUAAAAAUGGAUUAGCAUAACAUAAAUUGCCAUAAGAGAACCACAAACUACAAAGAAACUUAUUUUCCAAACAAGGAAAAUUAUUCAUAGCCAUUAUUACAUAAGAAAGGAAAUUGAUAAAAUUAUUAUCCAGUUCCCCAUCAGGAAAUAUGAAAGUACUCCUAAAAGCCUCAAUUCUAACCAGAAAACCAUAGAAAUGUAUUAGAAAUAUUGUACAGGGUUCUCUCCAAUAUUAGCUUCAGUUGCUAAGGAGAUCAGAACCUUGAAAGUAAGUCACAAAGGUCGUGUGGGUUUCCCAGAGUCUUCAACAACCAGUAUUCACAUAUGUACACAUUAAAAUUAAAUAAAGCAGGUAUCAAUUCCACAGGCUUUAAGAUUUGAAUUGCUUCUCCCUGGAAUCAUACACCACUCAUAUUGUCACUGACUUUCAAUUACUUCUCCCUGCGAUCAUAUGCCACUCAUAUUGUCACUGCCUUAGGGAACAAAGUGAAAAUCUGCAAUUUCAAUUAAUUCCAACAUAAAAAUAAAAAUCAAUCCUCAAAAAAUGGAUUGCCAGGAGGUAAAUAUAAUAGAAGACGAACAACUCUCACAACCAAGUUAAAGAAACCAGCCGCUAGGUACCUUUGAGUUCUAUACUACCAGGAACAAAUUGGAUGAGAUUAUUUAAAGGCUAUUCCACAGUGGAAAUUCAUUCGUUCAAAAAACAUUUGUCAUGCAUAUAGGCAAUCUAUCCUAUGCAUUCAUACAUCAUGGUCUCAUGCAAUCUUAAUAAAAGUGGUCCUGGAAAAAGAGAGAAAAAAGUAAUUACAAGCCUGUGCGACCAGAUUUCUUUUGUUUUUUUUUUUUUUUUCCUUUGCCAAACAACCAUGUUCAUAGUUUCAGAAGUUCAUUCUGUCUUUAAGAGACCAUGGCAGUGACUUGGCCAUUCAGCUAAGANNNNNNNNNNNNNNNNNNNNNNNNNNNNNNNNNNNNNNNNNNNNNNNNNNNNNNNNNNNNNNNNNNNNNNNNNNNNNNNNNNNNNNNNNNNNNNNNNNNNUCACCAAGGACUCCUCAACCUCAAAAUAAUAGAGAAAGUCUAGGACACCAUGUCACUACUGAGGACAACCCAACACCACAACAUUUCAGUCCGUUCAAAAAGAGUAAUUGGAAUUGUUGCAAAAAAUGUUCAACUAGUCCCAACAGGAGGCAAAUUCCUCCAUUUCUUCAUCGGGUCCGGAUCCUUUGCUCAAAAAGGUAAUUUUCUUACUGCCCUAAAAGAAAAAGGGAAAAUGUGAGUCAUUGGAUUGUUGACUCAGGAGCUUUUGAUCACAUGACUAGAGUGCCACAAUUUUUCAAAAUUAUACACCUUGUUUUGGGGAUGAUACAAUUCGUAUGGCUGAUGGUUCUCUCUCAAAGGUGACUGGUACAAGUUUUAUUGUCAUCUCUAAGGACCUAACUCUUGACUCUAUUCUUUUGGUUCCAAACUUGGAUUGCAAUCUAUUGUCCAUUAGUAAACUCACUUAUGAAAAGAACUAUGUUACUAAAUUUUUCCCAAACCAUUGUGUUUUUUAGAAUUUGAAUUCGGGGAAGACGAUUGGCAAUGUUGAAGUGUGUUUAGGACUCUAUGCCUUCAAAGUGAAUUAUUAUAUUGAAAGACAAUCUUAACCAACAGUUGGUGAAAAAUGGUGUCUUUUUGUCUUUAGUUCUAAUAAAGAUAGUGAUGUUAUGUUAUAGCACUAUUGUCUAGGACAUCCUAGUUUCUUAUAUCUCAAAAAACUCUUUCCAUGGUUUUCAGUGUGAAAUUUGUCAACUAUCCAAGCAUCUUUGCAAGCCCUAUCCAUAGUUUUAAAAGACUUAAGGCACACCAAGACGCAAAGUCCUCUUGGAGCCUUAGGCGCAAGGCACACCUAAGGCGCGAACUUUAGUAAAGUGAGGUGCAUCCUGUUUUACAUAUAUAUUUUUAUAUAAUACAAUCAAGUGCCCGAAAAUUUUCCUCUAAUUUUCCCCUUCUUCUUCAUCCUCUUCUCUUCUUCACAUUGUUCGGGAGGCUAGGACAUUUUUUUUUUUUUACAUGUCUAAAACAAGCAUAUAUUGGGUUUUGGAAGAAGAACAAGCCAAAAUGACAUCGUUUUGGAGCCUAAUCUUUUAAAUAAAUAAAUAAAUAAAUAAAAACCAGCCAAAAAUGACACCGUUUUGGCCCCUGUUCUUUUAAAAGAACAAACCAAACAACGUCAUUUUGAUCUCAGGAAAUUAAAAAAACAAAACCCUCGUCAUUCUCCCUUUGCUACUCUACAACUCAUCGUCAAAGGGUAAAAAGAUGACCAAAAGAAGAAGAAGAAAAAAAAAAAACGACGACAGAGGAUAGAGGUGCACCUGUUGAGGGCGUUGCGCCUAGCCAAGAGGCGAGCGCCUUGCACACUUAAUCAACGCCUCUGUGAAGGGGCGGCUCCUGCAAUCAGGCGAAGCGCUGAAGGGUGAUGUCACAUCGUCUAGAGCCUAGGCGCACCUUUCACAACUAUGACCCUAUCCAACUCAACCAUACAAACCAUCUCAUCUUUUUUCCAUACAUAGUGAUGUUUGGAGGUCAUCUAAAAUAAAGAACAUAACAGGGACUAGAUGGUUGAUGAUCAUACUAGAAUUUCUUAGAUAUUUCUAAUGAAAAAAAAAUCAAAAAUUAGUCAAAUUUUCUAAAAGUGGACCAGAAUUUCUUUAUUGAAUUAAAAAGUUGAAAUUAAUAUUUUGGAAAAGUUAGGGCCGCUCAAGAGGUAGAAAUAGCGCUCGAGUGGUAGAAAUAGCGCUCGAGUGGUAGAAAUAGCCCUCAAGUGGUAGAAAUAGCGCUCAAGCGCUAGGACCGCUCAAGCACUUAACUAGCGCUUGAGCGCUCAUAUAGAAUCUGCCAGAAUAUGGAAGAAUAUUUUUUGGAUAAUCAUGAAAAUUGGAUUUGGAAACUUUAGAAUAUCAAUCUCCUUCGGCCUAGAGGUUUAUAUAAACCCUAUUAUAACCCUUUAGGGUUAAGAAAUUCACCAAGUGGUUUACCCUAACUUGUCAUACCAUUCCCGAUCUCUCAUCAAGGAAUCAAAGUGUUUAAUCUUGGGUUGUUUGAAGACCUGCAUCCCUUCAACAAGGCUAAGGUGUAUUCACUAGAACAAUUGAAAUUGUUGCAUUGCGGACAUGAAUCAAGUUGCAGGUUCUAGAGAGUAAGUCUUUAGAAUAAAGCAGACAAAGAGUUCUAUGUGACUUUAUCUCAUAUAGUGGAUUUAGCUUUGAGGUCUUAGACCUCGUGGGUUUUUAUCUCCAUAGUUAGUGUGGGGGUUUUCCACAUAAAAAUUAUUGUGUCUCUUGAUCUUAUGUUUGAUUUUAGAUAUUCUAUUUAUCCCUGAUAUCUCACAGGUUAACUUUAGGUUAAAAAUUCAACUCCCUAUUUAAUAAUUUUUAAAAUACACCCAUUCACGAGUGUUAUCCUACUGGACAUUGGUUUUUCACCAUAUAUAACACUCAUACCAAAACCCAUGCAACAUGGACUCCAACCUUAAGCUUAACUUUCUACGAAUGGAAAAAAAAAAAGACAUAACAUAAAUAGACAGAUUUAACAACAUGCUCCUAAUCAAGGUGAAUGUCCCUCUUUUUGAAAGAUAUGACCUUUUCCAUACGAGGAGCUUUCUUUAAAAUUUCACCUCUACCAAUUCCCAUGCCUUUACAAAGUUGUGGAAAGCUCCAAAGAGAAGGCCCAGACAUGUAAUGGGUAGAUUCCCUACCUUAGAACCUUACACCAAAGCUAAACCCCUAAUAUUUGUGACUUCUAUAAGAAUCAAUUCAUUUUUUUCCAUAUUUAUUUCUAAAUCAGACAUUGCCUCAAACCACAUGAAGUUAUAACUUGGAUGUUACAGAUGCUCUUAAUUAGUGUCACAAAAAAAUAGGGUAUCAUCAUCAAACAAGAAAUGUGACACUUCCAUCCCCUCCUCCUGUCUUCCUCCCACUUUGAAACUUGAGAUGUAACCCCUUUUAUCUAAUUCUCCUCAAAAUUCAAUUGAAAGCCUUCAUUGCCAAUAUGAAAAUGUAAGGGGAGAGAGGAUCUUUCUACCUCAAAUCCCUUGAGCUCUCAAAGAAACUGAAUAGGACACUAUUUACUAGAAUAGAGAAUUGAGUAGUGGAAAUGAACCAUUUGAUCCACCUCACCCACUUAUGAUCAAAGUCCAUUUUAUCCAACAUCAUUAACAAAAAGUUCCAAUUUACAUGGCCAUCGUCCUUUCCAAUGUCUAACUUGCAAAUUACCCCACUAUUGGGACUCUUUAACCUUGAAUCUAGAGCAUCAUUUAUGAUUAGAACUGCAUCUAGAAAUUGUCUGUCUUCCACAAAAGCAUGCAAAUAAACUAAAACUAUUUUACCCACCACAUUUUUUAGUCUUUUAGCCAAGACUUUUUCCAAUAGCUUGUACAAAAAAACCCCCAACUAAGCUAAUCAAUGUAAAAAAUUUUAGGUUCUCUGCUGCACCUAUAUUAGGGAUCAAGACCAAGAACAUGACAUUUAAAUUUUGCUCAAAGGAACAAUUAUCAAAAAACUCCCCAAGCUCAUUUGCCAAAAUAUUAUAAUAAAUCCAUUUGGCCCCUACAGCUUUAUCCCCACUCAAGCUAGACAAGGCAACAAGAAAUUCCUCAUCAAAGAAAGGUAACUCCAAUUUCCUAGAAUCAGCACAUAGCAUAACUUCAAAGGUCAUCCCAUUAAUGUUGAGUCUCCACUCGCCCAUAUCAGAUAGGAGAUUUUGGAAGGCCCUAAACUCCCCUUCCUUUAUAUUUGCUUCCCAAGCAACCAUUUUGCAUUCACUCAAAUUUUAAACAUGAAGUUUUUUAUUCUUUGGGCAUUGACCAUUUCAUGGAAAAUUUUGGUGUUUUUAUCCACCCCCUCUUUUAACCAAAUUUCUCUUUAUUUUUGCCCCCAUACAUAUAGAUUCUUCUAACAAGGCCCACUUGCUAAACUCAAUCACCACUAACCUUUGGCCUCAACGAUUUCAAGAGAUAAGGUAACUGCUCUCUACUUUGAGUCCCAGAAGUUGAUCCAGUUUAGCACCUCUAGGUUUUUUGUUGAGACAUUCCCAAAACCUUCUUCAUUCCAAGAUUUUAAAUCUCGUUUGACAGCCUUUAGUUUAACUUCCAAAAUAUGACCAUACAAGCCAUCCACAUUAUAACCAUCAACCAACUCCUCACAAAAUCUUUUAAGCCUUUUGUUUUAGGCUACAUAUUUUAAAAUGUAAACUGUGUUUUCCCACUCCUUAUCCUACCUCCAUCUAAAACUAUGGGGUAAUGACCAAAAAUUGGUUUAGGUAAAAUACUCUAGAUUAAAGUAGAAAAACGAUUCUACCAAUCAUCUGACACUAGGAAAUGGCCAAGCUAGCCUUGAAGAAGACAAAAGAUUAUGAACACCACUCCAAGUGAAUAGCCCUCCAACUAGCGAAAGAUCCCAAGGUCAAGUCCUCUAUGUCCUCUGAAAAGAACCUCAUAUCAAACAACAUUCUAAGGCAAUUCCUCCUUUUCAUGGGGAACUUGACCAUAUUAAAAUCCCCUCUGAAGCACUAGAGGUCAUCCCAAAGGCCUCUUAUGGCACCCAACUCUACCCAGAAAUCCACUCUUUCUCCCCUUUAAACCAACCCAUAAACUCUUACGUAUACCUAGACAAAGCUAUCUUCACAAUUCAUAGACAAGCAAUAGAGAAUGCUUCCACCUCCUUACCAAUUAACUCUAAUACCCUACUAUCUUGGAAAACCAAAAUGCCUACUAUCAAGCUUCUAACUUCCAAUACCAUUUCAAAAAUUUUCCUACUCCUAAACUCCUUACCAGUUGAACGAACAUCUAUCGAACCUUGGUUUCUUGUUAACAAACUAGAUCAACCCCUUGAGACCUUAUCAAUGACUUUAUUAUCAUAUACUUUUCCUCAUCAUUUGCUCAUUUGACAUUCCAAGACAGGAUUUUUAGCUUCAUCAUGCAACCUAUGUUGGAUCCUAACUGCUACUCUUGGAGCCCUUUUCCUUUUUGUUGAGCUUUUAUAAUUGACUAAGCAUCCCAACUUGUUGAGGUCCCUCUCAAACCAAGAUAUCGAGGUUAACUUCCUCUUCACCUCCAACGAAAAAACAGAAACCCCUCUCCUUAGCCUGCCACACAAGGGAAAAGAUCUCUUUUUCAAAUCCAUCAACUGGCAUUCUUGAGAAACUAUUGAAAUUUGCCAACUUACAAGAUAUACAAUUGGAGGAGUGCUUCUCUACCAAACAACUACUAAAAUUCACCUCAAAGGUGACCUUUUCCCCUGAUCUCUCCCCGGCCUCCAUACCCACUGACCCUUUCACAAAAUUUUCUAGAAUUUCCACUAUCAAGCCGUUACGGAGAACCAUCCUCAACAAACUCCUUUGACUAAUGUGAAAAACCCCACCCAAGAGCAUCUUCCAGAAGUUAACUUACAAGAUUAACUAUAAUCUUGUGAAGACUCGUUACCUAAUGGGUAAAAAAUUUGAAAUUCUAUUAGUAUAAUUCUUUUUAGGCACAAAAGCUGUGAAAAUAGCAUUGGUGCUCUAAUUAAUAACCCCAUAAUUAUUAAGCAAUAAAACAACUUUUAAUAAAUUCUCUUUCACCACAUCCCACCAAUCCUAAUGCAAAAAAGCUAGGAAAAAGUCAUCAUUGCUCUAAGCAUUUCUCCUCACUAGUUGAAAGACUGCUUUAUGAACUUCCUCUUCGACAAAAGGACAAUCCAACCAAUUAGCACCAUUUUCCAAAAUGAGAGACCAACCCCCACUCUUCUAUCCUCUAAGGAUCUUCAUAUAACCAUUAAUGCCUUUCUAUACCAGCUAGUAUAUAUCGGGUUUUGGGCAAGUCCUAUAAAUUGGUUUGAGUAAGAUUUUUAAUUACCCUGUUCUUUCUUUUUAGUUGAUAAAUAUGCAUAUAUGUAGUAAUUCAUACAUCAGAAAAGAUUUUGCUAAAACAAAAGAAUUGACAUGCAGAUAGUGACUUCUUGAUAAGAGUAAUAGCUUAAGGGAGGAAAAUGAACUCCUCCAGUGGCCCCAAAGUGGUAAGUUCCUUCAGAUCCCAUGUUGCUAUUCUGCAUUUCUUUGUGUUUUGGCAUCAGCCCUCUUAAUUAAUUCACUAUCCAGCUUCUCAAAUUCCUCGGAUUCUUCCCUUGUUCUUGUGGAAACAUCUGCAUCUUGUCCUUGCAUUGUUAUGGAUUGGUGAUUAUCAUUCUUUGAGAACUGUGUGGCAGCUGCUCGUGCACCAGCUAUGGCUGCAAGGAGACCUUCUGGUUUCUUGUCUUCAGCAGCUUUGGAGCCAUCAAAGCAAGAAACAAGUAAUCCUGGUUUCAAAGAGAGGGGAUCUUGUGGUUCUGGAAGCAGAAACUUGACAGGUAGUGGAGCUUGAACAGGACGAAGACCCCUAACUGCUGCCUCAUAUAUCUGCAACAAUUUCAGGGGGGAUAAGUAAUUAAAAAUCAGUCACUCUAUUGCAUUAGUUAGACUUGCUUUCAAUGCGAUAGCAAAGAAAGAAUCAUCAAUGAAAAAAGAAAAAAUAAAUGAAAAAGAACAAAAAGGAGAGGGAAAAAAAAAUGAUGGGUGCUCAAUUUGUACUUUUCUUUCCAGGUUAUAAAUACGUUGGUACCCGCGCAUCUCAAAUGGUAUGAUUAAUUUCUGCAUCAGGUCAGGAGAACUAAGUCCAUCAAUAUACUAAAAAGCAAAUAUACCAAAAGGCAAGCAAAAAUGUUUAACCAUCUUGAGUGUCAAACUCUCCAAGAAACUAUAUACUUUUAGCUGAAUGAAAACACAUGCCUGUGGUUGCUCACAGAGCCAGCAAAACUCUGUUUGCGCUUCUAGCCUUACCUACAAAUAGAGUUUAGGUUAUCCAACCAAAAUGGAGAUACAUCACACAAAACAAACUGUACCUAAUCAGUUUACGAAGGGGACGGGGGGAAGCAAAAAGCAAAAGUAAAUUUCUAAGAUGCCCACCCCUUCAGGUACCUCCUUCCAGCACGCCAGCUCUUCACAUUUAACACAACCAACUACUUCAAUACAACCUGUGGCAAGAAUAGAGUUUGUUGGAUUUAUUGUAGCAUGCCAUACAGAAAAAUUUAGCAUUUCAGUAAGAAUAAGAAUAAGAGAGCUACUUUCCACUAAAAUACGAAUCACCCAUCAACUGUUGCAAACAGACAACAAUGUGAAUAACAGGUUUUAUAUAUAUAUAUAUAGAGAGAGAGAGAGAGAGAGAGAGAGAGAGAGAUAGAUAGAUAUAGAGAGAGAGAGAGAGUCAAAUAAUAAUAAAGGACAAAAAUAUUUCUUUGAGAAAGACUAAUUAGAAAGAAGAAACAAAGAACCCACAUGAAAUCAAUUUAGAUAAGAGAAAUACCUUUAAGAAUCUAGUUCUUUUUGCAAAUUGCAACUUAGAAUUGGAAUGCCACAUAUUAUUAUAAGGUAUCACAAGAGAUUAUUGCUUCAUUUUUUUUCUUUGCCAGAUCAGUUUUAAUAAAUAUAAAUAUAAAAAUAUAAGCAUGUACACACACACACGCAAACACAUUAUGUGUGUAUGUUUAUGGAUAUGUAGAUAUAGGUUUUUAAUAAUAGAGCAUGAAAACAUAUCUAGUCAGAAAUUCCAAAAAUCCAAAACCAUUAGCAACACCUAACAGUCUUGAAACUGGGUAAUGUUCUGGAAACUUGAGGUCUGCUAUCCCAUUCACAGCAUAGAUCUCCCUGUAGAAAUUCUCCAUUGCUUUGAUUGUGUCUGAAUCUGGGACCUUACUAGCAGCAUGAAUCCAGAGUCGGCCUUCAUAAAACAAAACAUGUAUAUUAAGAAAUAUCCUUGUAGAACAGUAACAUUUUUGCCAGCAUGCAAUUCGUGUUAAUAAUCCUUGGUUCUCACCACUCAUUGUACAUUACAAUGUAAAGACCUAAUAAGCCCUAAUAUAGGUAGGUGUCUGUGCAGAGAGAGAGAGAGAGAGAGGGGAGGGGGGUGAAAGGAAAGAUGAUUAUAGAACAAAUACAAGUUGAAUCUCCUGAAAUAAUGUCCAUCAAGUUAUUUCCUAGCAACAAGUACUGAUUAUGCUUUUCCUGAUAACAUGAUUUUCUUUGCUAACAACCAUACUAUAUUUUAUCAAGAAAGAGUAGUGCAUGUGGCGUGCAUCAAGACCCAUUAGAGUUCCGCUAAACCUAUAGUUCUGUCAACGUUAUCAUUUACGUUUCCUCUAGAUAAUGGCAUUUUCCUCUAAAACUCUUGCACCAUUAGGCUUCAAGUCAAAAUUUCACAUGUGAACUUUGGAAAUUUUCUCCAUUUGCCCCUAAGGAUACAGUUAGAAUUGACUUAAAAUCCUGAUUGAUGUAUACUUUUAACCGAAGAAUAUUGUAUAUAAUAAUUGAAAUAUUGUUGAUUCAUCGUGGAAAUACAUUUUGUAAGGAAAGUUGUUAAGAAUUUAGUAUGCUAUAUGGAGAAAAAAGUCAUGACUUAAGGUUGAGUAUGUAUAUUCUAUAUCAAAUAUUAGGUAGGAAUGUGGAAAAGAGCAGAGUGUAAUUAUAAGAAACAAAGAAAUAUAAGAUAUUCUUGAAAGUGGAAAAUGUAAAAUGGCUAAAAGUCAAAUUUAUGAUGCAUAAGGGGGAUCAUGUCACAUAAGAAACUCAUGGCAUACCAAAUACGUGUGGUAUGGAGUAACAAUUUUGUUAAAAUAAGUUUCUCGUUGGAGUACAUUAGGUGACAAUUUUUUAAUAUCAAAUUAAAGAGUCAAGUGCAUCAAUGAAGUCAUAUGUAGAAAAUUUGUUUGUGACAUGUACCAUAAAGAUAAGAUUGACUUGAUAUAAUUUAGUCCAGGUAGGAGUUGUUAAAGGUGUCUCAAAUUUCUAAUUGAUAUAUAUUUUUUUCUAAAAAAAUAUUAUAUAGAUAUUUCAAUAAAUGAUUAAUUCUUUGUAAAAAUACUUACAUAAUAAAAAACAUCAUUAGAAAUAUCUCUAUAAAUAUUUUAAAUCACAAAAAGAAAAAAAAAAUCACUAUGAGAUAAUUAUAAACAUGCAACAUUGUACCAAGUAAACAGAAAUGUGAUAAAAAAAUUUUGAGAAACACUAAAUAAAGGAAGGGCUUGUAUAUCAAGAUGUAAAUAUAGAGAGCAAUAUUUUUAAUCAUAUGAUAGAAUUAUUUUCUCUCAUUCAUGAUUAUAAGCAAAAUUGGGAACCAUUAUAAAAUCUUGUACACCUCGUGUAAAUUGAUGUUUGUCUUCAUAUUUUACACCAACAAAUGACAUUGAAGUUGUCAUUGAUAAAAGGGAAAAGGCAUGGCCUCCACACCAUGUGCUUGAAUCGUAUGGUUCAAGUUUAAAGAAUUUUCUCCAUAAUUUGAAGAUCUAAAACAUUUUCACCUUUAAAUUUCAUUUAAUUAUUAAUAUCUACAAAAAAUAGUUAAAUACUCUUUCUAUUUUUGAGUUGUUGAAUUUUUUGAAAGUUUUUAUAUUUGUUAUCAAGAAUUUAUAUUUUAUUAAGUGUGAAUAUUUAUAAAUAAGAUAUUAUAUAAUAUUUGGAUAAGAGAGAAUGGUGGAAUAUAAUAAAGUUUUAAUCCUUCCCAAUUUUUAUCUUUUUUUUUUUUUUUUUUUAUAAUCGCCUUUCUCUUUCAAUCCUAUUAUCAGGUACCUUAUAUUUGCUGAUGCUAUCUGGAACUAAAUUCCAAUCAGACAUUGUCCAAUUACUAAUAGGACAGAUCAUGUCUCUCUGUUUCUAAACUAACAUGUAUCGUAAUGUGGCCUCAUAAGGAAGGCUAGGAAGAUGGAGGAUUUUGUGGGAAGCGACCAGAAUCAGAUGGAAGAGAGAUAGCCCUGUUGACCUAAUGGCUGUAAUAGGAGAAGCGUGUGGAUUUAUGGGACUUAACUGAUACUAAACCUAUAUGAUGCUUGGAGUGGUGUUUCUUUCAUUUUGUUAAGAAAAUAUGGCAGCAUACAUCCUUUCAAUUGAGUGCAUCAGAGCAUCCAUAAUAGAUGGUCUGCAACCCUAGGUGCAUGCCACUUUCUGACUGAUAAUGAAACUGUCAGGUACUUGGCCUUGACUAAGCUCAACAGCAUCACAUAAAAAGAAGCUUUCAUACUUAGAUUACUGUUUAAAGCUUUUGCUUAUUUGCUUUCUUAAUGCCAUUAUGACAUUAUUGUUUCAAUUCUGCUACCGAUUUUCGAAGUUCUGGGCAUCUACUGAUUGCAUCAUUAUAUGAGAAGUUGCAUGAGUUUAUGUAUCCUGUUAUUGCUCCUUUGCGAUUUCACUGCUCACGGGACUAACCUCUCCAUUCAGUCGAAAUGAAUUGUAAUUUCUUUACUGGUAGCAGUAGUACUUUUCAUAGCAAAGAUAAUAGUAAAUAUGAAAUAUAAAUAGAAGGAAAUCUGAAUUGUAGAUGGCACUAUAAGUAACACUCAAUAUUCACUACAUAAUAAAAUAGACAGUGUUACAAAGGUAGAGAAACCUACAAUGAGUACUCAUCACCAUUCUCAAACAGAAACAUAGCAGCGACUUAUACAUAGAACCUAUAGGCUUGCAGGGAAAGAAGGGAAAGAGUAACAUGAUAAGUUCACAGCGGGUAGCAGCUCUUAUUUUACGUAUUACUCAAAAUCUCAAACUAACCAAAGUCACUCAGUUGGGAUGGGUAGGAGAUGGUGGUUUGUGGGGUGGCUUCUGGGUAGGAGCUGGUGGCUUCUUUGUUGGAGUUGAAGGAGGCGUAAUCUUCUGAGGUGGCUUGUAUGAGUCUUCGGCACUCUCUGCAGGAGGGUGCCCAGGGUUGUGACCGGAAGGAGGUGGCUUCUGUCCCUUUGGUGGUUUGCCUAAUGGGCUUGGUGGCUUGUGCUCCGGGAGUUGUUUCUCUCCCUCGAGUAGGUUUCGAGUUUUGUCAGAUGGCUUGUGUUCUGGUGGUGGCUUCUCUCCCUGGGGUGGUUUGCCGAAUGGGCUUGGUGGCUUGUGUUCGGGGAGUGGCUUCUCUCCCUGGAGAAGGUUACGAGUUUUGUCAGAUGGCUUUUGUUCUGGUGGUGGCUUCUCUCCCUGGGGUGGUUUGCCAAAUGGGCUUGGUGGCUUGUGUUCGGGAACUGGCUUCUCUCCCUUGGGAGGUUCAUUUGGUGGCUGGUGUUCCGUAGGUGGUUCCUUCACCGGCGGCUUGUGCUCCGGAAGCGGCUUCUCUACCUGGAGAAGCUUACGAGUUUUGUCAGAUGGCUUGUGUUGUGGUGGGGGCUUCUCUCCCUGGGGUGGUUUGCCAAACGGACUUGGUGGCUUGUGUUCGGGGAGUGGCUUCUCUCCAUUGGGAGGUUUAAUUGGUGGUUGGUGUUCCGUAGGUGGUUUCUGAAGUGGGGGAUGCUUGGGGUAGUCAGCAAGAGACGAG
rnacentral:lncRNA from 1 species